UUUUUGCCCACAAAAGCCGAACGGUGACGCCCCAAAACUCAGUUUUUUAGUUCCAUCCCAAAACAUUGACAAAUGGGCCAAAGUUAUAGCCCAGAAAGAAACUACCCAACUUAUAAAAUGUUAAAAGUCCCGAAAGUUCACAUCUAACUGCUGUGUGGUCUCGUUUCAAGUAAUAUUAAAGUUUUUUUGUCCAAGAAAGCCGAACGAUCACGCUCCAGACUUAGUUUCUUAGUUCGGUCUCAAAACGUUGACAAAAGAGCCAAUGCUAUGGGCUAGAAAGAAACUACCCAACUUAGAAAAUGUCAAAGGUCUUGAAAGUUCACAUCUAACUGCUGGGUAGUCUCGUUUCGUGUAAUAUUAAAGCUUUUUUAUCUAAGAAAUCCAAACAGUAACUCUUCAGACUCAGUUUUUUAGUUUCGUCCUAAAACGUUGAAAGUAGGGCCAACACUAUGGCUUAGAAAGAAACUACACAAUUUAGAGCAAUGUCAAAGGUCUCGAAAGUUCACAUCUAACUGUUGGGUGGUCUUGUUUCGAGUGAUAUUAAAGUUGUUUUUCCGACGAAAGUCAAACGGUGAUGCCCCAGACUCAGUAUUUUAGUUUUGUCUCAAAAAGUUGACGAAAGGGCCAAUGCUAUGGCCUAGAAAGAAACUAUCGAACUUGGAACAAUGUCAAAGGUCUCGAAAGUUUACAUCUAACAGCUGGGUGGUCUCAUUUUGAGUAAAAUUAAAGUUUUUUUGUCCACGAAAUCUGAAAGAUAACACUCCAGAUUCAGUUUUUUAGUUCCGUCCCAAAACGUUAAAAAAGGGGCCAACGCUAUGGCCUAGAAAGAAACUACACAACUUGGAACAAUGUCAAAUGUCUCGAAAGUUCACAUCUAAUUGUUGGGUGCUCUCGUUUCAAGUAAUAUUAAAACUUUUUUUCCCACGAAAGCCGAACGGUGAUGCCCAAACUCAAUCUUUUAGUUUCAUCCCUUCAAGUAAUAUUAAAACUUUUUUCCCACGAAAGCCAAACGGUGAUGCCCAAACUCAGGUUUUUAGUUCCAUCCCAAAACAUUGACAAAAGGGCCAAUGCUAUGGCCUAGAAAAAAAACUAUCAAACUUAGAACAAUGUCAAAGGUCUCGAAAAUUCACAUCUAACUACUGGGUGGUCUCGUUUGAGUAAUAUUUAAGUUUUUUUGCCCACAAAAGCCAAACAGUGACGCCUAAACUCAGUUUUUAGUUUCGUCCCAAAACAUUGUCAAGAGGGUCAAUGUUAUGGUUUAGAAAGAAACUACCCAACUUAGAACUAUAUGAAAGGUGUUGAAAGUUUACAUCUAACUGCUGAAUAAUCUCGUUUUGAGUAAUAUUAACGUUUAUUUGCCCACCAAAGCUGAACGGUGACACCCCAGAUUCAUAUUUUUAGUUCCGUCCCAAAACGUUGACAAAAGGGCCAAUGCUGAGGCCUAGAAAGAAACUGCCCAACAUAGAACAAUGUCAAAGGUCUCGAAAGUUCAAAUCUAACUACUGGGUGGACUCAUUUCGAGUAAAAUUAAAGUAUUUUUACCCUCUAAAUCCAAACGGUGAUACCCAGACUCAGUUUUUAGUUCCGUCCCAAAACGUAGAAAAAAGGACCAAUGCGUUUUCAAAACUUUUUGGAUGGUUUGAAAACAAGUUUGUUGCACUUACACACUUGGUUGCCAUCUUGGGUCUCGAGCUGCUUUUAUAACUCUUGUUGAAAUUUGUGGUAGAUUACGAGUUACGAACAUAUGCUUGAGCAUCGUUAGGUCGUUUCGAAAGUUCAAACAAUACUUACACAUAUUUUAAACAAUUUUGAGGUUUCUUUCGAGAAAAAGUUUAGUUCACUUACACACUUUUCUUCUCUUAACCUUUUGGGGAGGUUAUGGGUUACGAACGUACCCCUAAGCCUAGUUAGGUCACUUUCGAAGUUCAAAGGAUACAUGGACACGGUUUCAACGCUUCUUCGGUUGGUUUGGGACUGAGUGUCCUGCACUUACGUACUUUCUAGUGCUUUUGGUCUUGUAGUGCUCUUCUCACACUUUCCAAACUUUUUGGUAGGUUAUGAAAUACGAACUUAUAGUUAAGCAACGUUACGUCGUUCUGAGAGUUCAAGUGAUGCUUAAACAUGUUUUGAACACUUUUAGGUAUGUUGCUACACUUACACACGUGGUUGCAAAUUUGGGUCAUGAAUAACCUUUUAGUACUUUUCUUUACUUUUCGGUAGGUUAUGAGUUGGGAACGUACACUCAAUCUUUGCUAGGUCGUUGUGAAAGUUCAAGUGGUGCCCAACUACGUUUCGAACACCUCUUGGGUUCGCUUGAGACUAAGUUUGCUGCAGUUGCACACUUGGUUGCCACUUUGGGUCAUGAAUUACUUUUUUAAUUCUUGUUGAAAUUUGGUAGGUUAUGGGUUAUGAACUUACACCUAAGCAUUGUUAAGUCGUUUUAAGCACUUUUUAGGUUUUUUUGAAACUAAGUUUGUUGCACUUACACAUUUGGUUGACAUGUUGGGUCAGGAAGUGCCAUGUUUACAACUUUUAAAAUUUUGGUAGAUUGUGAGUUACGACCUACACUCUAACCAUUGUUUGGUCGUUUUUGAAAAGUUAGACGCGCUUUGAAUGAUUUUUUGGUUUUUUUGAAAAGACGCUUGUGUGCGCACUUGGGUGGCAGUAUAGGACUUGGUAGUGCGCUUUCCGCACUUCUUGAACUCUUUGGAAGACCAUAAGUUACGGCCUUAAGCAUGGUUAGGUCGUUUUGAAAGCUCAAGUGAUUCUAGGACACGUUUUCAAAACUUUUGGGAUGGUUAGAAAAUAAGUUUGUUGCACUUACACACUUGGUUGCCAUCUUGGGUCUCGAGGCGCUUUUAUAACUCUUGUUAAAAUUUUUGGUAGGUUACGAGUUACGAACGUACGCUUGAGCAUCGUUAGGUCAUUUCGAAAGUUCAAACGAUACUUACACACGUUUUGAACACUUUUGAGGUUUCUUUUUUUUUUUAUAAGGUAAUGAUAAUAUUAUACAACAAUGCCAACAUGAGCUUAGCUCAACUGUUGAAAAGGGGACAAGCACAAAGCAAAAAACCAACUAAGAAUAACAAAGAGCGUCACAAAAAAAAUAAAAACUAAAUGUCUAGAACACGACCCAAGCCAGAUCAAACAGAAUAAGAGAAGAAAAAGACCAACUAAGAGUAACAAAGAGCGUCACAAAAAAAAUAAAAAUUAAAUGUCUAGAACACGACCCAAGCCAGAUCAAACAUAAUAAGAGAAGAAAAAUAAGUCAAACCAAAGAAAAUCCAAGACAACUCAACCCCCCAAUACCCAAUCCUAUGAGAAGAGGACAUGAACAUAAGGAUCCUGAUCAGAUUUCCCAUCCAAAAGGACAAGAAAAAAAUAAAUGAUCAGGAAUCGACCUAUCUCACAAACUCAACCUAUCCCUAGUACCCAAUCUAUCCCUGAUAGCGAACCAAGCACAAAAGCAAUGCCUGAAAAUAUUUUCCCCACCCACAGUAAGCCCGACCAACCAAUCCUAACCCAAUGAGGAUGAAUAGUAUCCCACGCACUAGCAAUCAAGAACCCAAUUACCUAGAAUCCAGACCCACCUAUCCUCAACACUUGGCCAACUCCAGUCUCCAUCCAAACCAAUGAAAUCAACCAGCCUAGCAUCCCACCGACUUGUCGCAUCGUAAAUCACACUCUCACCAAACUGCUGAAUGAUAAACCACCCUGCAACCACAGAUCCACCCACACUCUACACCUCCUUCCAUCCCCCAUUUCCAUCCUAACAUGCUCUUUCAGGUAAUCCCCCUUAUGCAAGAUGGCUCUAAAACUCCAAGAUCGACUAGCCUCAGGAUCGAGCUCCCACAACGAUCUCUCCUUAAGGAUGUGGGACCACCCUCAUCAAAAGGAAGACACACCUCAUCCCAAGCCACUUUUACACCACCUCUACCCUCCCCCUUACCUCUCCAAAGAAAGAUUGUAGAUCUUAUCAACAUCUCUGUGGACUUUUGGAGGCAGCACGAACACACUAGACUAAUACACAUGAAGACUACGAAGAACAAAGCGAACAAGUUGGAGUCUACCUGCAAAAGAUAAAACACUAGCAGACCAAGACCAAAUACGACCAAUUGUCCUCUGAAUAAGAGGAUCACAAUCAGAAAUCCAUAACUUUCCUGAGAGUAAAGGAAGCCCAAGAUAACGAACAGGGAGAUGACCAAUGGUAAAGCCCAUUUUAGCAGCUAGAUGAGAAGCUUCUGCACUAUUAAUCCCCACAAUAAAAAUAGAGCUUUUCCCAAGAUUAGCAAAAAGCCUUGAUAACUCACCAAACCUCUGAAUAGUCUCUUUAAUGAAGCUCAGAGAAGACUCAUGAGCAGCACAAAAGAUCGUAAGAUCAUCUGCAAAAGUAAGAUGAGUUAAAUUGACCUUCUCACAAAACUGGUGGAACUGAAAGUCUUGAGGCGGACGGUUCAACAUGCAAGAGAGGACCUCCAUGACCAUCGAAAUAAGAACGGAGAUAGCGGAUCACCCUGUCUAAGUCCUUUCCUCCAUGAAAAAAGCCUUCCAAAGAUGAAUGAAUCAUAAUGGACAACAUCUAAGAAGUGACACAAGCUCUAAUCCAACUCACAAAGCUCAAUGGAGUGCCAAUAGCCAUCAACAAACCAAAAAGGAAGUCCCAAUUGACAGAAUCAUAUGCUUUUUGUAGAUCAACACUACUACAAAAACAAGCUUUCUUGACGUUUGCAGUUUUCCUUUCUUAACGUUUUUUUCGAAAAACGUCAAGAAAGAUUUUAUUUUUAAUAAAAAACGUCAAGAAAUUUUCUGAAACAUCUUUCUUGACGUUUAUUAAACGUGAAGUAAAAUAAAUUUUCCCUUGACGUUUUUAAUACAUCAAGAAAUAUCUAUUAAUUUUUUGAUGUUCUUAAAACGUCAAGAAGCGUAUGAAUUCGACAUGCUUGACGUUUCUUAAACAUCAAGAAUUUAAAAUUUUACUCCACGUUUUAAAAACGUCAAGAAAUUUAUAAAAACAUCCUUGACGUUUUUAAAAAUGUCAAGAAAUUUAUAAAAUAUUCUUGACGUUUUUAAAAAACGUCAUAAAUUAUUCGUAAAACGACGUCGUUUUAGUUUAAGUUCAAUUUCUCUUUUCUAAAACCUAAUUUGUCGCGCGUUCGAAGGGAAGCUUCUCCAGAAUCUCAAGCUUUUGCAUUCAUCGUUCGUCGUUCUCCCCUUCGACCUUUCACCGUUCAUCGUUCUCCUUCAUUCAUUCACCGUUCAGUUCAUCGUUCACCAUUCACCAUUUGAAACUCGUAAUCACCUUUUCUGUUCGAAAACGCGUAACACAUUCACCUCUAUUUGAAAACGCGUGAAUACAUUCACCGGAAAACCUCCAUUUGUCUCCAAUUCCUGUGUAUGUAAAAGGGAAGCUCCUGUUAUUGCUUACACUGAGAAGGUAUUGAAUUUUAAUUUUGGGCUCUAACAUUUUUCCUAAUCUACUUCUUUCUUCUUCUUUUCAAUUUUACUUACUUGUAAUCGAACUGUGUUACAGAUAAUCGAAGAAGGGAGUUUUCAAUUGAGAAAGUACGAAUUUUAUCUUUACCUUCUCAGAUCUAGUUUCACAUGUAUUUUAUACCUUGCUUUCUUGUGUGUUUCUUUUGCUUUCAAUUUGAUUAUCACUUGUUUUUCUAUCUUACCUGUUGAAGGAAAUUGAAGUUUGGGGCGUUACCCUUGUGUACGUUCUUUAGAUGUUAACGGAUAUUGGUAUAGUAACUGUUUAUUUAUAAUGCAAAUUGCUCUAGUAUUCAAUUAAUGGUACUGGAGGAAAUCCUGAUGGAACCAUCCCGGCUUAGUUAAGUUUACUUUUUCCUUGAAGUACAAGUUUGAGCCUUCAAUUUAUGGAGAGGAACCCCCCUGCCUAUCUUCUGAGCUAAUAGGAUCAGUCUUUAUCUUUGAAAAUGAUACCACAUUAGAAACGACAUUUGGACCUGUUGUGUUAAUUACUCCAAGCAUGAAACUUGUACUUUUACAAGGAAUUGGUAAUAAUUAAUUCUGAAACAGGCUUGUUUAUUGUGAAUUUCUCACAUUAAUUUACUAUGUUGUGGCAUUGGGAAUUAAUUAGUUUAUGCUUAAAGAACAUUGAUUUUCUGAUUUUAUGAGUCAUUCUUUGUAUAAGUUUGACAGUAUUUUGCCUUUCCACAGUGUUCAAUUGUUGUAGUUUGUUGAAGAUUAGGUGUUUUUAAGUUUGUCCUUCCACUUUAAUUAUCAAUAGUGACAAUAACUUUAUUUCUCAUUAGAUUUACAAUGAUGGAUAAAUCUUGGAUGCACAAGAGUAGAUUGUCUAAAGAUUAUGAGUUGGGUGUGGAAAACUUCAUCAAAUUUGGAUUUUCUAAUACAACUAGCUCCUAUAUUCGUUGUCCUUGUUUGAAAUGUGGGAAUUGUGAAAAACAUAGUAGAAAGGGUGUUAGAGAUCACUUGUAUGUUAAUGGUAUUGAUGAAAGUUAAAAUUUGGUUUUGGCAUGGGGAAGAACUUCCUAACUCAUCCUUCUAUGAUGAAUCUUCAAAGUUUGACAUCAUACAUGUGAAGAUGAUGAUGUUGGAAGUGUAAAAGAAAUGAUUGAAGUUGCUCAUGAGGAGUAUUCAAAAGACCCAACUGGAUUUGAGAAGUUGCUUAUUGAUGCUGAAAAACCAUUGUACGAAGAUGCAAAAAGUACACAAAGUUGUCUACUCUAGUCAAAUUGUAUAAUUUAAAAGUUAGGUAUGGAUGGAGUGAUACUAGUUUUUCAGAAUUACUUGAAACUUUGAAGGAAAUUCUGCCUACUACCAAUGAGCUCCGAAUUCAUUGUAUGAAGCAAAGAAAACAUUAGGUGCAUUAGGAAUGGAAUACGAAAAGAUUCAUGCAUGCCCGAAUAAUUGUUGUCUCUAUAGAAAAGAAUUUGCUAAUGCAAUUGAAUGUCCUGAAUGUGGUCAAUCAAGGUGGAAAAACGUCAAGGAUACAAAUGAAAGGAGAAAGCAAAUUCCCUCUAAAGUGAUAUGGUACUUUCCAAUCAUUCCACGAUUUAAAAGGCUAUUCAGAAGCAUUGAAUGUGCUGAAAACUUGACUUGGCAUUCUACUAAAAGAAUUAAUGAUGGUAAGUUACGACAUCCAGCAGACUCUCCAGCAUGGAAGUUAGUAGACAUGAAAUGGCCAGACUUCGGUUCUGAACCCAGAAAUCUUCGUUUAGCAUUGUCAGCCGAUGGAGUAAAUCCUCAUGGUGACAUGAGUUCUAAAUACAGUUGUUGGCCGGUAGUGAUGGUUAUUUACAAUCUUCCACCAUGGUUGUGUAUGAAAAGAAAGUACAUGAUGCUAUCAAUGCUAAUUUCAGGACCAAAACAACCAGGGGAUGACAUAGGCAUAUACUUAGCACCACUAAUUGAAGAUUUAAAACUUUUAUGGGAAAGUGGUGUUGAAUGUUAUGAUGCUUAUCGAGAAGAACCAUUCAACUUAAGGUCAGUUUUGUUGUGGACAAUCAAUGAUUUUCCUGCAUAUGGUAACCUUAGUGGAUGUUGUGUGAAAGGGUAUAAAGCAUGCCCAAUUUGUGGAGAUAAUACAAAUUCUAUAAGGUUAAAGUAUGGGAAGAAAAUGGCAUACCUUGGACAUCGUAGAUUUUUGGCACGAAAUCAUCCGUAUCGACGACAAAAGAAGUCAUUCAAUGGUAAAAAAGAACUUGAUACAAUUCCAGAGCCACUUUCUGGGAGGAUGUGUAUUUAAAAUUGAAAGAUCUUGAAUUUUCUAGAGGGAAGAAGAACCAUAAGAAACGGUUGAUGAACAGAAGUGACAAAAUUUGUUGGAAUAGAUUAUCUUCUUUUUUGAGUUGCCAUACUGGAAGGAUCUUCAUGUUAGACAUUGUUUAGAUGUGAUGCACAUUGAAAAAAAAUUUGCAUGAAUAUCUUAGGUACACUUCUUGAUAUUCCUGGGAAAAGUAAGGAUGGAUUGAAUGCUAGACGCGAUUUAGUUGAUCUAAAACUUCGACCAGAGCUUGCCCUAUCAGCAGUGAAAAGAAAAUAUUCAUUCCGCCCGCGUGUUAUACUCUUACAAAGGAUGAAAAACGAUGUGUUUUGAAGACUGAAAUAAAGGUUCCUGAAGGUUACUCUUCCAAUAUUAGAAACCUUGUGUCAAUGACAGAUUUAAAACUUAAUAGUUUAAAAUCUCAUGAUUGUCAUGUGCUCAUACAACAGUUGUUUCCAUUGCGAUAAGAUCAGUGCUACCGAAACAUGUUCGUUAUGCUAUAACUAGGUUGUGCGUCUUUUCAAUUAUGUAUGCAACAAGGUAUUAGACGUACAACAACUAGACAAGUUGGAAGAAGUGGUAACAUUGUGUUGUUUGAAAAGUAUUUUCCCCCUUCAUUCUUCACAAUCAUGAUUCAUCUCACAGUACACAUAGUUAGAGAAGUCAAACUUUGUGGCCCUAUAUAUCUUCGAUGGAUGUAUCCCUUUGAAAGAUUCAUGAAGGUCAUUAAAAACUGUGAGGAAUAGAUAUCGUCCAGAAGGUUGUAUUGCUGAAAAUUUAAUAGAAGAAGCUGUUGAAUUUUGUACUGAUUUCUUAUCUGGAGUAGAUCCCAUUGGACUUGGGACUCGCAAGUCACAAGACCAUUUAGAUACUUCAAACAUUGGUAGACCAUUGUCCAUGGGAGUUCCUUUCAAACCUCAACAAGAACUUCUACAUCAAGCUCAUCAAUAUGUUUUGGAAAAUACAGUCGAUGUCCAACCAUAUACAAGUAAGUUUUUCUUGCUUUCUUGAUUGUUUUAUUGACUUUUAUAUACUUAAUCUAACUAUAUUACAAUGUUUGAAUUGAUGACUACAAAGAAAACAUAUGAAGGCUUUGCAACUACAAUAUGGAAUAAGUCUAGAAAUCAGAAAUGGCUUCAAGAGGAACAUAAUCGAACUUUUAUACAUUGGCUACGGGAAGAGGUAUAGUGCUGAACAUAGUAAUUUAGUUACACAUGUUAUGUGUCCAAUUUUAAAUAAGAAUUAUCAUGUUAGGUAUCAACUGAGCUUGAAGUUGGAAAUGCUGGAGUUUCAGAUAACUUACGAUGGAUUGCUCAUGGCCCUCAUCCUUUUGUUAUUAGAUAUAGUGGUUAUGCAAUCAAUGGAUGUCGCUAUCACACACAAUCUUGUGAUAAAGAACGAAGUGUACAAAACAGUGGAGUUAGCUUAGUUGCAAAAACAAUGCAAGUGUCUAGUUCUAAAGAUAAAAAUCCGGUCAUCGGAGAUAUGUCAUUUUAUGGAGUCAUACAAGAGAUAUGGGAACUGAAUUAUAAUACGUUUAAUGUUCCUGUGUUUAAAUGUGAUUGGGUUCAAAACAAUGGCGGUGUUCGGAUUGAUGAACUUGGUUAUGUUUUAGUUGAUUUGAAUAGAGUAGGACACAAGUCAGACUCCUUCAUACUAGCAAGUCAAGCAAAACAAGUUUUUUAUGUUGAGGAUCCAAGCGAUGUUAGAUGGUCAGUUGUGCUUACUCCACCACAAAGAGACUUUGAAGAUAGAUAUAACAACGAUGAACUUGGUGAUACUACAACGUGAAGGAAUACCCAAUGGUAUGCCAGAUGUUGACUUAAAUAAUGACUUGGAUGACAACAUCUUAACAUACAUACGAGCAAUUGUGAAGGCACAUGGAUACCUACAUAAUAUUAUAAGGUUUUGUUUACUGUCUCAAACUAAUAGUACCAUAAGUUUAUUAUGCUCAUUCAUCUCAAUUAAUUGAUCAGUUUUUAAUUUUGUUUAAAACUUGUAUACUAUGCUAAUUGUUUCUUCAUUUUGAUUGGCAGCCUUUGAUUCAUACAUCACAUGGACAACUUUAGUGAUGAAGAAGCUGGUGUUGAUGAGUUGAAACCAACAUUUGGAAUUGAGGAUGAUGAACAUCUUGGUACUAAAAAUGAAACCCCAAAGCAGAUAUGUAGCCACGAGGACCAACUAUUAUGUUGAUGUCACUCGCAUUAGAAGUUUGGGAGAGAAGAAGGUGGUGAUGUACAAUGAAGACGGAGUACCCAUUGGUGAGAAUAGAGCAAAGUUGAAGUCUUUCAUAGGAUCGACACAUUAUCAUGUCCCGAUCACAUAUUCAUCUUGGAAAAGUGUGCCUGUAGAGCUGAAAGAUAAAAUAUUAAGUACGGUGAGGUAUAUAUAUAAUUUCAAUGUGCUUAUAUUGAUAAUGUUCUGAUGUAUACUUUAUUAAUCACUUUUAAAUAUUUAGGCCGCAUUCGUCAUUGAUCCAAGAUCUAGGAAAAAUAUUAUCCAAACUGCAGGCAUUUCGUUUCGUCAGUUUAAGUGUUGGCUAACAACAAAAUAUAUUAUGCCACAUAAGGAUGAACCACAACUCCUACAAGUUCCACCAGAAAAGUAUUCAUUCAUUGAUCAACACCAUUGGGCAGAAUUUGUAAGGUCUAGAUUGUGUGAAACUUUUCAGGUAUGUUACUUUCUCACUAACAAAUAUAUUUGUAAGGUUUAGAUUGUGUGUUACUUUCUCACUAACAAUAUUUUUGGAAAAUAGGAAAAAAGACUUCUGCAACAAGAUAGACGAUCUAAGAACAAGUAUAACCAUAGGAUUUCGAGGAAGGGUUAUGCCAAUCUUAUCGAGGAAAUGGUAAGAACUAAUUUAUUAAGUUUAUCAAACUUUAUCAAAGGUUGUUCUAAUCUUAUUAUGGAAUUGGAAUGUAGAAAAAGGAAGGUUCAAAUCAACCGGAUUUGGAUCGAGCCAUCAUGUGGAAGAAGGCUCGAGUUAACAAAAAAGGAGUAUGAGAACGACGACGUUCAACAAGUUGUCCAUAAAAUUGUAAGACUUUUUGUAUAUUACACAUUUGAACUAGAUUGGUUUUGUUUACACAUUUUAUAACUUAGAUUGGUUUUUGUUUUAGGAUGAGAUUUCAAUGAAUACGUCUUCAUCGUCUCAAAAAGGACACUCUUCUAACGAUGUGUUAACCCAAGCAUUGGGUACAAAAGAGCAUCACGUCGUGUUCAUGGGGUCGGUGGGUAUGUUACUUCUACCAAUUACUUUCAUUCUGUAAAAAAGACAUCUAAACGUGAGGAUGAGAUUAUACUUGAGAAUAAAGAACUUCGAAGGCGUAAGCGAAUUAGAAGCACAUAUCCACUCAAACUUGUCUAGACCAUUAUCUGGACAUGGUAGCUGUUUCGAAGCCAAAUAUCUUAGAAGAGAGUGACUCGAUGAAAAUAAUCAAAGGAAAGAGUAAGUUGAUGGAUAAAAUCAAAGGGAAAGAGGUAGAGGAGAUCAAUGUAAAUGACGACAAAGUAAGUUGGACAUCUUUAAGGUAUGUGAUCGAUCCUCUAAUAAACUCAAAUUUUAAUAUUCAUAUCGUAUUGAAAGUGAAUAUUUUUCUUGAAUUAGGAGAGAGCCUUAAUAAAAAUGCCUAAGGAAAGAGAGGUUGUCUGUAAAUCGACGUCAGUUUUGCCAAUAGGAAUGAAGUUGAUUCUCAGAUACGCUGAGAAAAUAAUGAGAAAGAUUCUAGUAUCACUAUUCCACUACCUGUUGGCAUUUUUGGUAUUAGUCGAAAGACUUCUGUACUCCGAGAGGACAUCAUUGAUCUUUGUAACAUGAAUGAGGUCAAAACAUUUACAUUGGUGGCCUAUAUGACGUAAGUCAAUUUCAUUUCUUUAGAUCUAAAUUUAUGUAUCUCGUUUACAAGUUUAUAAUAUUUUGUAGGUACUUGUAUUCAUCUGUUCUUGGUUCGAAGGAAAAUAUACAGAACUUUUUUAGAUCCGUCCCUCACCUCUGCCGGACACUCGCAAGAAUCUCGAGUUCGAAACUUAUGCAGUAGAUUGAUGGUCUCAAAGAUUAACGAAAUAGUUCUUGCUCCUUUUAAUCCUGGGUAAGUCAAGUUAUUUUAUUAGUUGCAUUGCAAAAAACUAGUACUAAUAUUUUGUAUAAUUAGGUCAUUGGGCACUGCUAGCCGUAAAUGCGUAUGAUGAUACAAUAUUCUACCUCGACUCACUAAGGACAACAUCGAAGUCAACUAUAAGAUACGUCCCAACACGUAAGUUAUCUAGUAUUCAUUUAGUGUUGAUUCUUAUAUCCAUGUACACAAUAUUUAAACUAUUUGUUCAAUCUUAUCUUGUCAAAACAGAACAAUAGCGAUGUUUCAGUCACAAAAGAACAUUAAAAAAAGUAGAAAACAAACUUUAUGGCGAACAGUAAAGGCAAGUAUCAACUUUUAAAGUCAUUAUAUUUUGUAGACUACUAGCAAUUAGGUUUACUUUGUUAUUCAAAUUUGUUGCUUUUAUAUAGUGUCCUCUACAAGUCGGGAGUACUGAGUGUGGAUACUACGUGAUGAGGUAUAUGAGAAAUUGUGACUAGAAAUGUAAUGGAAUAUGAAAUCUAAUGUAAAGUCUAUUUCAUUAUGUAUGUAAAGUCUUGGAAUUGAAUAUAUAUGGUGAAUGGUUUUAUUUAUAUAUGUUUGAGAUUUGAAACUAUAUCUAAUGCGGUAUGUUAUAUAUCAAACUAUUGGUUUUGUGAGUUAAUUGGUUUAUUUGUAUAGUCAAUUCAUUUAAUUUAUUUUGCAUGUUUAUAGAUUGAUACAUGAAGAUCAUACUCAUAAGCAGAACUAGACGAGGUGCGAGUUGAGUUAGCUGACUUUCUGGGUUCUUACAUAUGAUUAUGACCAAUAUUUUGUGAUUCUGAAGUAGGAAAUUUUUGUUGUGUCGCUUCUUUAUAAUCUGAAACUUUAUGUAUAGAAACUUUAGGCGAUAAUUCUUUUGAAUUGUUCAUAUGGAGGAGAGGGGGGGUUCAUUCGUAUACUUUUGAUUAUUGUUAUAGCUAGCAUGUUUUGUGACUUUCUAAGUUGAUUUGGAUUCAUGGCAAUGUAAUGGAAUAUGAAAUCUAAUGUAAAGUCUAUUUCAUUAUGUAUAUGUAAAGUCUUGGAAUUGAAUAUAUAUGUGUGAAUGGUUUUAUUUAUAUAUGUUUGAGAUUUGAAACUAUAUUUGAUGAAUAUCAAAUAUCUAUGAAACUGUUGUUGGACAAUUACAGGACAAUCAGAAUAUAUUUCUUUCAAUUACAGCAUAAUUCAAUUACAAUUUCUUUUUUUUUAAAAAAAUUAAAAUAUGCUUGACGGUUUUAAAAUGUCAUAAACAAUUGCAUGCUUGACGGUUUUAAAAUGUCAUGAACAAUUGCAUUUUUGACAAUUUUAAAAUGUCAAGAACAAUAACAUUCUUGACAGUUUUAAAUGUCAUGAACAUUAAAAUUCUUGACGGAUUUAAAAUGUCAUAAACCAGUUCAUUCUUGAUGGCUUUAAAAAAUGUCAUAAACAAUAUCAAUCUUGACGGUUCUAAAACGUCAUGAAAAUAAGUAUAUUUGACGUUUAUAAAAUGUCAACGUUCACUAUUCUUGACGUUUAAUCAACCGUCAAGAACUUUUCCUUUCUUGACGCUGGUUUCAACGACGUUUUUAAAACCGUCAAGAGAGCCGUCUCUUGACAGUUUAAAAACGUCAUGAGAGCCUGUUUUUGUAGUAGUGCAACCUUCAUACUACACUGAGGUUUUCCUGAGUUGUUAUGGUAUCCCCAACAAGCUCCUAACAAAGAAGAAUAUUAUCAAUAAUACUCCUCCCUGGAAUGAAAGCACACUAAUUGGCACUGAUAAACAAAGGAAGCCACUCAUGAAGCCUAUCAUCCAAAAUUUUUUAGAUACACUUGUAAAUAACAUUACAACAAGAAAUAGGCCUGAAAUCUUCCAUACAUACAACAACCAUUUCUUUUAGGGAUAAGAGUAAUGGUUGUUGUAUUCACCCCUGAGGGAGAUAACUAGUCUCAAAUAAGUGUAAAACAACAUCACAGAAAUCCUCCCAAACAACAGCCCAAGCUCCUUUGAAGAAACUCACUGAAUACCCAUAAGGGUCAGGAGCCUUUUCGCUAUCCAUUGAGAAAAGAACUCGUCUCAAAUCCUCCCUUUCAAUUGGCACCUGAAGGGCUUGGCAGCACUUCUCAACACCAUCUAAACUGAACAAUAAUUUCUCAAUACUAGGAGAAAGCUCUCUGUAACCAAUAUUCUAACCAAUAUUUCUGAGAUCCCAAACUGUUUUUAAAAUAAUUUACUACCACUUGAGUCACCUCAUCAUGGUUAGUCAACGAGUACCAUCCGGAUCAACCACAAAACGCAAAAGCAUUACUGCUUUGACGAGACCAUACAAACUGAUGAAAGAAGGCAGUAUGCUCGUCACCUAACUUCAGCCAACGUAUUCUGGACUUUUGGGACAUAGUGGCUUCCUCCACUUUAACCGCUCUCCAAAAAUUCACUGUGACUGUUUGCUUGAUUACUCAGCUUCUCAGAUAGAGGAUUAAUCUCCACCUCUCUCUGAGCUUGGGCCAUGGUAUCCUUAGCAAGACGAACAUCCUCACUAAUGUGUCGAAUGCUUACAAAAUGGCUACGUAGAAGCGGCUUUAGAUUCCUUAAAUUUUCACAAAACUCACAAUCGACGAAACCCUAGUAUCUCUAGCCCAAACUGAGAGAAACAAUAUCCCAAAAGGAAGCUUCCUCAACCCAAUGGUUAAAGAAAGGAAAGAGAUGACCCGCUGUCUUCACUGAUAGCUGGGAUAAACAAGGAUGGGAGAGUGAUAAAAAAAUGCCCCAAGGAACGACGUUAACCCACAUGUUAGGCCAAGCACUAAGCCCUCAUCAUUCACAAAUACGAUCUAGCCUCCUCAUCAAACCAAACCCAUGGACCUUACUAGUCGAGUAAAUCAGUUUCCCUGAACGAUGGUUCAACAAGGUCAGCCUCGCGAAUAGCCAUGUCAAACUCCUCUAUAUCCCAGGACUUGGAGCUCCACCGAAGGCUUCAAAAUGAAGUCUAAUGGUAUUAAAAUCACCCAGGACCAUACCGACCCUCUCCAUUUAACAAAAAUCUCAGUCAUACGCCGUCACAAAAUACGACUCUCAAUAUUACUAUUGGAGGCAUACACACAAAGAACCUCUAUACUAUCCCCUAAGAGCAAAUAUGUUACCAAAACCAGAGAUAAACUGAUCAGCAACCUCGCUAGGCGUGAACGAAACCCACAUACGACCUAUUCCACUAUUGUUGUAAUUACUAGUGAACCCACGAAUCACCAAACCUUCCAAAGAUAGAAUAAAAAUUUUCUUCUCGAACUCUAGUUUCCAAGAUACAACAGAAACCCACCGUAUACACGGCCAGAAAAGCCAUCACCGCUCUACACUUUACAAGGUUAUUAAGACCCCACACAUUCCACGAACACCAACGAAUCAUGAGGUCAUAUAGGAGCUUUUGCUCCCAGAGGAAUACCAUCAAGGGACUUACUCAUAAGAACCAAGUCAGAAUCAUUUACACGUAGGGGUGGAAGAGAGCCAUCCACUAUAGAUAAAGCCCAUUUGUCUCCUUCACCCACAUCCCUGAGGCUGCCAAAAGAGUUAUUCGUAAUCACCUCGACUCUUUUUCCUUUAUUCAUGAACCGAGACCAACUCCCUAUUCUUUCUAGCAACAAUAGUAAAGUCAUCACGGUUUUCUACCUCCUUAUCCUCCACAGGCCUCAAAGGACUCCAACACAACAUCAUCAUAAUCCUCACUUAACGGAACCACCUCUUUAAUAGGAGUCACCUUACUUUUAACUUCCUUUCUAAUGACUUUAUUUUCUACACUCCUAGGACAGUACCAUUGAUGUGUCCAAAGGAACAACACAAGUUACACUUUCUAGGCUUCCACUCAUACGUUAUGGUCACUAAAAACUCCUCUCCCCUAAGAUUUAUAGUUAUAUCAGCAAGUAUAGAGCUGCUCUACAUUCAUUUCCACACAUACUCGGGCAUAUGACAGCCUACGUCUCUCUUUGGUAGCAAGAUCUAAAGAUAAGGGCUUUCCUAUACACUCGCAACAACAGCCCAACUAACAUUUGUCCAUAAUUCCAAUAGGAUCCUCCCUAGUUUAAUCCAAACGGGAACAGAAUCAAAGAUAAAAGUUUUAGGGACAAUACCUAGAGUCUAUUUCCGGAGGAGCAUGGGUUUUGCCCAAGGUGCCACGGUCACACGAGACAUGAUCCAAUCUAUCGAUUUCGGUUGUUUAAAUUGGAAGCAAAUGAGGCCAUUCUCCAUAAGUGUGAUUGUAGGCAUUUCGACUCUUCCCAAAUCUUCUCUAUUAGUCGAUAAAUGACUGGAUAAGGCAAUUUUGCAUCAAUUAAUUGUCCUACUAGGGAGUUCUCUCAUACCCUAACUCCUUGAUCAAUGAUCUCGAUCUCUUCGGUGGGAGUCACCACAAUUUUAUCCCCUACGGAAGUAGGAGGAGUAUAAGCCAUAGGCUUUCCACUUGUCGAACCAAAUAAGGAAGCCAUGAUGAGUUAGCUUCACCAUGAUGUCUCGGCAUAAUAGGUGUCUUUCAAACUUCACCUCCAUCCUGCGGCCCAUCAACACCAGCCAGCCCAACAGCUUUAGUCAGCCAAUUUGAAGACUCGGCUUCAUCCUUCAGCCCAGCAUAUCCAUCCGGCCCAUGUAGUCGGUCCAUUAGAUCUUCCAGGCCCAUCAACCAUUAGCCCAUUAGCAACCAAGCUGAAGCACGGGACUCACUUGAGCCGCGGUUUUCCUCAAUCGGUUCUUGUUCCUCAGACCGGUUCUUCCUAAUUGAUUUUAGGUCAUCCCUCGCCGCCGCCAAUCUGCGUUCUUUGGCCGCCAUGUCAUGAACCUGUUGAAGACGCGUCAUUGCUUGUUUCUUCACCGUCGCUGCAUCAUUCGAGUGAAGCUUCAUCGUUUAUUUCAAUAGAAUUCAUCCAAGUUUUCAUCGAAAUUGAACGAGGAAAGAAAUCUGGUCUCCUGCCAACGGGAUCCAAUGCAGCUCGAUCAAUCUAUCCUUUGAAUUUGCCGGAUAGAUUUCAAACGGUAUAAAAUUAAAUACCACGAAUGAAUUUCAGUCUGUCCGUGCUUUGAUCUUGAUCCACCGUUCUAAUCCUCUCUCUCAAUCUGCCUAAAUCUCAUGUGGCCGGACUGAAUUCACCGAGAAAUUAAAACCACAAUAAACAUCCAGAUCUGAAGUCUAUAUCACGUAAAAACCCUGCCGUAAAUCACCACGAAAUGUCUUCAAUUGAUCUGAAAGCCUCUGAAUGCACAUUCUUCAACAAUCUAAGAUUGAUCAUUAAACGAUCAAAUUCAGACCACCUGCAAAACUCCUCUUUCACCAGCGGAGCGGGAGAAAUUAGAAUUUUUUUGGGAGACGCACGUUAAUUACACGCGCCCACUUCUUAUCCUCCGAGAAAUUUACACAGAAUUUCACGACCUACAAAAUAACCGUUGUUUGGUCGUUUUUGAAAACUUAGAUACGCUCCGAACAGUUUUUGGAUUUGUUUUGAAACGAAUCUUAUGCACGCACUUAGUUGCAGUAUAGGACUGCCUUUUUCGCGCUUCUUUAAUGUUUGAAAGGCGAUAAGUUACGAACUUAAGCAUUGUUAGUAGUUCUCACAGCUCAAGUGAUUGUGGGACACGUUUUCAAAACUUUUUGGAUUUGUUUGAAACUAAGUUUGUUGCACUUACACACUUGUUGCCGUUUUGGGUCUUGAGGUGCUUUUAUAACUCUUGUUGAAAUUUUUGGUAGGCUACGAGUCACAAACUUAGACUUGAGCAUCCUUAGGUCCUUUGGGAAGUUUGAACAAUACUUCCACACUUGUUGAACACUUUUAAGGUUUUGUUUGAGAAAAAAUUUGGUUCACUUACACACUCUUCUUUUUUCCUUAACCUGUUGGGGAGGUUGCGAGUUACAACGUACCCUUAAGCUUUGUUAGGUCACUUUCAAAGUUUAAAUGAUACUUGGACAUGGUUUCAACACUUCUUAGGUUGGUUCGAGACUGACCCUUGUGUACUUGCAGCACCUUUGGUCUCGAAGUGCUCUUCUCACACUUUCCAAACUUUUCCGUAGGUUAUGUGCUGUGAACUUAUAGUUAAGCAACGUUACGUCAUUCUGAAAGUUCAAGUGAUACUUAAACAUGUUUUGAACACCUUUUAGGUUUGUUGCUGCACUUACACACGUGGUUGCCAAUUUGGUUCACGAAGUACCAUUUCCACUUUUCUGACUUUUUGGUAGGUUAUGAGUUGCGAACGUACACUCGAGCUUUACCAUGUCGUUCUAAAAGUUCAAGUAAUGCCCAAACACGUUUGAACACCUCUUGGUUUAAGAUUGAGACUAAGUUUGUUGCACUUGCACACUUGGUUGCCACUUUGGAUCACGAAUUACUUUUUAAAUUCUUUGUUGAAAAUUUUGGUAGGUUAUAGGUUACCAAUUUACGACUAAGCAUUGUUAGGUCAUUUUAAACACAUUUUAGGUUUGUUUGAAACUAAGUUUGUUGCGCUUACACACUUGGUUGACAUGUUGGUCAUGUAGUGCUAUUUUUACAACCUUUAAAAUUUUGGUAGGUUGUGAGUCACGAGCUACAAUUUUAACCAUUGUUUGAUCGUUUUUUAAAACUUAGACACGCUUCGAACAAUUUUUUGGAUUUGUUUUGAAACGACGCUUGCGCACGCACUUGGUUGGCAGUAUAAGACUUGUAGUACCUUUUUCGCACUUCUUGAACUCUUGGAAGGCCAUAAGUUACGAACUUAAGCAUUGUUAUGUGGUUCUGAAAGCUCAAGUGAUUGUCGCGACGUUUUCAAAAAAUUUUGUGUUGGUUUAAAACUAAGUUUGUUGCACUUACACAUUUGGUUGUCGACUUGGGUCUUGAGGUUCUUUUUUUUUUUUUUUGAAAAGGUACUGAUAAUAUUAUACAACAACAAAGAGGACCUCACAGCCUGAGGUCAAGGCACAAGAGCGAAAAACGCUCACACUGAGAAGAUAAGUAAAAACCAAAAGACAAGCAACAACCCGAAACAACCAAACAGGUCCUUAAACAACACAUCCUAAAGAUAGCGAAAAUACCCCAGCCCGGGGACAAGCACAAAAACAAAAACCAACUAAGAAUAUCAAAGAUCGUCACAGAUAAAAAAAUAAGCCAAACCAAAGAAAAUAACAUUGAAAAUAAAAAUAAAACCCCACAGCCAGGGGACAAGCAGAAAGUAAAAGCACACUAAAUAAAAUCAUGAACAUCUCCGACCAAGAAGCAGUACGAGCUCGAAUGCACGAUCGAAUGAUCUGGAAAAUAAUCAUAGGCUCACGAACUUAACUCCAUGAAGACGAUGAUUACGCUUCUGCCAAAUGAAGUAAAUCGUAGCACACCAGAGAAGACGCCACAACUUUUUCCUUAAUCCCUUCCCUAUGCCUUGAUAGCAAAUCCAAGUGAACUCAACCUCUCAAUACCCAAUCCUAUGAGAAGAGGACUUGAUCGUAAGGAUCCUAGACAAAUUUCUCACCCAAAAGGACAAGAAAAAAACAAUGAUCACGAGACUCAUAAUUCCCCCCACAAAGAAUACAAGACAAAGGAAUCGACCUAUCCCACUGACUUAAUCUAUCUCUAGUACCCAAUCUAUCCUUGAUAGCCAACCAAGCACAAAAAAAGGAAUGCUUUGGAUAUUUCCCCCACACCACAGUAAACCCGACCAACCAACCCUAAUACUAUGAGGACGAAUAGUAUCCCACGCACUACAAUCGAAAACCCAUCAUGACUACCCAGCAUCCAGACCCACCUAUCCUCAACACUAGGAUACGGCCUAACCCUCUGAAUCCUAUCCCAAAUGUCCAUCAAUUCCAUAGAAACACGCAACCACCUUCAUUUACCAUCCAAACUAAUGAAAUCCGCAAGCCUCGCAUCCCUCGACUACUCGCAUCGUAAAUCACCCUAUCACCAAAACUGUUGAAUGAUCGAGUCACCUUGUAACCAUGGAUCCAACCAUACUCUACACCUCCUGCCAUCACCCACCUCCAUCUUAACAUGUUCUUUUAAUAAAUCCCUCGUACGUAAGAUGACCCUAAAAUACAAAGAUCGACAAACUCCAACAUCGAUCUCCAACAACGAUCUUCCAUUAAGGAUAUAAGCCUCCACCCAAGCAACCCAUAGAGAGCCAGACUUAACGAGCAACAACCAUAAAAUCUUCAUCGUGCUCGCUAUAUUCCAAGAAGACUGAUCUUGAAUAGUAAGAUCGCUCUCAUCAAAAGGAAGACACACCUCAUCCCAAGCAACUUUAGCACCAUCUCUACCCUCCUCCUUACCUCUCCAAAGAUAAGACCGUAGAAUCUUAUCAACAUCUCUGUGGACUUUCGCAGGCAGCAUGAACACACUAGCCAAUAAACCUGUAGACUAUGAAGAACAGCUUUUACAAGCAAAACUCUACCUACAAAAGAUAAAACUCUAGAAAAGAACGAAUAUAAUGUUGGCUUUUUGGGCCCUUAAUCUCAAAUUAAUUUAUUUUAAUUAUUCAAUUAAUUUAUGUUUUGAUGAUAACAAAUCUGAUUUUUUUAUUGACAAUUUUAUUAAUUUGAAUAGACCAUAUCGUAGAGCUUGGAAAAAUGAUUCUAACGCCUCUUGAAUCACCCAAAUCGAAGUUCAAAUGAAGAAAAUAUUGCUAAAAGAAGCUUAACGAAAAAAUACCCGAGAUGGUGACGUGGCGACCAAGCAUUCAAUUUGAACCAAUUAGAGAAAGCCACUUGGAGCAAUGAAGAAGUAACAAAUGUGGCUUUUUGUUAUGUUUUAUUGGCUUUUAUAAAGAAAAUGAAUUUAAAAGAAAAUGAUUUUAAUAUUAUUAUUUUUUUGUGUCUAACGGCUAGUUUUUUUAAAAGAGGGUGAAGUUGCUUUAUUGAUUUCUUUUUAAACAAAAUAUUUUGAAAAGACAUAUUAUUAUAUUAUUAUUUGUAUUGUGUCUAACGGCUAAUUAAGUUUAAAUCUCAACCAUUCAUUUUUCUUUUACUUAUAUCUAAUGACCCAAAUGAUUUUGAAUUUAUCUUUCCUCUCUUUUUAAAUACUUCACAUUUACACAAGAUCACACAUCUUUACAAUCCUCAAGCAAAAAGCCAACAUUGUUAUUCUCUCUAAAGCUUCCAAUUUUUAUUCUUUUCAUCUUAUUCUUGAGAGCUUCUUAUUGUAUUGUGAGGAUUAAAUUUGUGAGCUUCAAAUUGUAUACUCACUCUUUUAGAGAGUUUUCUUUUGUGUGAUUUAAAAAUUUCAACAUAUUGUAACGGUUGGAUCCUAACCCGUGGAAAGGAUCGGGUUUGCUCUUGAACCCGAAAAAGGAGCAAGAAUCGGUUCGGCUCAAAUCCGUGGAAAGAGUCCAAAGAAGAUUUUCAAUCAAAAUCCCAAGGGUGCUUGGGAAAGUGGAUGUAGGUUGAGUUUAACCGAACCACUAUAAAAUUACGGUGUCUUCUUCUCUAACUCUUUUCUAAUUAUUUUUUAAUUUAAUUUUAGUUACAUAUUCUUAUUGGUUGAGUUUGAUUGCAUACUUCCAUUCAUAUCUUUUUAUCAAUCUUGUUAUUUAACAAAGUUUACAAAGUUCUUUAUUUAAAUUUUAGAAAAUAUCUAAUUAGUUGAUUUUACUUUUUAUUUGUCAAAAAGUUUAUUUAAACCCUAUUCACCCCCCUCUAGGGUUGCCAUACCGAUCCAACAAUUGGUAUCAGAGCAGGUUGCUCAUCUUGAAAUUUUAAUUUCUUGAUAAACUUUAUUGUUAGAGCAUUAUGGCAAACCUAUUGGCAAAUGGUAUUGUUGAAGGUCAAUCUACUUCUAGACCUCCUUAUUUUGAUGGUUCAAAUUAUGCAUAUUGGAAAGCUAGAAUGAAAAUUUAUUUGCAAUCUAUUGACUAUAAUUUGUGGUUAAUUGUUGCUAAAGGUCCUUAUGUACCCAUGAAAAAUGUUGAUAAUGUUGAUACGCCUAAAUUAGAAGAAGAGUAUGAUGAAAAUGAAAUGAAAAAGUGUUCAUUUAAUGCUAAGGCUAUUAAUGUUUGUAUUGUGCCUUGAGUAAAGAUGAAUUUAAUAGAAUAUCCAUGUGUUCUUCCGCUCAAGAAAUUUGGAAUACUCUUGAAAACUAUAUCAUGAGAACAAAUCAGUUAAAGAGUCUAAAAUUAGCAUGUUUGUUCAUAAUUAUGAAUUGUUUAAGAUGGAUGCUAAUGAGACUAUCACCGAUAUGUUUACUAGAUUUACUAACAUCAUAAAUGCUUUGAAGGGUCUUGGUAAAGUUUAUACAACUUCCGAAAAUGUUAGAAAAAUUCUAAGGUCUCUACCUAAGACUUGGGAAGCUAAGGUAACGGCGAUUCAAGAAGCAAAGGAUCUCACCAAACUUCCACUAGAGGAGCUUAUUGGCUCACUCAUGACUCAUGAGAUCAUCAUGAAGGAGCACUUGGAGGAUGAGUCCAAAAAGAAGAAGAGCAUUGCAUUAAAGACUAUCUCCUUGGAAGUUGAUCCCGAAGAUGAGGAUGGCCUUGAUGAAGAUGACAUUGCUUAUUUCUCACGUAAGUACAAAAAUUUCAUAAAAAGAAAGAAAUAUUUCAAGAAACACCUAUCAACCCAAAAAGAGUCAAAAGGUGAGAAAAGCAAAAAGGAUGAGGUGAUUUGUUAUGAAUGCAAAAGAUCGGGUCAUAUAAGAACGGAUUGUCCUCUCCUCAAAUCAUCUAAGAAAUCCAAGAAGAAGGCAAUGAAGGCUACAUGGGAUGAUAGUAGUGAAAGUGAAAGUGAAGUUGAAGAAAUGGCAAAUCUUGGUCUCAUGGCUCAUAGUGACAAAGAUGAUGAACAUGAUGAUAAGGUAACUCUAGAACCUCUUUCUAUUGAUGAAUUAUUUGAAAAUUUUGAAAGCAUGCAAAAUGACCUAGAAAAACUUAGUUCUAAGUAUGUUGUGCUUAAGAAGAAAUACAAUGUUUUAAUUAGUGAAAAUAAGUCUUUACUUGAUACAAUUGCUUGCUUUAAAGAGAAUGAAAAUUUUGAGCAAAUUGAAGAAUUGAAUGUCUCUAGUGAUAAGCAUGUUUGUAUUGAGAAAGAUGCUUUGCUUGAUAAAGUUAGAUUUCUUGAGCAUGAUAGUUGUGAAAAAGAUAACUUGAUUAAAGUGCUUAAAGAAAAUGAACUAAGUGUUUUACAAGAACUUGAUAAAGCUAAAGAAACUAUUAAAAAGUUGACAAUAGGUGCUCAAAGAUUGGACAAAAUUAUUGAAGUAGGAAAAUCUUAUGGUGAUAAGAGAGGUUUAGGCUAUAUUGAUGAAUCAUCUACUCCUUCAAGUUCUAAAACUACAUUCGUUAAAGCAUCACCUAUUGUGCCUAAGUUUAACAUGUCUAAUCAUGUGUCUAAUCAUGUUAAAUCUAGUUUUGUACCCAUAUGUCAUAAUUGUGGUGUUGAAGGUCACAUUAGACCUAAAUGCUUUAAAUUGAAGUAUGCUCAAAAUACUUAUUCAAGAAGAAAUUUUUCGCAAAGAGCAAAGUUUUACAUUGCUCCAAGGAAGAAUUUCUCCAAUAAAAGUAGAGUACAUAAAUUUGUUAUGAAAAAUAAAUCUUUGCAUAAUGUUGUUUGUUUUUCUUGUGGCAAGUAUGGACAUAAAGCUUAUUCUUGUUACCUAUCUAGAUCUAGUGCUUGUAAUGUCUAUGAAAAAAUGAAAUGGAUCCCUAAAUAUGUAAAUGCUAACAUUCUAGGACCCAAACAAGUAUGGGUACCAAAGGAUCAAACUUGAAAUUAGUUGUUUUUAGGUUUGUUUGAAAGCCUCCAAGAAAAACAAAUGGUACUUGGAUAGUGGUUGCUCAAGACACAUGACGGGAGACCGAUCCAAGCUUAUCUCUUUCUCCAAAAAGAAUGGAGGCAUGGUAACCUUUGGUGACAACAAGAAAGGUAAAAUAAUUGGUAAGGGUAAUAUAGGAAAUGAUUCAUCUACUUUGAUUGAAAAUGUUCAUUUGGUUGAUGGUUUAAAGCAUGAUUUGCUUAGUAUUAGUCAAUUGUGUGAUAAAGGAUUUAGAGUAAUAUUUGAUAAAAAAAUUGCAUAAUUGAAAAUGUUAGUGAUAGAAAAGUUUUGUUUGUUGGAAAUAGGGAUGAAAAUGUGUACACUCUUGAUUUGAAUGAUUAUCCUAUUAUUGAUAAAUGUCUUUCGGUUUUGCAUAAUGAUUCUUGGUUAUGGCAUAGAAGACUAGGACAUGCUAGCAUGCACUUAAUUUCAAAUAUUUCUAAAAAUUGUUUGGUUAGAGGUCUUCCUAGUUUUAAAUUUGAAAAAGACAAAGUUUGUGAUGCUUGUCAAAUGGGUAAGCAAACUAAGUCCUCUUUCAAAUCUAAAAAUGUGAUCUCUACUACUAGACCCUUACAACUAUUACACAUGGACUUAUUUGGCCCUUCUAGAAUUGCUAGCUAUGGAGGAAAUUAUUAUGCUUUUGUGAUAGUUGAUGAUUUUUCUAGAUUUACUUGGGUUUUGAUGAUAAAACAUAAGGAUGAUGCUUUGAAAAGUUUUAUUAGUUUUGCAAAAAGAGUACAAAAUGAAAAGAGAUUUUUUAUUUCCAAAAUUAGGAGUGAUCACGGAGGAGAAUUUGAUAAUGAUGCUUUUAAAGCUUUUUGAAGAAAAUGGUUUUUCCCAUAAUUUUCCUCCAAGACUCCUCAACAAAAUGGUGUAGUUGAAAGGAAAAAUCGUACUUUGCAAGAAUUUGCUAGAUCAAUGUUGAAUGAGUAUGGUUUACCUAAAUAUUUUUGGGCGGAAGCCGUUAACACCGCUUGCUAUGUUUCAAAUAGAGUUUUAGUUAGACCAUCUUUAGAUAAAACUCCUUAUGAACUUUGGCAUGGAAAAAUUCCAAAUAUUGGGUAUUUCAAAGUUUUCGGUUGUAAAUGUUUUAUUUUGAAUAACAAAGAAAAACUUGGAAAAUUUGAUUCUAAGACGGAUGUUGGUAUUUUUCUAGGAUAUUCCUCUACUAGUAAAGCUUAUAGAGUUUUCAAUAAGAAAACUUUAGUUAUUGAGGAAUCUAUUCAUGUUGUAUUUGAUGAAUCUUGGAAUAAUGUUUCUAAUGAGUCUAUUUGUAGUGAUGAUUUAGAAAAAGAUUUUGGAGAUUUACUUGUUAAUGACAAAGGCAAAGAAAUUGUUCCAAGUAUGCAAGAUGUGAACAUCAUAGAGAAGAAAGAAGAGGGUUCUUCAUCCUUGCCUAAAGAGUGGAGAUAUGCUCUAUCCCAUCCCAAGGAUCUAAUUCUUGGCAAUCCCGAACAAGGUGUCAAAACUCGUUCUUCUCUUAAUUUAUUUAGUAAUCUUGCUUUUGUGUCUCAAAUUGAACCUAGAAGUUUUAAAGAUGCCGAAUGUGAUGAGUUUUGGAUUUUAGCUAUGCAAGAAGAAUUAAAUCAAUUUGAAAGAAACAAAGUUUGGAAAUUAGUCCCUAGGCCUUCUAAUGCCAUCUAUAAUCGGAACUAAAUGGGUUUUUAGAAAUAAGAUGGAUGAAAAUGGAAAUAUCAUUAGAAAUAAAGCUAGACUUGUAGCUCAAGGUUAUUGUCAAGAAGAAGGUAUAGAUUAUGAAGAAACUUUUGCACCGGUUGCUAGAUUAGAAGCUAUUAGAAUGUUGCUUGCUUUUGCUUCUUAUAAAAAUUUCAUUUUAUCAAAUGGAUGUAAAAAGUGCUUUUUUAAACGGUUAUAUUGUGGAGGAAGUUUACGUAGAACAACCUCCGGGCUUUGAAAGUUUUGAUUUACCUAAUCAUGUUUAUAAGUUGAAAAAGGCUCUUUAUGGCUUAAAACAAGCUCCAAGAGCUUGGUAUGAUAGACUUAGCAAGUUUUUACUUGAGAAUGACUUUAAGAUGGGAAAAAUUGAUAAUACUCUAUUUAUUAAAGUUAAAAAUAAUGACAUGCUUAUAGUACAAAUUUAUGUGGAUGAUAUUAUAUUUGGUUCUACUAAUUCAUCUUUGUGUGAAGAAUUUUCCAAGUGUAUGCAUAAUGAGUUUGAGAUGAGUAUGAUGGGAGAACUUAGUUUCUUCCUUGGUCUUCAAAUCAAACAACUCAAGGAUGGCAUCUUCAUAAGUCAAGAAAAAUACACAAGGGAUUUGCUCAAGAAAUUCAAAUUAAAUGAAGGUAAAGUUGCAAAAACUCCUAUGAGCACUACCACUAAGCUUGACAAAGAUGAAAAAGGUAAGUGUGUGGAUAUAAAGACUUAUCGAGGUAUGAUUGGAUCUUUACUUUAUUUGACCGCUAGUAGACCCGAUAUCAUGUUUAGUGUAUGUCUUUGUGCUAGAUUUCAAUCUUGUCCUAAAGAAUCACAUUUCCAUGCUGUUAAAAGGAUACUUAAAUAUUUGCUUGGAACUAUUGAUGUUGGAUUAUGGUAUCCUAGAAAUGUUGAGUUUAAUUUGGUAGGAUAUUCCGAUGCGGACUUUGCCGGUAGUUUACUUGACCGUAAAAGUACUAGUGGGACUUGUCAAUUUCUUGGUAGUUCCUUAGUAUCUUGGUUUAGUAAAAAGCAAAAUUCGGUUGCCUUAUCCACUACCGAAGCGGAAUAUAUUGCGGUUGCUAGUUGUUGUGCACAAAUUCUUUGGAUGAAACAAACUCUUUGUGAUUUUGGAUUAAAAUUUGAUAAUGUGCCUAUAUUUUGUGAUAAUACUAGUGCCAUAAAUUUGACUAAGAAUCCUAUUCAUCAUUCUAGAACUAAGCAUAUAGAUAUUAGGCAUCACUUUAUUAGAGAGCAUGUACAAAAUGGUCAUAUUACUCUUGAGUUUGUAAGUUCCAAUAAUCAAUUAGCGGAUAUAUUUACCAAACCUUUGAGUGAAGAAAGCUUUUGUAAAAAUAGGCUUGAGCUUGGAAUUAUUCGUUGUGAUGCAUCUUGAUUUUAUAUCUUACUUGAUAUUGUUACCCUAAUGCAUAUUGAUAGGGGAGAAUUAGACAUUUUGUAUGUGUUCAUAUUUUUUUGGGAGAGCUAACUUCCUUGGUAUUGUUUUUGAUGAUUCCAAAGGGGGAGAAGUAUAAGAAAAAUAUGAUUAAUUAAGGACAAAGAAGGUUCUCUUAUCAAUUGUUUUCAAGUAUGAUCUUUGUGGUGAAAUAUAUACAUGAGCUUUAUGGUUAUACAUCUUGAUAAUAGAAUUACUUGUUGACCAUGUGUGUUUCAAGUUAUUUUUCUUCAAUGAUUUGUCAUCAUCAAAAAGGGGGAGAUUGUUGGCUUUUUGGCCCUUAAUCUCAAAUUAAUUUAUUUUAAUUAUUCAAUUAAUUUAUGUUUUGAUGAUAACAAAUCUGAUUUUUUUUAUUGACAAUUUUAUUAAUUUGAAUAGACCAUAUCGUAGAGCUUGGAAAAAUGAUUCUAACGCUCUUGAAUCACCCAAAUCGAGUUCAAAUGAAGAAAAUAUUGCUAAAAGAAGCUUAACGAAAAAUACCCGAGAUGGUGACGUGGCGACCAAGCAUUCAAUUUGAACCAAUUAGAGAAAGCCACUUGGAGCAAUGAAGAAGUAACAAAUGUGGCUUUUUGUUAUGUUUUAUUGGCUUUUAUAAAGAAAAUGAAUUUAAAGAAAAAUGAUUUUAAUAUUAUUAUUUUUUAUUGUGUCUAACGGCUAGUUUUUUUUAAAAGAGGGUGAAGUUGUUUUAUUGAUUUCUUUUUAAACAAAAUAUUUUGAAAAGACAUAUUAUUAUAUUAUUAUUUGUAUUGUGUCUAACGGCUAAUUAAGUUUAAAUCUCAACCAUUCAUUUUUCUUUUACUUAUAUCUAAUGACCCAAAUGAUUUUGAGUUUAUCUUUCCUCUCUUUUUAAAUACUUCACAUUUACACAAGAUUACCACAUCUUUACAAUCCUCAAGCAAAAAGCCAACAUUGUUAUUCUCUCUAAAGCUUCCAAUUUUUAUUCUUUUCAUCUUAUUCUUGAGAGCUUCUUAUUGUAUUGUGAGGAUUAAAUUUGUGAGCUUCAAAUUGUAUACUCACUCUUUUAGAGAGUUUUCUUUUGUGUGAUUUAAAGAUUUCAACAUAUAGUAACGGUUGGAUCCUAAUCCGUGGAAAGGAUCGGGUUUGCUCUUGAACCCGAAAAAGGAGCAAGAAUCGGUUCGGCUCAAAUCCGUGGAAAGAGUCCAAAGAAGAUUUUCAAUCAAAAUCCCAAGGGGUGCUUGGGAAAGUGGAUGUAGGUUGAGUUUAACCGAACCACUAUAAAAUUACGGUGUCUUCUUCUCUAACUCUUUUCUAAUUAUUUUUUAAUUUAAUUUUAGUUACAUAUUCUUAUUGGUUGAGUUUGAUUGCAUACUUCCAUUCAUAUCUUUUUAUCAAUCUUGUUAUUUAACAAAGUUUACAAAGUUCUUUAUUUAAAUUUUAGAAAAUAUCUAAUUAGUUGAUUUUACUUUUUAUUUGUCGAAAAGUUUAUUUAAACCCUAUUCACCCCCCUCUAGGGUUGCCAUACCGAUCCAACAUAUAACUGGUAAUCCAUUGAAUAUGAGGAUCACAAUCAGAGCUUCAUAACCUUCCUGAGAGUAAAGGAAGCCCAAGAUAACGAACAUGUAGAUGACUAAUGGUAAAACCCUUACUAGCAGCUAGAUGAGAAGCUUUUGCACUAUUAAACCCCACAACAGCUUUUCCAAGAUUAGCAAAAAGCCCCGUAACUCACCAAACCUCUGAAUAGUCUCUUUUAUGAAGUUCAUAGAAGACUCAUCAGCAGCACAAAAAAUCAUAAGAUCAUCCACAAAAGUAAGAUGAGUUAAACUGACCUUCUCACAAAACUGGUGGAACUGAAAGUUCUGAGGCAGAUAGUUCAACAUGUGAGAAAGUACCUCCAUGACCAUCACAAAUAAGAACGGAUAUAAUGGAUCACCUUAUCUUAGUCUUUUCCUCCCAUGAAAAAAGCCUUCUAAAGAUCCAUUAAUUAUAAUGGAGAACAUCAGGGAAAUGACACAAGCUUUAAUUCAACUCACAAUGCUCCAAGGAGUGCAAUAGCUAUCAACAAACUAAAGAAGAAAUCCCAAUUGACAGAAUCAUAGGCUUUUUGUAGAUCAACCUUCAUAGUACACUGUGAUUUUCCUGUGUUUUAUGGUAUCCCCCAACAAGCUCCUAACAAAUAAGAAUAUUAUCAAUAAUACUCCUCCCUGGAAUGAAAGAAAACUUAUUGCUACUGAUAAACAAAGGUAGCCACCCACGAAGUCUAUCAGCUAAAAUUUUUAGAUACACUUGUAGAUAACAUUACAACAAGAAAUAGGCCUGAAAACUUCCAUACGGUCAACACCAUUCCUCUUAGGAUAAGAGUAAUAGCAGUGGUAUUCACUCCCUAAGGGAGAUAACUAGUCUCAAAGAAAUGUAAACCAGCAUCACAGAAAUCCUCCCCAACCACAGCCCAAGCUCCUUUGAAGAAACCCACCUAAUACCCAUCAGGACCUGGAGUCUUUCCAUUAUCCAUGGAAAAAAGAACUUGUCUCACCUCGUCCCUUCCAAUUGGCACCUGGAGGUCUGGCAACACUCCUCAGACCUUGGAUAGUGGAGAGCUCUCUGUAACCAAUAUUUUAAACUGAACAAUAUUCUCAAUACAAGCAGAGAGCUCUCUAUAACCAAUAUUCUAAAAACCUAGACUGUUUUUAAAAUAUUUUACUGCCACUUGAGUCACCUCUUCAUGGUUAGUCACACGAGUACCAUCCAGAUGAACCACAGACCACAAGUAUUACUGUUUAGGCGAAACUGAAUGGUCCUGUGGAAAGAAGGCAGUAUCUGGUACCUAAUUUCAGCCACCGUAUUCGAGACUUUUAGCGCAUAGUAGCUUCCUCCACUUAUAACUUUUUGUUGAAAUUUUUUGUAGGCUACGAGUCACGAACUUACACUUUAGCAUCCUUAGGUUGUUUUGGUAGUUCGAUGAUACUUACACACGUUUUGAACACUUUUAAGGUUUUGUUUGACAAAGGUUUGGUUCACUUACACCUUUUCUUCUUUCCUUAACCUUUUGGGGAGCUUACGAGUUACGAACGUACCCUUAAGCUUAGUUAGGUCACUUUCAAAGCUCAAAUGAUACUUAGACAUGGUUUCAAUACUUCUUAGGUUCGUUUGAGACUGAGUUGCUGCACUUGCGUACUUUCUAGCACCUUUGGGUCACAGAGUGCUCUUCUCACACUUCCAAACUUUUAGGUAGGUUAUGUGCUGCGAACUUAUAGUUAAGCAAUGUUACGUCGUUCCGAAAGUUCAAGUGAUACUUAAACAUGUUUGAACACCUUUUGGUUUGUUGUUGCACUUACACACGUGUUUCCAAUUUGGGUCAUGAAGUACCCUUUUCCUACUUUUCUGACUUUUGGUAGGUUAUGAGUGCGCGAACGUAACUCGAGCUUUGCCAGGUCAUUCUGAAAGUUCAAGUGAUGCCCAAACACGUCGAACACCUCUUGGGUUCAUUGAGACUAAGUUUGUUGCACUUGCACACUUGGUUGCCAAUUUGGGUCACGAAUUACUUUUUAAAUUCUUUGUUAAAAGUUUUGGUAGGUUAUGGGUUACAAACUUAUGCCGAAGCAUUGUUAGGUCGUUUUAAACACUUUUUAGGUUUGUUUGAAACUAUGUUUGUUGUGCUUACACACUUGGUUGACAUGUUGGGUCAUGUAGUGCGUUUUUACAGCCUUUAAAAUUUUGGUAGGUUGUGAGUCACGACCUACACUCUUAACCAUUGUUUGGUCUUUUUUAAAAACUUAGAGCGCUUCGAACGGUUUUUUGGAUUUGUUUUUAAAAAAUGCUUGCGCACACACUUGGUCGGCAGUAUAGGACUUCCAGUGCCUUUUUCGCACUUCUUGAACUCUUUGGAAGGCCAUAAGUUACGACUUAAGCAUUGUUAAUUGGUUUUGAUAGCUCAAGUAAUUCGAUGACAUGUUUUCAAAACUUCUUGGGUUGGUUUGAAACUAUGUUUUGAAAAUUCGAUGACAUGUGGUUUCCAAUUUGGGUCAUGAAGCACCCUAUUCCUACUUUUCUUCUCUUUGGUAGGUUAUGAGUUGUGAACAUACGCUCGAGUGAAGAGAUAGAAGCCCUAUGGCAGCGAAAAAAUUUAAAGAACCGUUACUCAAAUUAAUUUGGAAAUCUUAAAAUACCAGUACAUUGGAAAAAAUUUAGAAUAAAAAAUCUAAAUAAAAACUAAGCAUACUUUAAAUUAAAGAAAACAGAUAACUUACUUUCGAUGACGUCUCUGAAUCUACAAGUCACCGAAUUGGGGACACCACCUGUCGGAGACCUUCCUAUCCUCUGCGAUGAGAUUGGUUUGUGGAACCAAUUGGGAUGAGAAAAUGUUUAGAGAUAUUUGAGAAAGAACCUUUUCUUUUUGCAGAGAGAAAAACCUUUGCUUUUUUCUUAAUGAAUUUCGUUAAAGAAAACUGUUUUUUUUUUCUAGAUAUUUAUAUCUCUCUUUCUUUCCUGGAAUAGGAAAAGAAGUAAGAGAGAAUCAUGAGAUUCUAUUAUCAAAUCUACUGAUUAAUUAACAAUUAAUCAAUUAGUUAAUAAUUAAUUAAAGUCAAUUUAAGCCUAAAGUUUGGAUAUAUGUUUUCUAUUUUGUUCAUUUGCUAACUAUGAUUCUUGGCGAUAUGACCAUUGUGUUAUUUUAGAAACAAAUGUCUGGGGAGAAUGAUUUUAAGUUGUUAUAUAGUUGUUCCACAGGCACAAUUCUUUGGUUUAAAAUCUUCGAAGUUGUUGAUGAAGUGUAAUAACACCAUGAGGAUGACCAUAAAGGGAUAUGCAGCACAGGCUUGCACAACACCUAGUCCUGAAAAUAUUCUCGAGUGGGUAAGAAAAGAUAAGAGGAGAUUGCUUCGUGUUGUCUAUUGUGUUGAAGAUUUGGAGAGGACAAUAAAGUAUGUAUAAUUUCCAUUAGACUAAAAGUUUGUUGCUACAUCUUUUUCUUAUCUUUCAACUUUUCUUUUCUUCCUAAGACAGUUAUUAUACAAAAUAUGUUUAUUGCAGACUCUAUACUGAGUGCCUGGGGAUGAAGUUGUUGCGAAAACAUGACAUACCAGAGGAGAAUAUACAAAUGUUUUUCUUGGAUACGGUCCCGAAGAGGCUCAAUUUAUUAUUGAACUUACUUACCGUAAGUUAUACUUACAAUAUAUAAUGGGAUGUUUUGAAAUAUAGUAAAAUGAGUUAACUUAUUUACAAACGUAGCAAAAUUUUACUUUCUAUUUGUGAUAGACAUAGAUAAAUAUCUAUCAAUUUAUUGAUGUCUAUUCUGAUCCAUCACACUUUAUCACUCAUAGAAAGUAAACUUUUUUAUAUUUGUAAAAUAUUUUCCAUUAAACAUACUUUCUAUAUAUAAUUUCAAAACUAUAAAACCUUGGGCUUCUUUAGAUGUGGAAAUAUUGAUUCCUCAUCGAAUUGCUUACAUAAACUGAAUUAUAUUAUUUUGGUUGUCUGCUGACCUCAAAUUAUGGAGUUGACAAGUAUGAUAUUGGAGCUGGGUUUGGGCAUUUUGGGGUUGCAGUUGAAGAUGUAAGUCUAUACGUCAUGUUUUUUAUUGUAUGUUCUACACUUUGUUAAGAUUUAAAGGAAUUUUUGAUAUUUUUUAUUGGGUUUUGACAAAUGAACUAAAUCUUUUCAAAUAAAGUAAAUCCCUAGUAUAAAGGAAUCUAAAUAAAUUAGUUCCUUAGAUUGGGAAAGAAGUUGUGUUGUUGGUUUUAAAUAGAGAUAUACAAUGAAAAAAAGGUGUGCAUAGAUGGUGAAGAUAACCUGACUGGAAGUACAACGGAACGUUUAAAAGCAAUUGCAGGAAAGGUAAAGUGGCUUCCAGAAUAUAUAAUUUGAUAUGAUAUACAUAUGACGUAAGGGAGUACAAAACGUUAGUUGAAUCAAUGACUGUAAUUUAACUAUCGGUGAAUAUGGAAUAUGCACUUGAGAAGACGACCUCAGGAUUGAGGAAUCAGUUCUGUAAAUCAGGGGAGCCUGCCUAAAUUGGAGAGACUUGUUAACAUGAAGAUUGUGCAUGCUGUGUAGACAGUUCUGAUGUCCAAGGGGAGUUCGUACAAGUCUUCAACGGAUGGGGCAUACGAUUCAGGAGAAUCAGAUGUUUAUGUUUAGUUUUGUGAUGACUAUUCUCUGUAAUCCUAGUGACAAGUUAUGCAUUGAACUUCUCAAUAAUAUUCUAUAUCUGAGCAGAUAUGCUCCCCAGAUGUAGGCACUCUUCACUCUGCUGAACUGGGUUAACAAAGUGCACUGUAUUUUCCUGUUUAUGUUAUCUAGUUAAACGCUUAGUUAAGUACAACUAAUAUAACUAAAAGGGGAUACAAAGGCAGACAAAGGAAUCUUUCUGGGUUAUCUUCGAAUAGCAGAGCAUUUAGAGUAUAUAAUCAACGUACCCAAACUGUGAUGGAAUCAAUUAAUGUGGUAAUACAUGAUGAUAUGAGUCCAGGCGUCAAACCACAGGAAGGAGAUGACAUGGUGCUAAUACAAAGCUCAGAAACACCAGUUGAUGAAACUACUGACUCAUCAACUACAGCUGAUAUUAGUGAGAGUAGUAGUGAUCAGUAGUCCAAUGAAGUGGACCAAAAUGUAGAACGGACAGGACCCCCUUCACACAUAAUUAAGAAUCAUCCUUCUAACAGUAUCAUUAGUGAUAUUCAAAGUGGAAUCAAUACCAGAAAGAAGGAUCGGAUUGAUUAUGCAAAACUGAUUGCAAAUAUUUGUUACAUCUCAACAAUUGAACCAAAAACAGUUGCUGAAGCUCUUAAAGAUGAACACUGGAUUCAUGCAAUGCAAGAGGAGUUACUGCAAUUUGAACGAAACAAGGUUUGGAAGUUAGUACCAAAACCAGCAGAUGUAAAUGUUAUCGGUACAAAGUGGAUCUUUAAAAAUAAAACUGAUGAACAGGGUAUAGUAAUUCUGAAUAAAGCACGGUUAGUUGCUCAAGGAUAUACUCAGAUUGAAGGAGUAGAUUUUGAUGAAACGUUUGCUCCAGUAGCCAGACUGGAAGCUAUUCACCUUUUACUCAGCAUUGCAUGUAUACAGCGGAUCAAGUUGUAUCAAAUGGAUGUGAAGAGUGCCUUCUUAAAUGGAUAUCUGUAUGAAGAAGUUCAUGUUUCUCAACCUAAAGGGUUUGUUGAUCCAGUUUUUCCACAGCAUGUUUACAAAUUACACAAGGCAUUGUAUGGGCUCAAACAGACAGCACGAGCUUGGUAUGAACGACUUAGUGAGUACUUGCAAAGACAGGGUUAUGUUCGAGGUAUCACUGACAGAACCUUGUUCAUAAAUCGAACAGGUGAAAAUAUCAUUGUAGCUCAGAUUUAUGUGGAUGAUAUUAUAUUUGGUGGAUUUCCAGAUGAUAAUGUGACAAGUUUUGUUAACAUUAUGAAACCAGAGUUUGAGAUGAGUCUUGUGGGAGAGUUGUCCUUCUUUCUUGGGUUACAGAUCAGACAAAAUUAGAACGAGAUUUUUGUAUCCCAAGCAAAAUAUGCUCAUACCAUGAUUAAGAAGUUUGGCUUAGAAAAUUCUCAGGAUAAGAGAAAACCAGCUGCUACAGAGAUCAAAUUAAUAAAAGAUUGUUUAUCUGAAGCAGUUGAUCUUACAAUAUACCGAAGUAUGAUUGGCAGCCUGUAUCUUACUGCUAGCCAUCCGGAUAUUGCUUAUGUUGUUGGAGUAUGUGCCCGAUUUCAAUCUGCUCCUCGUCAUACACAGCUACAAGCUGCUAAGCGUAUAAUUAAAUACAUACAAGGUACAGCUGACUAUGGAAUUCACUAUUCUUUUGGUACAACUUCAGCACUAGUUGGUUAAAGUGAUGCAGAUUGGGCAGGAUGUACUGAUGACAAAAAAUCUACUUCUGGUGGAUGUUUCUUUCUACGAAACAACUUGGUUUCCUGGUUUAGCAAAAAACAGAACUCUGUGUCACUAUCUACAGCAGAAGUUGAGUAUAUUGGAGCAGGGAGUGUGUGUGCUCAACUUGUCUGGAUGAAACAAAUGCUCAGUGAAUAUGUUCUGCAUCAAGACAGUAUGGUAUUGUAUUGUGAUAAUAUGAGUGCUAUUGACAUCUCAAAGAAUCCAGUUCAACAUAGUCGCACCAAGCAUAUAGACAUCUGUCAUCACUUCAUUCCCAAUUUAGUUGAGGAUAAAAGGGAUUUCCUUAACACAUGUCAGAACAACUCAGUCAGGUAGCGGAUAUUUUUACCAAACCACUUGACACUAAUACAUUUGAAUAUUUAAAGGUUGAGUUGGGAGUGUGUCGUGAAGGAAUUUAAAAAAAAAAAAAAAAAAAAAAGGGAAAAGGAAACUGAUAGUGUUAUUUUAGUGUGGGCUGAGAAGAAAAGAAAGAGGUGGGUGUUUGGCCCACGUGCUGAAUACACGGAGGAUCGUGGAUUAAAUUUGGGCGGGAAGAGAUGGAAUAUGAAAAGAAAACAGGCUUAGGUUCUCCCACAUUCUCGACUGGUUUGUUCUGCUCGCUGAAAUUUUUUCGGUUUCUCAUUUGUUCACUAUAGUGAGUACUCGGCGGGGGUACUAUCAAGAAGCUCCAGCAUCUCAUGCUUCUGAGAUUCGCUCUAACAUGCAUGGAGUUCGAAUGAGAGGAAAGCGGGUCAAGAGCAUUCCGUCUCGUCGUCCUUAUUCACGGAUGGCAGAUAGAGGUAAGGUAUCCUAUACUAUGAGUUCCAGUAGUUCUGAGUCAGUACAGGAUGUACCUACUACAAUGGCUGCCAGUGCAUCGUCUGAUUUGCAAGAUCAGAUUCCGCUCACUGAGUUAUUACGGAAAAAGACUCAAUCACGGUCGUCAGUGCCGGAAGGGGUUUCCAAAAGUCCAAAACUAAAUGUGUCAAAAGAAAAAGGGAAAGCCCUAUGUCUGACUCUUCGACGGAUGCUUCCAGUUCGACUUCGGUACCAAUGUCAAAUCGUCAGUCUUUUGGUUCGUCUUCAUCACAUAAGUUGUCUGAUGCACCCACUCAAGUUCCUCCUUCUCCGGCACCUGCACAACCCUAUUCUUCUUCACAGCCUGCCGCUGCACAACCAGCUCCUCCAUCUUCCGCCACUAAGGAAGCAGACAAGACUUCCUCUCCUCCUCCUCAAACCAAGGUACCUGAACCUAGAGGGGUCACAAUCAAGACUGGACGAAGAUGCCUUCCCCGAAAUAUUCCAUCUGUUCCUAUUGAUGGAUCUCAUUCCAUCAUGAGGAGAAUGCUCAGUGCUGGAGGUUCGUAGUGCAAACGCGUUUGGCUGAUGAGGUGAAUAUAUCAUACAAACAUCAGUCUUGUGUAGCAAUAAUGGAACUAAUUAAUCAGGCUGGACUUUCGCGCACGAUUCUCAAUGUUGGACCAUUCUAUCCCAAGCUCAUCAGAGAGGUCAUUGCUAAUCUAUCGUCUGAUUUUGAUGAUCCAAGCAGUCCAGAUUAUCAAACAAUUCAUGUCAGAGGACGAACACUUGUCAUCUCUCCCUAUGUGAUUAAUACUUUCUUAGGGCUUACUCCGUCGGAGAAUGCUGAUUUACCAACCCACUCAACAGAUACCCUGGCAUCUGUGUUGACAGGAGGGUCUCUUAUAGUUUGGCCACUCACUGGCAUUCCUUCUGCUGCACUCAGUGUCAAGUAUGCCAUUUUGCACAAAAUUGGCAUCGUAAACUGGUUCCCAUCAUCACAUGCCUCUAGUGUUUCUGUAGCUCUGGCUUCAUUUCUCUUCUAAAUUGGUACUCGUGCAUGGGUAAACCCUAAACAAUUAUUACAAUAAUAACACUUUAUUAAUAACGGUCAAUGAAUUAUAUUUACAAUUUACGAGUUUUAGGACAUAAAUUCCAACAUAUUAGUCUUCCGUCUCAUGUAUAUAUUUUUUUAAUUAGCAAUUUAGUGUAUGACUAUUGGGCUUUCACCUCAUGUAUAACAAUUUAGUCUAUAAACUGGCUUGUAUACUGCUCUUGAAAAGGUAGAAAAUCAAUAUUUAAAAAGCUUGUGCUUAUUUCAACCCUUUUGGUGUUAUCUUUCUUUUUCAAAUCCUCCUUUAGAUUUAAUGUUAAAAAUCAAUUCAUUGGAUUUGUCUUGAUCAAACUAUUCAUAGAGUGAGUUGUCUUAGGAUCUAAGAGUGACCAUCAUAGAUUCUAGGUUUGAUCUAAGUAGCUUUCUUUGUGAAUAUUGUAAGGAUCCUAGAAGGACUUCUAGCUUUGUAAUAUUUAACUAACAAAGUGGACCUUCAUGGUUGGAAAGAAAAGUCGAUGAAAAAAGGUAAAAACUAAUUCAAGAGUGGUCCACGCCAAGCAAUACUACUGAGGUGAGAUCUCAUGGCUUGGCUAGCUUUUAUAGAAGCUUUUCAUUCAAAUUUCUUGUUUGGAGGCAAGGAUUAAGGGAGGAAAUCCGUCUCUUUCUUCCUCUCAAUCCCUCUCUUUUCUUCCUCUCAAUCCCCUCUUUCCUCUUUUUAAUGUUUCUCUUUCUUCCAUAAAUGGAAGCAUUUCAAACUUUUCUCUUUUGCUGAAGUAUAAAUAUAUUUUUUAAUAAUUAUAUUUUAACGAAUUAUAAUUAUCUUUUCAUUUUUUUCAUAACUAUUAUAUAUAUAUAUAUAUAUAUAUAUAUAUAUAUAUAUAUAUAUAUAUAUAUAUAUAUAUCAACAUAUACAUAUAAUUAUCAAAUUUCUAACCAAAUUCAACUCUUUAAUUUAAUUAAACAAAUACCAAAAAAAAUAUUUAAUUAAAUUCAAAUUUAACAGCACCAAAAAUCCAAUUGAAUGGUUAAUUAAAUAUUCAAUUCACAAAUAUUUAAUUAAUUUUAUUUUCACAAAACCACAAAUAUUUAAUUAAUUUUAUUUUCACAAAACCACAAAUAUUCAAUAUAAUGAUUGUCCGUUAGUUUGAACCGCAUGACCCAUUUUUUAUUUUGGUUUCCAUUGCUUUUUUAUUAUUAUUAUUUUGCAUUAUCUCAAUAUACCACAUAAUUGACUUCACCGUUUAAUUACAUUUUAAAUAAAAAAAAAUUAUAUUUCAUUUUGUUUCAAUGUUAUUAUGUUCAUCUUUAUUUAUUUAAAUUGAAUGUUAGUGAUAUGCAAUUUAAGAAAUAAAUAUAAUUUCUUUCGCACCUAACACAUCGAUUAAUUUAUUGACACGAAAAGCUUGCGUAUGAACAUGUUUUCCAAUAAAAAAAUCUAAAUUUAAGUAAAUUAAAAAUACGAAUAUUUGUAUAUUGGAUUUACUAUACAAUUUUGUAUAAAAAAAAUACAAGAGUACGAAAUAAAAUAUAAUAACUUUUUUUGUCAUAAUCCUUUGCACUUACUUCUUCCUCCAAACCUUUGAAAAUGCAACCAAAAAGAAAGAAAAAACGAGCGUAUUUUUUAAUAUAUUGGAUUUACAGAUCAUUGAAAGACAAAUUAAGACAAAUGAAAAAUAAAUAGAUAAUACAAUUUCAUUGUGAAUUGGAUUUAUGGUACAAAUUUAAAAAACAUAUUUUACACCAAGCAAAAAAAAAAUUAAUACAAUUUGUUUUGUGUAUUAGAUUUAAUGUAAAAAAAAAUAAGAAAAAAAAUUACUACACAAAUGAAUAAAAAAAUACUUCACUAUAGAAGUGUAUUGGAUAUAAUUUAUAAGUAAAAAAAUAUUUAUACAGCAAACAUGAGCUCAACUCAACUGACACCUGUAUGUAUGUAUGGAUAUGAGGUCUUACAACUUAACUAAAAAAAUGAAUUUGAAUACAAUUUUUGGUUGUAAAAGCUUUAUGGUACGAACAACAUACAAAAGUUUACACAAAUGCAAAAAAUAUUAGCACAUUUUUCAUUUUAUAUUGGAGUCACAAAAAAAAAAAAAAACAAGAAUUUCAUACCCAUGAAAAAAAAUAAUUUAGUUAUUUUCAUACAAUUUUUUUACACAAAUAAAAAAAGAAUACAUUUUUUUUUUUAUCAUUAUCCUUCCCCAUGUAUAAUAAAUAAUCUCUCGUAAUCCUCCAACUUAUAAAUUUCCCCGAACAAUGAUUAUAAAUAAUCAUUUCCUUUUCAUAAUCCUCAUUUUUCUUAUUCUUUUCCCUCCCAUUUUCCUUUCCUUCUCCCAAAAUACCCCCUAAUCUCACUAAGGGUGUGUUUUGGAGAAGGGUUGAGUUAUGGAAGGGUUAGGGCAAUGAUAAAACUAGUGUUAUGUUAAACUAGUUUUAUGAUAAGAGGUGUUCGAGAGAAGGAUUAUGUGAGAAGGGUUACGAUAGUAUUAUGAUAAGAUGUGUUUGGGGAAGGGUUAUGUGAGUAGGGUUUGAUAGUAUUAUGAUAAGAUGUGUUUGGGGGAACAGUUAUGUGGGUAGUGUUAUGAUAGUAUUAUGAUAAGAUGUGUUUGGGGGAAGAGUUAUUUAGGUAGUGUUGUGAUAAGGUUAUGAUAAGAUGUGUUUGGGGAAAGUGUUAUGCUGAUAGUGAUGUGAUAGAAUUAUUAUUUAAUUUAUGUAUAUAUGUACAUAUACAUGUAUAUUUGCACUCGUUAUAUCACUUUUACGUGUUGCGUCACAAUAGAUAUUCAAACGUAACAACUAAUAGACAACAUGUUCAAUAUGUACAUUACCAAUCCACAAAUUAAGUCAAUUACUUCAGUCGACGUCGGAUGAUUUGGUAAAAAAAAAAUUACACUUUCAAUAUUGAAUUUGUACAUAUAUUCAUAUAUGUACAUAUAAUAUAUGUAUAUGUAUAUAUGUGUGUGUGUGUAUAUAUAUGUGUGUGUAUUAAAUUAAGUCACAUUCAUUUUACUACAUGAAUAAUUUGAACAAAAAUCACAUGACUUGCAAUAUCAUUAGAAAAUAUAAAUGAAAAACAGUUAACAGGUAGAGUCAUAAAAAAAAAACCAUAAUAAUAGUCCAUGCAAGUAAAAUAAACAAUCAACUAGUGCCUCGUACGAUAACCAUGCAGUAAUCAAGCUUCUCAUCGUCAAUUUGAGGAAACCCUUCAUGUCCGCUAAAUUGUUCAUCAGUAUUCAAUUGCAUUGCGUCCUUUCCAGCCUAGUGAGCUGAGGUAUGACACCUAGUGACUUGAGGUAUGGCACGCAAUGCGCGAACGACCUCUCUACAGACCCUGCUUUCAUCCUUGAGUGCAUGGUCACUAUGCAAUGAGCCCCAGCUGGUCGGUUUGGCAAGUCAUGGCAUUCUUAAUGACAUCAGCUUUUUUCGAAUUCUGCCCUCCCGCUUUCGCCUUAAGCCGCUCGAACACGUCCUACUAUCGCUUCCUUGACUAGGUCGUGCAAUGUCGUCGGGGGACAUCUUAAACCCAUGGCUGGACAUAGAAGGAAUUUUCAUAUCAUUGAGAUCCACGUGCGUAAAGUCCUCGAACCCAGGAGGAACAUUUGAUCUGACAUCGGCAAAUGUCUUCGCACGGGCUCCCAUUGCCUGAUCUUUUUUGAAUACAUAUUGAUAACUCGUCAUAAUAUAGGAAUGACUUAUUCAGCAAGCCCUUAGCUGCAGGGCGACUCUACAUAGGAAUGAAAAAUCAAAUAUUAGACUUGUCUCAUAUUGAAAUAAAAAUUAUAUUUCUAUACAAUUAUACUUUUCACAUACCCUGACCCAGUUUUCAAACAACUCCUUCUCAGCAAUGAUGCACUUCUCAUCGUCAUUUCAACUGAACCCGCUGCAUGAUGGACCGCGAAUUUAUGUGAUUGCCUAGUACGAGUGCUUCAAGGUCUUUAUGCAACAGUCAAUAACUGUGGUCGCAUGGACAUUGCAUCCUGGCAACUUCGUCGCCAUCAUUUGCAUAAGCAUAGUCAAAUCAUUUAUUAUGCAACUGCCAUUGAUUGAACAUCCUGACGGCCAAAUCAUCCCUCUACUGCAUCGAUUCGUUCGAGUUCUCAAUGAAUUGAAUGUCUUCACCUCCGAUCAUCGCGUAGGUGGAGUCUCCCUCGUCAACGUCGUCAACGACAUUAACAUUCAUCAUCUCACGUUUGAUGAGAUUGUGUAGUAGACAACAUGCUAGAAUAGUUCGACAUUGAAUUUGCACGGGAUAGUAGGACUCGCCACGAAGGAUUUGUUGGAAUUUUUUGUCCUAAAACUCGUAGUUUGUAAAUCAUAUUCUAUUCAAUAAAGUUGUUAUUGAGAAAUUAAAUAUUAUAAUCUUAAAUCCAAUAAAUCAAAGUUCCAAGGCUAUUUUUUGAAUAAACUUGAACUUUAUGUGUAAACAUAAACGUGGAUCAAGUUCGAGUAUAUAGCCUAAAUAGUCUAUAGUAUAUGAAAUAAAGGUUGGGCGCCUUAUUUUGAGAGACUAUGGAUGCGGCCCACUUUGUAGUACAAACGAUGUGAUCCUAAUCGUUCAUGUAGAGACAUGAAAGUGGGGGCAUCCUAUGUAAAAUGUUUACAUAAGACUGAACCAUGAAUUAGUCAUUUUUACGUUAUAACACCGUUUACUGUUUAAAACUGACUAUCUCAAUUAUUGAUGACCUAGGUAACUUAGUCUUAAUCCUGAGUUAACUAUGAACUCCUGUUCAUACGAGAUUAUCCUUAGAUCUGCAUAGGUGAGGGCAGCUCAUCAGCGUUGGCCCAAUAAGCCUCCCAUUUCAGGGGUAAGAUCGGGUGGAUAGCUGGGAACAUAGGGUACAAGAUGGAAUUCACUCCUACCCGCUUUAGGGUUAGUAGAUAGGUUGCUCUCUUAAGCACUGAAUCCAAGUCUUGAACAAGGGGCCCCACCCUCUCAUUGGCCCGAGAGGGAUUAAGUUUAUAGGUUGAACCUUAAACCAAUUGUUCAAUAGUGGAUUAGUGGGACUUAAGGAGCAAGAUGUAAUCUUGGGGGUAAAACGGUAUUUUGACCCAGCCAAGGUUACGAGCAACCUGUGAAGGAUUAACUUACUGAUUAUGGUUUUAUCAAAUGGACACAAAUAUAUCUAUAGUGAGGGGAGUGCAACUACGGGACUUUAGUGGAAUGACCCGUUAGUUAACGAAUGUUGAUUAACUCGGUUUAAAAGAGUUUAGCUAGUUAAUCUUGAAUCGUUGGAGCCCAUGAUCUAUAGGUCCAUUAGGUUCCUCUGCUAGCUCAUAUGGAUUAAACUUAGAACAGUGUGAUGAAAUAAGUCGAAUUGUUCGAAUAGGGAGAAGAAAGGAAAACCGACAUAUACAGUGAUAUAAUCGUCGGUCUUCUAAUUAGAAAUAGAGCUUUAUGUUUUACAUACUAUAAGUAUGAAUGCGGAUUCAUACUAAGAAGCUCGGAAUUGGUCAAAAAUAGUAAAAAGUCAAAAUGUUGACUUUUGACUUUGAAAAGUCAAACUUUGACCGGCCUUAUAUUCAAAUGUGAUUUGAAUUUUGGAAAAAUGAAUGCGGAUUCAUGCUCGGGAGGUUGGAAUUAGUCAAGACGGACAAAAUGGUAAAAAGUCAAAAUAUUGACUUUUGACUUAGAAAAGUCAAAGUUUGACUUUUGACUAGAAAAAUCUAAUGACCAUUUUACCCUUGGACUAAGUUAGUGGGAAAAUCCAAUAUUUUGUUGGAUAAUCCCACUAACUCUUAGUGGGAUAUGUGGCUAUAUGAGAUAUAGACACCUAGCCCACUAAGUUCCACUAAUUGUUAGUGGAAUAUUAGGUGUUGAGAUUUGGCAAUUGAAUUGCAUGCAUUUUUGCAUGUAAUUAGGCUAUAAAUAGAGAUGUUUUCAAAUGUUGAAGGACUUUUGCCUCUUUUAUCAUUUUCAUCAUCUCAACAAAAAAAAAAGAAAGCUUCCAAUCUCAUUUUAUCUCCAUUACUUUCUACACCAAAAUUGGGUUCCACAACCCGGUUCUUUGUCUAGAGGAUAGCAGUUGAGUACUAGUGGUGGUCUCGGGUAGAAUUGGUAAGAAGACAUCAAACAUUUUGAAAGCUUCAAAGGUAAUACUUCUUAAAACCCUAAUUUGAUUAGUUUAUGGUUACAUGUUAAUUGUGGCAAUUAGGGUAGAAAUUCGAUUCUUUUUCCGCUGUGCAUGACUUAGUUCUAUCACUAAUACACCCAUUGAUACACCUAAUACUUCUUGAUACACCUGAUACAUUUGAUUGAUACACUUGAUGCACCUGAUACUCUUUGAUACACUCGAUACCGAAACAUGCUAAUAUAUGUUUGAUACACCUGAUACAUUGCAUAUACAUUUAGUAUUAUCCACUUAUACAAUUGAUUGAUUAAAUGAACUUGAUAUGCUUGAAGUCCUACUUAUACACUUGAUAUGCUAUCGAUAUACACUUGUAAACUCGAUUCAUAUACUUGUUAAUGAUUCACUUUACUGAUAUGUUUUAACAAUAUAUUGUUGAUAUACUUGAUAAUGAUAUAUUGAAUUACAUCAUUCAUAUACUUAAUAAUACUCUAAUAAACUACAUAAAAUUUGAAAAAAUGAAAACCACGUAGUAAGUAUAUUAACCAACUAAUACAUAUAAUAUAAGUAUACUACAAUACUAUCAUACGAAACUGAGACAGAGUAAAACAAAAAAAUUAAUAUAAAAAAAUAAAAGAAAAUCAUUUGGAAUCAAAUUCAACUCAAAAUACACAUAAAGAAAGUAAAAAAAAAUCACAAAUAAAGUUAAAUUACUCCAAUCAACAACCAUUAUAUUAUAUUAUUCAUAUUAAAACUAAUGUACUAUUGAUAUUUUAAAAUUAAGAUGAAGACAGAAAGAAUAAAUAAUUUUUCUAGUAUAAGAAUAAACAAGUAAUUAGGGCUUAAAAUGGAGCAUAAAUAAUAAUGAGUAGGACAUGAAGAAAAAUAAGUUAUUGAAUGGUAGUUUAAAUAAUGUCAAAUUUAAGAUGAAGAAGUAAAAAUUUUACCAUAUUUAAAAAUUCUAAAAUUAUAUUCUCAAAAUGUCAUCCUAUGCAAUUUUCCUAAAAAAUAACCCUCAACUAUUAAAAAGUUUUAAAAAAUAUAAUACCCUUAUGCUUAAAAAAAAAAAAAAUUAAAAGAUAAUCUCCAAAUUUUGCACAAUUUAUAAAUAAAAAUAAAAAUUUUAAAUUAAAACUAUAGUUUUAUUUUUAUCUGACUAUAACCCAUAAUCAUAGAUCACAAACAUAACCCUUCUCAAUAGUUAUUGUUGUCAUUGUCAAAUAACAAAAUGUAUAUGACUUUACAUAUAGUGAUAGUCUGAUAGAUCUCUCAACGUGAGAUGUUUUUAUUUGACUAGUAAUUGUUUUACGAGAAAACUUCGUGAAAUUUGUAAAAUUGUAUGGUUUAAAUCAUGUUUAAGAUAUGAAUGUUGACUGAUAUAUUGAAGUCUUGAUAUUACAUAAAUUUGAUUUCGAUAGAUAUUUUUGAAAAAUUAUUAUAAAAACAAUAAUUAAAAAAUAAUUUUUAAAUUAGUAAAUAAAUAUUUUAUUAUUUUCAAAUAAGUAAACAUGUUUAUUUAUAUUUUAUAUUAGUGUAUUUUUAUGUUUAUUUGUUGUGAUUUGUGCAUUUUUCUAUGGUUAAUGGAAAUAUUGCUUCAUUACUAUCAAUAUCAAAACACAUGAAAAUGUGAAAAUAUCGAUAGAAAUGCCUACAUAUGGAUGAAAAUUUAAAACUAUAGUUUUAACUUAAAGUUUUGAUUUUAUUUUAGAGGAUAAGAAAUUUUGUUUAAAAAUUAGAUAAAUGAAAGUAUUUUUGAAUUUUUUAUAAGUUUAAGAGUGUUAUGAAAAUUUUUGAAUAGUUGGAGGAUACUUUUGAAACAAAAUUUUAAUAGUUUUCAUACAAAACUAACUUAUAGAACUUUUGAACCAUUUUUAAAAGUUUAAAAACAGAUUAAAAUUUCUUAAUUUUGUUUCUCUCCUACUCGUCGUCCUCCAAGUUUCGUUGAAGGCUUCGCUCACAGCGUUGUCCGAACAAAUGGGUAUCCCUUUUGAUUUUGUUGAACGACCGAGUUUUGCACUUUACCUCCGAAACUCAAUCGCUUGCAUGUUCACCACUCUUCUUGGUGAACAUGCAAUUCCGACUCAGUUUUCCCCUUCCACUUCCCCUUGCCGCUUGGACUCCAUUUGCGAUCGAGUAUUUUUUCUCUCUGAUUUGGACACUUCCUACACUAUCGUUACUAUCAUCUUCUGCAAUUGGAUGUUUGAGCAAGUAGGGUUGGAGGUAAGUGGUUGGAUUUUGAGUUUCUAUCGAAGCUGAUGAUAAGGAUUACACUUAUGUAUUGUCUGAAUAAUUAUUUGUGAUUAAUUCUGUUUAUGUACUUGUCUGAAUAAUUAUUUGUAAUUGUUUUUGUUUUUUUCUUCAAUUUACUUCCAAUUUUUCAUAUUCGGUCAUCCCUGUUUGAAACUGCAAUGUUGUUGUUUGUUUUUCAUGUUUCUGAUUAGUUUUGUUUGUUUAAAUUCAUAAUUAUUCGUAAUUACUUUUGUUUAUGUGCUUCUCUGAAAAAUUAUUUGAAGUAGUUUUGUUUCUUAUUCAAUUUACGUUUCAUGUUUUUUCAUUUUGGGCAUCCUCUUUGAAACUACAAUGUUGUUUAUUUUCCAUGUUUUUGAUUAGUUUUGUUUCUUUGAAUUCAUAAUUAUUUGUAAUUACUUUUGUUUAUGUGCUUGUCUGGAAAAUUAUUCGUAAGUAGUUUUGUUCUUACUUCAAUGUCCUUCCAUAUUUUUUCAUUUUUGGCCAUCCCCGUCUGAAACUACAAUGUUGUCCUUGUUUUUCAUGUUUUGAUUAGUUUUGUUUGUUUGAAUUUCUUGUUGCUACGAUGUUUAGCAAUCUGAACACUGCAUUUUCAGGCAUGUUUUUUAAUUGGUGCCCUAAGAAAUAUGUUGUCAUAUUUAUUUCUUUUGACACUAAGAAAUAUGUUGUCAUAUUUAUUUCUUUUGACAUUUGACAUUUGAGUAACUAUGUUUACAGUUUCAGUUUACUUGCAAUUAAGAUGCCUUAUGAUGUUGAGUUGCUGUGAAGUCUGCUCUCUUUAUUUGCAAGCAACUGUCUGUUCUGUUUUAUUCUCUUUAUUUGUAAGCAAAUCUCAUCAAUCCAUAACAUUGCACUGUCUGUGUUCAAUCAUUUUCCUUGGUUAUGCAUUUGUCUAUUCAUAGCUUAUCUUUGUCUUAAUGUGGUAGGUUUUGACUAUGUCCUCCUCUUUUCUGUACACUUCUGUCAUUUAAAGAGGUUCCCUUCUUUUAUUUUUUGGUAUGGGUCAAUAAAGGCAUACUUGACCAUCUAUCCCUCUAUAUAUAGCACUUCAUUUGUUGUAUUUUAUUAUGUGUUGUUUUCCUUGCUUCCUCCUCUGUUCUUUCUUCAUUUGGUAGGUAAAUUCUUUCUUUUAUUCUUUUGAAGUUCCAUUUGUCCUUCUUUUUUCUUUUGUCAUAUCUAUGUGUAACAAGAAUGUGCAUGUCUCCUUACUGUUCAAUUCGAUCUGUUAUGUUUAAGGCAUAUUAUGGGUCAUGAAUUUCUUCAUUAUUUGAAGGAUAUACCUUCUUAUACAUAAAACCUUAUCCACUGCCAUUUCAUACUUUUCAUGAUUUCUUUCAUGUCAUCUCAUGUUUACUAUCCAUAGCCAUUUUAAGGAUGUUGAUGUUGAUGUUGAUGUUGUAUGAUUGUUUGAUAUAUAUUUUUUGUGUCGAUGUUGUAUGACUGUUUGAUUUUUAUGUGUUGAUUGUAUGCUUAUUUUGUUUGCAUUUACAACCCUAUAUAUACUUUGCUGCAUAAUUUGUAUUGAUGUUUCUACUAAUAGAUUCAGUUCGUUACAUCGAACAGAUUCAACUCCUCUGAGGCACAACAUUUUUUAAAAAUAAAAUAAGAUCAUUUUCUCAUUCAUUUUAAUGAAUCUUGUUUUUCAUUUCAUCAUCGACAUUCCUCCAAAUAAUAGGGUAUGUAAGCGAUACACUUCAUCCUUAUAGUAUUUUUACUCGUACUUGUGUUAGACCAGAACACCGAUUUCCUUACUUUCUUUGCAGAAUAUUCGACUUCAUACUGUUGGAAUUUUUUGUCCUAAAACUCGUAGUUUGUAAAUCAUAUUCUGUUCAAUAAAGUUGUUAUUGAGAAAUUAUUUAUAAUCUUAAAUCCAAUAAAUCAAGUUCCAAGGCUAUUUUUUGAAUAAACUUGAACUUUAUGUGUAAACAUAAACGUGGAUCAAGUUCGAGUAUAUAGCCUAAAUAGUCUAUAGUAUAUGAAAUAAAGGUUGGGCGCCUUAUUUAGAGAAACUAUGGAUGCGGCCCACUUUGUAGUACAAACGAGGUGAUCUUAAUCGUUCAUGUAGAGACAUGAAAGUGGGGGCAUCCUAUGUAAAAUGUUUACAUAAGACUGAACCAUGAAUUAGUCUUUUUUACGUUAUAACACCGUUUACUUUUAAAACUGACUAUCUCAAUUAUUGAUGACCUAGGUAACUUAGUCUUAAUCCUGAGUUAACUAUGAACUCCUGUUCACAUGAGAUUAUCCUUAGAUCUGCAUAGGUGAGGGCAGCUCAUCAGCGUUGGCCCAAUAAGCCUCCCAUUUCAGGGGUAAGAUCGGGUGGAUAGCUGGGAACAUAGGGUACAAGAUGGAAUUCACUCCUACCCGCUUUAGGUUAGUAGAUAGGUUGCUCUCUUAAGCACUGAAUCCAAGUCUUGAACAAGGGGCCCCACCCUCUCAUUGGCCCGAGAGGGAUUAAGUUUAUAGGUUGAACCUUAAACCAAUUGUUCAAUAGUGGAUUAGUGGGACUUAAGGAGCAAGAUGUAAUCUUGGGGGUAAAACGGUAUUUUGACCCAGCCAAGGUUACGAGCAACCUGUGAAGGAUUAACUUACUGAUUAUGGUUUUAUCAAAUGGACACAAAUAUAUCUAUAGUGGGGGAGUGCAACUACGGACUUUAGUGGAAUGACCCGUUAGUUAACGAAUGUUGAUUAACUCGGUUUAAAAGAGUUUAGCUAGUUAAUCUUGAAUCGUUGGAGCCCAUGAUCUAUAGGUCCAUUAGGUUCCUCUGCUAGCUCAUAUGGAUUAAACUUAGAACAGUGUGAUGAAAUAAGUCGAAUUGUUCGAAUUGGGAGAAGAAAGGGAAACCGACAUAUACAGUGAUAUAGUCGUCGAUCUUCUAAUUAGAAAUAGAGCUUUAGUUUUAUACUAUAAGUAUGAAUGCGGAUUCAUAAGAAGCUCGAAUUUGUCAAAAAAUAGAAAAGUCAAAUUUGACUUUUGAUUUGAAAAAGUCAAACUUUGACGGCUUAUUUCAAAUGUGAUUUGAAUUUUGGAAAAAUGAAUGCGGAUUCUGCUCGGGAGGUUGGAAUUAGUCAAGACGGACAAAUGGUAAAAGUCAAAUAUUGACUUUUGACUUUUGACUAGAAUAUCUAAUGACCAUUUUCCCUUGGACUAAGUUAGUGGGAAAAUCACAUUUUGUUGGAUAAUCCACUAACUUAGUGGGAUAUGUGGCUAUAUGAGUAUAGAACCUAGCCCACUAAGUUCCACUAUUGUUAGUGGAUAUUAGGUGUUGAGAUUUGGCAAUUGAAUUGCUAUGCAUUUUUGCAUGUAAUUAGGCUUAUAAAUAGAGAUGUUUUCAAAUGUUGAAGGACUUUUGCCUCUUUUUAUCAUUUUCAUCUCAACAAAAGAAAAAGAAAGCUUCCAAUCUCAUUUUAUCUCCAUUAUUUUCUACACCAAAAUUGGGUCCCACAUCCCGGUUCUUUGUCUAGAGGAUAGCAGUUGCAGUACUAGUGGUGGUCUCGGGUAGAAUUGGUAGAAGACAUCAAACCUUUUGAAAGCUUCAAAGGUAAUACUUCUUAAACCUAUUUGAUUAGUUUAUGGUUACAUGUUAAUUGUGGCAAUUAGGGUAGAAAUUCGAUUUUUUUCCGCUGUGCAUGACUUAGUUCUAUCAUGUGGUAUCAGAGCAUGCUCAUUUUUACCAAUUGCAUGUGGUGGGUUCAUAUUUAUUAGAUAAAUUUUGGUUUGAACUAAAAUGGAUAUAUUAUGAUUUUGGCUCUAGAUUAAGUGUUUUUGUUCUAAUUAUUGUAAUUAGCCUUGUUGAUGGCUUAUUUUUAUUGUUGCAAGUGUUUGUAAUUUUUAAAAAAAUAAAAAAAGUCAUUAGAGUUGAAGCUAGGCUGUAAUUGGUUCAACCGAGUGAGAGAAUUGAAAAAAAUGAAGAAAGAGGUCACAGACCCGAAAACCCGCCUUGACCGCUUCGCGACCGCCGCGCGCCUGCGCGCCCUCCUGCGCCCGCCGCCGCCUUCGCUCGCGCGCCUGCCUUCGCACGACCGUGUGCGCCUGGGCCAGUUCAAGCCAAUAAUUUGGUUUUUGGGCCGGUUCAAGCGGUUUCGGUUGGUUUUUUAGCCGGUUCGAAGUUUUUGUGGAGUGGUUCUGUAUACACCAAAUUAUUAUGUAAUAAUUUUAGCACUUAGCUUAAUUUAGGAGCCAAAAUCAGUCCAUUUUAGGGUGUUCUUUUUUAUUUAUGCAUGUGAUGUAUGAUUAAUUACUUUAAAUUUGUAUGUGCAUUUUGAAUGUCAUAUAGCACUAGUACAAAAGUGGGCUACGACGACAGUUAUUUACUGUCGCGAACGGAUUUCGUGACAGUUAUUUUCAGUCAUAGAGCGGGGUCAUGGAAAGGCCUUCGCGACAGUUUUUGAAAACUGUCGCAAUAGGUUGUUUUAUGACAUGAAAUAAAUGUCGUUAAUCAACAUUCAACGACAUUCAUACUGUCAUAAUUAUUUUUUAACAUUCAAUAACUAUCAUCAUUUUUUAUUAACGACAGUUAAUAAUUGUCACGAAUUCUAUUAUCGUGACAUGUAUUAAUUGUCAUGAAUAUGUUUUUCGCGACAGUUUUUUUUUGUAAAAAUGUCAUUGUUUAGUUAUUGACGACAUUUUUUUCCAGUCAACGAUUGUGCAAUCGUGACAGUUUUUCGAUAACAUUAAAUGUCAUUGUUUGCCAUUGACGACAUUUUUUUCCAUUCAAUAAUAUAAUGCAAUCGUGACAGUUUUUUUUUUAAAAAAAUUGUCAUUGUUUAUCUUAUGACGACAUGUUAUUCCUGUCACAUAUAGAGCAAUCGUGACAAUUUAUUUUGUUAAAUAACUGUCAUCGUUCUCCAAUUUACAACAACUAUUAACUAUCACUUUCUCAAUUUCCUAUAGUUUUAUUUUGUUCUCCAUGCAGCUCCACCAUUACACGACCAUUAGAAUGACAAUAAUGUAGCUGAGAAUGACAAAAUUUGAAAUUAUACAAGUUUCACACCAAUGUACAAGAAAUAGCCAACACUUUAAUAUAUAUACACUAUAAUACGAUUUAUAAUAUUUGUACAUCUUAAUACAAGUUUCAGUAAUCCACAUGUACGAAAUACUAACCUUAAUCAAAAAUAUCUUAAAUAACAUUCGAAUAUAUUUGACUGGACCAACCGAGAAUGUUCGUUUCUGGAAAUGAUAUUUGAAACAAAACUCAUGAACUUGUCGACUCCAGUUGAACCUACAAAGAAUCCAUACACAUACGUACAGUCAAUGAAUAACUAAAUCAAGUCUCAACAAAAUACAGACACAAACAAGAACUUCAACACUUGAUUCCAUGAAUGAAAAGAGAAGACCAUGAGGACUAUAUUAGGCAAACACAGCAAACAAAACAUACUGCUACUCUUUCUCUCUAGAAUACACAUACCAAAAACAUACCAGCUCACUCUUUCUCUCUAGAAUACACAGUCCACAAUCAAUAUUGAAUACGUCAAUAAUAAAUAGUACAAUGGGUUUUAGGUGUAUAGAUAGUAUGCUUAUCAUACUAACUGCUAAAAAUGUGCACAGGUUAGAAGAAUCCUAAAAGAACCCACAACUAAAACAAACACACAACGGAAACUCACCUGAAAAUCGCUCUAAUCUGUCGCCAAAAAACACUCUCAAUAUCUCAAUCUAGCUGUUUAAGACAAAAAAAGAGAAUGUUGGAGAGUGGUCUCCAGAGGAUUAAAAAUCAUUUUUGACUAGUACAAAUCAUUUUAUAAGAACCCAAAAGCAGAUAAUCAUCCAAAAUCAAUUGAUCAUACGAGAACAAUAUAUCAACAUUCAUAACUAGUUGAACAAACCUUAGCUUUAUGAACCAACGACCUUUGUUUUCAUCUUUCAUGUUGACCAUAGAAGUCAAAACUUCUGUUUUAUAACAAAACUAAAACAAAUAGGACACCAAAGUGCCCAAACAAAAUCAAAAGGUCAAAUGCCAAUAAUAUUUAAAGAAGGAAAUGAUAGCAAAUAGCACAAUUUAGGUAAUAAACAAAAAACAAAGGAAAAAUCAAUAUCAAAAUAGGGACGAACAAUAGAGAUAUGAAUCAACAACUUGGGUAUGAAGCAACAAAGUAAUAUUAACAUAUCAAUAAAACUCAUAAGAGUAACAUUAAACAUAACAAUAUAACUCGUUGUAAAAAGACCCUCCUUAAUUGUUGUGUAAUAUAAUCACUUACUUGGUAGCUUCAACACUAUAGUAGAUCAUAUUCAUGCAAAACCUAAUAAAAACGCAAAAGUUACAUUUUGUAAACUACAAUAGAGAGUUUUGAACUACUACCAUACAACAAAUGUCAAAGAAAAUAAAAACUUUGCAUUUAGAGUUUUGAACUACAGUAGAAACUAAUAUUAACUAUUUGAGAAUAAGAACAUAUCAUCUAUCAAAAACUUAGGUCCAUAGUUUGGGAUAUCAAACGUUCUUACAAUAUAAAAUACUUUCCAUUGAUAACUAUUUGGUUUUUGUUUUUUUUUUAGAACCAUGAAAAAACAGUUUUUGUUUUGAACUUUUUUUUUAUUUAGCUAAAAGUUUAACUUUUGUACUUUAGAAAGAUGUAAAUCGUUAGGUUAAUUUUAAAAACCUAAAAACAACUAGCUACUAAACCGAAGCUUAAAUUGAACUACUUGAAACUUUUAUUCUGCACCUUACAAAAUUUCAUAAAGAGAAGAAUAUUAUUUCAUCAUUCAAUACAACUUCAGCAUGUCUCCUCACCAAAGUAAUCCACUAGAAACAUGGCAAAAAAUUAAUCAACACGUUUUAAAGAUUAAAGAUAAUAUGUUAUUUUACAAGUAAACAAAGAGGUUAAACCUGGAAAAGAAGAUUAGAGAAUGGAAGAAAAGGGUUUAAGACCCAUUGCAUUUGCUUGUCAACAUACAAACGAUCAAACAGCGUUUGAAGGAGAGUUAAAGCUGCUUGCUAUCUAGGUCUUAAGAUCUCACAUAAAAAAAAUGCUACAUGAGUUGAAGAUAUUGAAAAUCUUGGUACAGAAUCAAUAGCAUGCAUCAGAAGAUAAGUUUUCUAUGAUCAUAAACAUGGCCGAUGAUGUUAUCAAUGAUGAUCUUCUAAAAAAUAACAAAUUUCUAAAUUGAAGGACAACAAACAUAAAAAAUGAAGGACAAUAGAGAAUAACCAUACAUAUUCUCACAUAGUUUUCGCUACAAAAUACACACAUUUGCAAUAUGCUAUCAAAAUCCAAACGGUGCAAGGCUACCUCAAUGAUUUCACUAAAUCCAAAUUAUGCAAUCAAAAUCAAAGGAUACUGCAUUUGCAUUUUUUCAAAGUUCUAACCACGUCCAUAUUUUUUAGAGUAAAGUUUAACACCAGUAACCAAAAUAGAGAGAAGAAUAUACAGGGGCAAGAUGAAACCAAAACAAGCCAAAACAAGACGACCUUUACACUCAAUUACAGAGGAGGAGCAUGGAAAUCAAAUACUUACGUUUUAUUGUCCACAAUAAUAUAGGUAAAUGGUGAAUGCCUCUUCACAAACCGAGAAACAUAGAAAAUCACAAAUGUGGUAACUCAUAGGAAUCAUUAAACACCCAUUACAAAAAAAAAAAAAAGCAAUAUUCUUUCAGAGUAAAUAGUAGAAAAAAGACAAAAUAUUUAUGGCAACACAUCAGAAAUUUUUAGCACAAUAAAUAUGAGUGUGACUUUAAACUUCUUGCCAAAGAAUAGGUGCAAAAUAUAUAUUUCACUGAAAAGAAGAAAUAAACGAUAAUUAAAUAAUUUACAAGUGUAGGUGACAUUUCAUAAUUCAACAACUGUUAAUUAAGAUACAAACCAAUAGAGGUUUGAAAAGUGGAAAGUUCUCAAUGUUAUUCAAAAUGUCAAAAUUAACAUAUCAGUGUGGAACAUCAAAGCCACAUCACAAUAUUUCAUGCAGACACUGAUGCAAUUGAAUGAAAAGUAAAUUUCACUUCAACUAAGAAAUACAAUUAACGCAGAAUUUUACCUAAAGAAAUUUAAGUUAUGUCUAUCUUUUGAUGUUUCAUUUCAUCAGAGCCUCCAAUUCCAUUACACUUUUUAAUACCAUACACUUGAAAGGCAGUUUGAUAAACAUUUGUAGUUUUGUUCAUUCCACUUCAAAAAACUGAAACAAACAUAGGAAGUAGAACUUCGUUGAGAUCAUUAUUUAAACAAUGGUUUCUUCUUCUAGAAAAAUAUGUUUAAUUCUUCAACCAUUACAAGCAUCAAAUGCAUUCAUGAAUUGACAGUGACAUCAAACUAAUAUGGUAAAAAAAUAAACAAUAAUAUUAUAAUAAACUUUAUCCAUCUUAAUCGGAAGACCUCUCUUUCUACUACUAUCCAAUUCAAUGAGAAAUUAUAAACUACAAACUAUAAAAUUGUCAGUUCUGAAACUCCAACGCAGAAAGAAAAGAACGAAGAUAGAGAAGGCAAUAUGUGGUUUACCUUGGAGAAUGGCACCCCCAAAAAUCAGUUCCAAAAUAAAGUGAAGAAUAGUAUAUAUAGCACCGGUACUCACAGUAAGGGCGUAAAUUGCGUAUCUUCUAACAUUAUCCCAAAAUUCCUCAACCAAAGGGCCUUCAGGCCCAAAGCCAAAGCCCCUUCGCGUUGCAACCAAUCAAAAACAGGCACCACCCAUCGGACGGCUUGAUUGUCUUGAUUUCCCUCUUGAGGUUGCUUCGAUUGUCUUGAAAUUCGAUGUGGAGGGUUUUUUCAGGGGAAAUUGAAUGAAGAGGAAAACAGAAUGUGGAUCGACGACUGGCGGUUGUGAGCGGCGAACGUGGCGGUUACUGGUUCACACGGCGACUCGGGCUUCGACGAAGACAGAACCGGUGAUGGAGACGGCAGAUCGGCGCGCGGAACGACUGCUGCAGGGUUGCUUGGCGAUCCAGAGAUGGAGACGGCAGAUCGCGGGGCUACGGCGGGAAGAAAACGGAAGAGAAAGACGGCUGGCUGCGGCUGGGCUGCGGCGGGAAGGAACGAAAAGAAGGGAAGGGAGAAGGAGACGGUGGAGUCGUCGCGACGUACGGAGGAAGGAGAAGAGGCGCGGCGGUUGCAGCUGGGGGAAGGGGAAGGACGCACGGGAGGAAGAAGGAAAUAGGGAAAAGAAAGAAAAAGGAAAAAGAAAAGAAAAGGAAAAAAGAAAAAAAAUUUAACCCUAACAUUCUAUGACAGUUAAUAACUGUUGCGAAAAGUGUUUUUCCGAAAAAUUCCGUCUUUUCCCGCCAAAAACGCGAAAUUUUAUAUUUCGUGACAGUUUUUUUUCUUCCAUUCAUUUUUUGAGAUAUAUAACUGUCAUUGUAGGGUAGUUUUCUUCUAGUGUAGAUUUAAAAUCCCACCAUAGGUUAACAUGUUCAUGCAUUAAAAUGUAUGAUAUAAAGGUUAUAUUGUAUUGUAUGCAUGUUAAUUGAUUAAUAUGGAAAUUAAUUAAUAUGAUUAAUUAAUUAUUUAAUUAAUUAAGUUAUUCUUGAUUAAAUAUGAUUUAAUCAAAUUAAUUAAUUAUUGUUUGAUUUAAUUUAAUUAAAUAUGAUUUAAUUAAAGUUAAAUAAAUUAAAAUCCAUAUUAAUUGAUUGUUUUUAUUAUAUAUUGAUAAAAUGAUUGAUUAAGUUUAAAAGUUUUUAUAAGUGUUAUAAAAUAAAUUAGACUUUUAAAAUCAAUAACAAAGAUUAAAUGCAUGCUCACUUAGGUUAAACAUAUCUUCCAUUUUUCAUAGAAAUAGGUCGAUAUCUUGUAAAACUGGUUACAAAAGGCUCACCUGGUUCAAUCUUGUCAACAAGUCAGAUAAGAUGACUAAGGUUGGAGGUUCUUAAGUUGACGGUUUACGGAACACCUCCUACCUGGAGAUCGUAAUCAGUUCUUGAGCCUAGUUAACCUAGUUUUAUGAGCAUUCGUGAGAGGUGUGAGGUAAUAAAAAUGGUUUUUCACCUAGACAUCAUAGGUUAAAAUCCUGUAUAAUGGUUAUACUUGGAUGUUUUAUCUAGACUUAAGAUUUGUUUAAGUUAGCCUAAAUAUAAAUCUUGAAGUUUGGAUUACCCUUUUUUUCUUUUAGAACACUUCAACUAGAGAAAAAUAAUGUAUUUUAGCUCUAGUGUCCCUAAGAGUUCACACCGUGAGGUCCAUGCAGGGCUUUGUGCCGUGCAUAGGAGCGGCCUCCCUUCGGAGAGUGUUUGCAUGGAUCAAAAUCAAGGUGAAUAGGGGAAGUAGUUCAUAGUAAGUGGGUGAGGGAUUUGUGCAGCACAUCCCACGGUCUCUUCCAUUAGGUCGCACCGUGAGAUUUCUAUAAUAUGCCUGCUUGUCUGCCCUGGAGCGACGUUCCCUUCGGAGGGUUGUAUUAUAGGAUUCGGAACACCGCGAACUCCAAAACUGGAUAGGAUUUCUUAGAUUAGUUUUCAUAAAUGAUUCUAAUCUAUAAAAUCUGAAAAUGGUGGGUAACACUUACAAGAAUUACUAAGUUGUUAGUAUAUUCUUGACUAAAGUAGCGAUAACUAAGUGCUAUAAAGAAUAAAGAGUUAUUCUUGAGAUAGCAUCUAGUCAAGAUUGUCUUGGUUCAAAGGAGGAAUAAUCAACUACCCUUCGGAGAAGGUUGUUCUAAACCUUUGAAAUAUUGUUGCAAAAUACAAAUAAUGAAAGGGUACAUUAUUAGUAAUUGCUAAAUUAGAUUGGAUAUUUUUUAUGAUUAUAGUUUUUUCUAAAAAGAAUAUGUUUGUUUUUCAGCAUGAAUAGCUCAAUAGUUCAACUUUUAGCUUCCGAAAAACUUAAUGGCGAUAAUUAUGCGGCUUGGAAAUCAAAUCUUAACACAAUACUAGUGGUUGACGAUUUAAGAUUUGUCUUAACUGAGGAAUGUCCUCAAAACCCUGCCUCUAAUGCUAACCGAACUAGUCGGGAUGCAUAUGAUCGAUGGAUAAAAGCUAAUGAAAAAGCCCGUGUUUACAUUCUUGCCAGCAUGUCUGAUGUAUUGGCAAAGAAACAUGAAUCCUUAGCCACGGCUAAAGAGAUUAUGGAUUCAUUAAGGGGAAUGUUUGGGCAACCAGAAUGGUCCUUAAGACACGAGGCAGUCAAAUACAUUUACACUAAGCGUAUGAAGGAAGGGACCUCUGUUAGAGAACAUGUUCUGGACAUGAUGAUGCACUUCAACAUCGCUGAAGUGAAUGGUGGUCCCAUCGAAGAGGUUAAUCAAGUUAGUUUUAUCUUAGAGUCUCUUCCGAAGAGCUUCAUUCCAUUCCAAACGAAUGCGUCUUUGAACAAGAUAGAAUUUAACUUGACAACCCUUCUGAAUGAACUCCAGCGAUUCCAAAACCUAACUAUGGGUAAAGGAAAACAAGUGGAAGCAAAUGUUGCUACCACAAAAAGAAAAUUUAUAAGAGGAUCGUCCUCUAAAACCAAAGCUGGACCCUCAAAACCUAAUGCUCAAAUAAAAAAGAAGGGAAAGGGAAAGACUCCCAAACAGAACAAGGGUAAGAAAGCUGCAGAAAAAGGUAAGUGUUACCAUUGUGGCCAAAACGGGCACUGGUUAAGAAACUGCCCAAAAUACCUUGCAGAAAAAAAGGCAGAGAAGGAAACACAAGGUAAAUAUGAUUUACUAGUUGUAGAAACAUGUUUAGUGGAAUAUGAAAAUUCUACCUGGAUACUAGAUUCAGGAGCCACUAACCAUAUUUGCUUCUCAUUUCAGGAAAAUAGUUCUUGGAAAAAGCUUUCAGAAGGUGAGAUCACUCUCAAGGUUGGAACAGGAGAGAUGGUCUCAGCUUCAGCAGUGGGAGAUUUAAAGUUGUUUUUUAGAGAUAGAUAUGUCAUACUUAAGAAUGUCUUAUAUGUACCUCAAAUGAAAAGAAAUUUAAUAUCUAUCUCUUGUAUUUUGGAACAAAUGUAUAGAAUAUCUUUUGAAAUUAAUGAAGCGUUCGUUUUCUAUAAAGGUAUUCUAGUUUGUUCUGCUAUACUUGAAGACAACUUAUAUAAGUUAAGACCAACUAGAGCAAAUUUUGUCUUAAAUACUGAAAUAUUCAGAACAGCUGAAACUCAGAAUAAAAGACAAAAAGUUUCUUCUAAUGCCUAUUUAUGGCACUUAAGACUUGGUCACAUAAAUCUCAAUAGGAUUGGGAGAUUGGUUAAAAGUGGGCUUCUAAGUCCGUUAGAAGAUAACUCUUUACCUCCUUGUGAAUCUUGUCUUGAAGGAAAAAUGACCAAGAGAUCUUUUACUGGAAAAGGUCUAAGAGCCAAAGGACCCUUAGAGCUCGUACAUUCGGACCUUUGUGGACCAAUGAAUGUCAAAACUCGAGGUGGAUAUGAAUAUUUCAUUAGCUUCAUUGAUGAUUAUUCAAGGUAUGGUCAUAUUUACCUAAUACAUCAUAAGUCUAAUAGUCUUGAAAAGUUCAAAGAAUAUAAGGCUGAAGUAGAAAACGAAUUAGGUAAAACAAUAAAAAUACUUCGAUCAGAUCGAGGUGGAGAGUAUAUGGACUUACGAUUCCGAGACUAUUUAAUAGAAAAUGGAAUCCAGUCACAACUCUCUGCACCUAGUACACCUCAACAGAACGGUGUAUCAGAAAGAAGAAACUGGACCUUGUUAGACAUGGUUCGCUCUAUGAUGAGUUUUUCUCAGAUGUCAGAUUCUUUUUGGGGAUAUGCUUUAGAAACAGCUGCUUAUAUUUUGAAUAAUGUUCCCUCUAAAAGUGUUUCAGAAACACCUUAUGAGCUAUGGAAAGGGCGUAAAGGCAGUUUACGUCAUUUUAAAAUUUGGGGUUGUCCAGCACAUGUGUUGGUACAAAAUCCAAAGAAAUUGGAACAUCGUUCAAAAUUAUGCUUUUUUAUAGGUUAUCCAAAAGAAUCAAGAGGUGGUUUGUUUUAUGAUCCUCAAGAAAAUAAAAUACCACAUCAGGGAUCAUCAACCUCGUAGUAAACUAGUAUUUAAAGAAAUUUCCAAAAGUGCUAUAGAUAAAACCUAGUUCAUCCACUAAAGUAGUUGAUAAGACUAGGAAAUCUGGUCAAUCACAUCCUUCUCAACAGUUGAGAGAGCCUCGACGUAGUGGGAGGGUUGUUCAUCAGCCUGAUCGCUAUUUGGGUUUAAUUGAAACUCAAGUCGUCAUACCUGACGAUGGCAUAGAGGAUCCAUUAACCUAUAAACAGGCAAUGAAAGAUGUAGAUCGUGACCAAUGGAUCAAAGCCAUGGACCUCGAAAUGGAGUCUAUGUACUUUAAUUCUUUCUAGACUCUAGUAGAUCAACCAAAUGACGUAAAACCUAUUGGUUGUAAAUGGAUCUACAAGAGAAAACGAGACCAUGCCGGUAAAGUACAGACUUUUAAGGCUCGACUUGUGGCAAAGGGUUAUACCUAGAGAGAGGGAGUAGACUAGAGGAAACUUUCUCUCCCGUUGCCAUGUUAAAGUCAAUUAGAAUACUCUUAUCCAUCGCCACUUUUUAUGAUUAUGAAAUUUGGCAGAUGGAUGUCAAGACAGCUUUUUUGAACGGUAAUCUUGAAGAGAGCAUCUAUAUGUCUCAACCAGAGGGGUUUAUAAAACAAGAUCAAGAACAAAAGGUUUGUAAGCUUAAAAAAUCCAUUUAUGGAUUAAAACAAGCUUCUAGAUCCUGGAAUAUAAGAUUUGAUAUUGCGAUCAAAAUCUUAUGGCUUUGAACAAAAUGUUGACGAGCCUUGUGUUUACAAAAGGUCGUCAAUUCCAUUAUAGCAUUUUUUAGUCUUAUAUGUAGAUGAUAUUCUACUUAUUGGAAAUGACUAGGAUAUCUUCCUGAUAUCAAGAAAUGGCUAGCUAUGCAAUUUCAAAUGAAAGAUCUGGGAGAUGCACAAUACGUUCUCGGAAUCCAAAUUGUUCGAAACCGUAAGAACAAAACACUAGCCAUGUCUCAAGCAUCUUACAUAGACAAAAUGUUGUCUAGAUAUAAAAUGCAGAAUUCCAAAAAGGGUCUGCUGCCGUACAGAUAUGGAAUUCAUUUGUCAAAGGAACAAUGUCCUAAGACACCUCAAGAAGUUGAGGAUAUGAGAAAUAUUCCCUAUGCUUCCGCUGUUGGAAGUUUAAUGUAUGCAAUGUUAUGUACUAGACCUGACAUUUGCUACUCAGUAGGGAUGGUCAGUAGGUAUCAAUCCAAUCAUGGACGUGAUCACUGGACAGCCGUUAAAAACAUUCUACAUGCUCAUGUAUCGUACAAAGGAUCUGAUCCUUACUGGAUACACUGAUUCAGAUUUCCAAACUAAUAAAGAUGUUAGAAAGUCUACAUCAGAAUCAGUAUUUACUCUAAAUGGAGGAGCAGUAGUUUGGAGAAGCAUAAAGCAAACUUGUAUAGCUGAUUCCACAAUGGAAGCUGAUCAUUUUACAAAAGCCCUCAUGGCUAAAGUGUUUGAGGGUCACCUACACAGUUUAGGUGUACGAUGUUUGUAAACUAGGACAAGUGGGAGACUUAUUGGCCAUGUGCCCUAGUUUCAUAUAUAUUCUCUCACACCACAUCUCUCAUACCACUAGGAAUUUUAGUCCAAGUGGGAGUUUGUUGGAAUUUUUUGUCCUAAAACUCGUAGUUUGUAAAUCAUAUUCUAUUCAAUAAAGUUGUUAUUGAGAAAUUAAAUAUUAUAAUCUUAAAUCCAAUAAAUCAAAGUUCCAAGGCUAUUUUUUGAAUAAACUUGAACUUUAUGUGUAAACAUAAACGUGGAUCAAGUUCGAGUAUAUAGCCUAAAUAGUCUAUAGUAUAUGAAAUAAAGGUUGGGCGCCUUAUUUUGAGAGACUAUGGAUGCGGCCCACUUUGUAGUACAAACGAUGUGAUCCUAAUCGUUCAUGUAGAGACAUGAAAGUGGGGGCAUCCUAUGUAAAAUGUUUACAUAAGACUGAACCAUGAAUUAGUCAUUUUUACGUUAUAACACCGUUUACUGUUUAAAACUGACUAUCUCAAUUAUUGAUGACCUAGGUAACUUAGUCUUAAUCCUGAGUUAACUAUGAACUCCUGUUCAUACGAGAUUAUCCUUAGAUCUGCAUAGGUGAGGGCAGCUCAUCAGCGUUGGCCCAAUAAGCCUCCCAUUUCAGGGGUAAGAUCGGGUGGAUAGCUGGGAACAUAGGGUACAAGAUGGAAUUCACUCCUACCCGCUUUAGGGUUAGUAGAUAGGUUGCUCUCUUAAGCACUGAAUCCAAGUCUUGAACAAGGGGCCCCACCCUCUCAUUGGCCCGAGAGGGAUUAAGUUUAUAGGUUGAACCUUAAACCAAUUGUUCAAUAGUGGAUUAGUGGGACUUAAGGAGCAAGAUGUAAUCUUGGGGGUAAAACGGUAUUUUGACCCAGCCAAGGUUACGAGCAACCUGUGAAGGAUUAACUUACUGAUUAUGGUUUUAUCAAAUGGACACAAAUAUAUCUAUAGUGAGGGGAGUGCAACUACGGGACUUUAGUGGAAUGACCCGUUAGUUAACGAAUGUUGAUUAACUCGGUUUAAAAGAGUUUAGCUAGUUAAUCUUGAAUCGUUGGAGCCCAUGAUCUAUAGGUCCAUUAGGUUCCUCUGCUAGCUCAUAUGGAUUAAACUUAGAACAGUGUGAUGAAAUAAGUCGAAUUGUUCGAAUAGGGAGAAGAAAGGAAAACCGACAUAUACAGUGAUAUAAUCGUCGGUCUUCUAAUUAGAAAUAGAGCUUUAUGUUUUACAUACUAUAAGUAUGAAUGCGGAUUCAUACUAAGAAACUCGGAAUUGGUCAAAAAUGCUAAAAAGUCAAAAUGUUGACUUUUGACUUUGAAAAGUCAAACUUUGACGGCCUUAUAUUCAAAUGUGAUUUGAAUUUGGAAAAAUGAAUGCGGAUUCAUGCUCGGGAGGUUGGAAUUAGUCAAGACGGACAAAAUGGUAAAAAGUCAAAAUAUUGACUUUUGACUUAGAAAAGUCAAAGUUUGACUUUUGACUAGAAAAAUCUAAUGACCAUUUUACCCUUGACUAAGUUAGUGGAAAAUCCAACAUUUUGUUGGAUAAUCCCACUAACUCUUAGUGGAUAUGUGGCUAUAUGAGAUAUAGACACCUAGCCCACUAAGUUCCACUAAUUGUUAGUGGAAUAUUAGGUUGAGAUUUGGCAAUUGAAUUGCAUGCAUUUUUGCAUGUAAUUAGGCUAUAAAUAGAGAUGUUUUCAAAUGUUGAAGGACUUUUGCCUCUUUUAUCAUUUCAUAAUCUCAACAAAAGAAAAAAGAAAGCUUCCAAUCUCAUUUUAUCUCCAUUACUUUCUACACCAAAAUUGGGUCCCACAACCCGGUUCUUUGUCUAGAGGAUAGCAGUUGAGUACUAGUGGUGGUCUCGGGUAGAAUUGGUAAGAAGACAUCAAACCUUUUGAAAGCUUCAAAGGUAAUACUUCUUAAAACCCUAAUUUGAUUAGUUUUAUGGUUAGAUGUUAAUUGUGGCAAUUAGGGUAGAAAUUCGAUUCUUUUCCCCUGUGCAUGACUUAGUUCUAUCACGCAGUAUCAAAUCUUAUAUUCCAGGAUCUAGAAGCUUGUUUUAAUCCAUAAAUGGAUUUUUUAAGCUUACAAACCUUUUGUUCUUGAUCUUGUUCUAUAAACCCCUCUGGUUGAGACAUAUAGAUACUCUCUUCAAGAUUACCGUUCAAAAAAGCUGUCUUGACAUCCAUCUGCCAAAUUUCAUAAUCAUAAAAAGUGGCGAUGGAUAAGAAUAUUCUAAUUGACUUUAACAUGGCAACAGGAGAGAAAGUUUCCUCAUAGUCUACUCCCUCUCUGGAUAUAACCCUUUGCCACAAGUCGAGCCUUGAAAGUCUGUACUUUACCGGCAUGGUCUCGUUUUCUCUUGUAGAUCCAUUUACAACCAAUAGGUUUUACGUCAUUUGGUUGAUCUACUAGAGUCCAGACAGAAUUAAAGUACAUAGACUCCAUUUCGAGGUCCAUGGCUUUGAUCCAUUGGUCACGAUCUACAUCUUUCAUUGCCUGUUUAUAGGUUAAUGGAUCCUCUAUGCCAUCGUCAGGUAUGACGACUUGAGUUUCAAUUAAACCCAAAUAGCGAUCAGGCUGAUGAACAACCCUCCCACUACGUCGAGGCUCUCUCAACUGUUGAGAAGGAUGUGAUUGACCAGAUUUCCUAGUCUUAUCAACUACCUUAGUGGAUGAACUAGGUUUAUCUAUAGCACUUUUGGAAAUUUCUUUUAAUACUAGUUUACUACGAGGUUGAUGAUCCCUGAUGUGGUCUUCCUCUAAGAAUGUGGCAUUUGUUGACACAAAUAUUUUAUUUUCUUGAGGAUCAUAAAACAAACCACCUCUUGAUUCUUUUGGAUAACCUAUAAAAAGCAUAAUUUUGAACGAUGUUCCAAUUUCUUAGGAUUUUGUACCAACACGUGUGCUGGACAACCCCAAAUUCUAAAAUGACGUAAACUGCCUUUACGCCCUUUCCAUAGCUCAUAAGGUGUUUCUGAAACACUUUUAGAGGGAACAUUAUUCAAAAUAUAAGCAGCUGUUUCUAAAGCAUAUCCCCAAAAAGAAUCUGACAUCUGAGAAAAACUCAUCAUAGAGCGAACCAUGUCUAACAAGGUCCGGUUUCUUCUUUCUGAUACACCGUUCUGUUGAGGUGUACUAGGUGCAGAGAGUUGUGACUGGAUUCCAUUUUCUAUUAAAUAGUCUCGGAAUCGUAAGUCCAUAUACUCUCCACCUCGAUCUGAUCGAAGUAUUUUUAUUGUUUUACCUAAUUCGUUUUCUACUUCAGCCUUAUAUUCUUUGAACUUUUCAAGACUAUUAGACUUAUGAUGUAUUAGGUAAAUAUGACCAUACCUUGAAUAAUCAUCAAUGAAGCUAAUGAAAUAUUCAUAUCCACCUCGAGCUUUGACAUUCAUUGGUCCACAAAGGUCCGAAUGUACGAGCUCUAAGGGUCCUUUGGCUCUUAGACCUUUUCCAGUAAAAGAUCUCUUGGUCAUUUUUCCUUCAAGACAAGAUUCACAAGGAGGUAAAGAGUUAUUUUCUAACGACUUAGAAGCCCACUUUUAACAAUCUCCCAAUCCUAUUGAGAUUUAUGUGACCAAGUCUUAAGUGCCAUAAAUAGGCAUUAGAAGAAACUUUUUGUCUUUUAUUCUGAGUUUCAGCUGUUCUGAAUAUUUCAGUAUUUAAGACAAAAUUUGCUCUAGUUGGUCUUAACUUAUAUAAGUUGUCUUCAAGUAUAGCAGAACAAACUAGAAUACCUUUAUAGAAAACGAACGCUUCAUUAAUUUCAAAAGAUAUUCUAUACAUUUGUUCCAAAAUACAAGAGAUAGAUAUUAAAUUUCUUUUCAUUUGAGGUACAUAUAAGACAUUCUUAAGUAUGACAUAUCUAUCUCUAAAAAAAACUUUAAAUCUCCCACUGCUGAAGCUGAGACCAUCUCUCCUGUUCCAACCUUGAGAGUGAUCUCGCCUUCUGAAAGCUUUUUCCAAGAACUAUUUUCCUGAAAUGAGAAGCAAAUAUGGUUAGUGGCUCCUGAAUCUAGUAUCCAGGUACAAUUUUCAUAUUCCACUAAACAUGUUUCUACAACUAGUAAAUCAUAUUUACCUUGUGUUUCCUUCUCUGCCUUUUUUUCUGCAAGGUAUUUUGGGCAGUUUCUUAACCAGUGCCCGUUUUGGCCACAAUGGUAACACUUACCUUUUUCUGCACUUUCUUACCCUUGUUCUGUUUGGGAGUCUUUCCCUUUCCCUUCUUUUUUAUUUGAGCAUUAGGUUUUGAGGGUCCAGCUUUGGUUUUAGAGGACGAUCCUCUUAUAAAUUUUCUUUUUGUGGUAGCAACAUUUGCUUCCACUUGUUUUCCUUUACCCAUAGUAGGUUUUGGAAUCGCUGGAGUUCAUUCAGAAGGGUUGUCAAGUUAAAUUCUAUCUUGUUCAAAGACGCAUUCGUUUGGAAUGGAAUGAAGCUCUUCGGAAGAGACUCUAAGAUAAAACUAACUUGAUUAACCUCUUCGAUGGGACCACCAUUCACUUCAGCGAUGUUGAAGUGCAUCAUCAUGUCCAGAACAUGUUCUCUAACAGAGGUCCCUUCCUUCAUACGCUUAGUGUAAAUGUAUUUGACUGCCUCGUGUCUUAAGGACCAUUCUGGUUGCCCAAACAUUCCCCUUAAUGAAUCCAUAAUCUCUUUAGCCGUGGCUAAGGAUUCAUGUUUCUUUGCCAAUACAUCAGACAUGCUGGCAAGAAUGUAGACACGGGCUUUUUCAUUAGCUUUUAUCCAUCGAUCAUAUGCAUCCCGACUAGUUCGGUUAGCAUUAGAGGCAGGGUUUUGAGGACAUUCCUCAGUUAAGACAAAUCUUAAAUCGUCAACCACUAGUAUUGUGUUAAGAUUUGAUUUCCAAGCCGCAUAAUUAUCGCCAUUAAGUUUUUCGGAAGCUAAAAGUUGAACUAUUGAGCUAUUCAUGCUGAAAACAACAUAUUCUUUUUAGGAAAAAACUAUAAUCAUAAAAAAUAUCCAAUCUAAUUUAGCAAUUACUAAUAAUGUACCCUUUCAUUAUUUGUAUUUUGCAACAAUAUUUCAAAGGUUUAGAACAACCUUCUCCGAAGGGUAGUUGAUUAUUCCUCCUUUGAACCAAGACAAUCUUGACUAGAUGCUAUCUCUAGAAUAACUCUUUAUUCUUUAUAGCACUUAGUUAUCGCUACUUUAGUCAAGAAUAUACUAACAACUUAGUAAUUCUUGUAAGUGUUACCCACCAUUUUCAGAUUUCAUAGAUUAGAAUCAUUUAUGAAAACUAAUCUAAGAAAUCCUAUCCAGUUUGGAGUUCGCGGUGUUCCGAAUCCUAUAAUACAACCCUCCGAAGGGAACGUCGCUCCAGGGCAGACAAGCAGGCAUAUUAUAGAAAUCUCACGGUGCGACCUAAUGGAAGAGACCGUGGGAUGUGCUGCCACAAAUCCCUCACCCACUUACUAUGAACUACUUCCCCUAUUCACCUUGAUUUUGAUCCAUGCAAACACUCUCCGAAGGGAGGCCGCUCCUAUGCACGGCACAAAGCCCUGCAUGGACCUCACGGUGUGAACUCUUAGGGACACUAGAGCUAAAAUACAUUAUUUUUCUCUAGUUGAAGUGUUCUAGAGAAAAAAAUAGGGUAAUCCAAGCUUCAAGAUUUAUAUUUAGGCUAACUUAAACAAAUCUUAAGUCUAGAUAAAACAUCCAAGUAUAACCAUUAUACAGGAUUUUAACCUAUGAUGUCUAGGUGAAAAACCAUUUUUAUUACCUCACACCUCUCACGAAUGCUCAUAAAACUAGGUUAACUAGGCUCAAGAACUGAUUACGAUCUCCAGGUAGGAGGUGUUCCGUAAACCGUCAACUUAAGAACCUCCAACCUUAGUCAUCUUAUCUGACUUGUUGACAAGAUUGAACCAGGUGAGCCUUUUGUAACCAGUUUUACAAGAUAUCGACCUAUUUCUAUGAAAAAUGGAAGAUAUGUUUAACCUAAGUGAGCAUGCAUUUAAUCUUUGUUAUUGAUUUUAAAAGUCUAAUUUAUUUUAUAACACUUAUAAAAACUUUUUAAACUUAAUCAAUCAUUUUAUCAAUAUAUAAACGUAUAAAACAAUCAAUUAAUAUGGAUUUUAAUUUAUUUAACUUUAAUUAAAUCAUAUUUAAUUAAAUUAAAUCAAACAAUAAAUAUAAUUAAUUUGAUUAAAUCAUAUUUAAUCAAGAAUAACUUAAUUUAUUAAAUAAUUAAUUAAUCAUAUUAAUUAAUUUCCAUAUUAAUCAAUUAACAUGCAUACAAUACAAUAUAACCUUUAUAUCAUACAUUUUAAUGCAUGAACAUGUUAACCUAUGGUGGGAUUUUAAAUCUAUAUGACAUUCAAAAUGCACAUACAAAUUUAAAGUAAUUUAAUCAUACAUCACAUGCAUAAAUAAAAAAAACACCCUAAAAUGGACUGAUUUUUGGCUCCUAAAUUAAGCUAAGUACUAAAUUAUUACAUAAUUAAUUUGGUGUAGUACAGAACCACUCCCAAAAACUUCGAACCGGCUGAAAAACCAACCGAAACCGCUUGAACCGGCCCAAAAACCAAAUUUAUUGGCUUGAACGGCCCAGGCGCACACGGGUCGGCGAAGGCAGGCGCGCGGCGAGGCGGGCGCGCGGCGCAGGGGCGCGCGGCGCGUGCGGGUCGCGAAGCGGGUCAAGGCGGGUUUUCGGUCUGUGACCUUCUUUUCUUCAUUUUUUUCAAUUCUCUCACCGGUUGAACCAAUUACAGCCUAGCUUCAACUCUAAUGACUUUUUUUAUUUUUUUAAAAAUUACAAACACUUUGCAACAAUAAAAAUAAGCCAUUAACAAGGCUAAUUACAAUAAUUAGAACAAAAACACUUAAUCUAGAGCCAAAAUCAUAAUAUAUCCAUUUUAGUUCAAACCAAAAUUUAUCUAAUAAAUAUGAACCCACCACAUGCAAUUGGGUAAAAAUGAAGCAUGCUCUGAUACCACAUGAUAGAACUAAGUCAUGCACAGCGGAAAAAGAAUCGAAUUUCUACCCUAAUUGCCACAAUUAACAUGUAACCAUAAACUAAUCAAAUUAGGGUUUUAAGAAGUAUUACCUUUGAAGCUUUCAAAAGGUUUGAUGUCUUCUUACCAAUUCUACCCGAGACCACCACUAGUACUCAACUGCUAUCCUCUAGACAAAGAACCGGGUUGUGGGACCCAAUUUUGGUGUAGAAAAUAAUGGAGAUAAAAUGAGAUUGGAAGUUUUUUUUUUCUUUUGUUGAGAUGAUGAAAAUGAUAAAAGAGGCAAAAGUCCUUCAACAUUUGAAAACACCUCUAUUUAUAGCCUAAUUGCAUGCAAAAAUGCAUGCAAUUCAUUUGCCAAAUCUCAACACCUAAUGUUCCACUAACAAUUAGUGGAACUUAGUGGGCUAGGUGUCUAUAUCUCAUAUAGCCACAUAUCCCACUAAGAGUUAGUGGGAUUAUCCAACAAAAUGUUGGAUUUUCCCACUAACUUAGUCCAAGGGUAAAAUGGUCAUUAGAUAUUUCUAGUCAAAAGUCAAAAGUCAAUAUUUUGACUUUUUACCAUUUUGUCCGUCUUGACUAAUUCCAACCUCCCGAGCAUGAAUCCGCAUUCAUUUUUCCAAAAUUCAAAUCACAUUUGAAUAUAAGGCCGGUCAAAGUUUGACUUUUCAAAGUCAAAAGUCAACAUUUUGACUUUUUACUAUUUUUGACCAAUUCCGAGCUUCUUAGUAUGAAUCCGCAUUCAUACUUAUAGUAUGUAAAACAUAAAGCUCUAUUUCUAAUUAGAAGACGACGACUAUAUCACUGUAUUUGUCGGUUUCCCUUUCUUCUCCCAAUUCGAACAAUUCGACUUAUUUCAUCACACUGUUCUAAGUUUAAUCCAUAUGAGCUAGCAGAGGAACCUAAUGGACCUAUAGAUCAUGGGCUCCAACGAUUCAAGAUUAACUAGCUAAACUCUUUUAAACCGAGUUAAUCAACAUUCGUUAACUAACGGGUCAUUCCACUAAAGUCCCGUAGUUGCACUCCCCUCACUAUAGAUAUAUUUGUGUCCAUUUGAUAAAACCAUAAUCAGUAAGUUAAUCCUUCACAGGUUGCUCGUAACCUUGGCUGGGUCAAAAUACCGUUUUACCCCAAGAUUACAUCUUGCUCCUUAAGUCCCACUAAUCCACUAUUGAACAAUUGGUUUAAGGUUCAACCUAUAAACUUAAUCCCUCUCGGGCCAAUGAGAGGGUGGGGCCCCUUGUUCAAGACUUGGAUUCAGUGCUUAAGAGAGCAACCUAUCUACUAACCCUAAAGCGGGUAGGAGUGAAUUCCAUCUUGUACCCUAUGUUCCCAGCUAUCCACCCGAUCUUACCCCUGAAAUGGGAGGCUUAUUGGGCCAACGCUGAUGAGCUGCCCUCACCUAUGCAGAUCUAAGGAUAAUCUCGUGUGAACAGGAGUUCAUAGUUAACUCAGGAUUAAGACUAAGUUACCUAGGUCAUCAAUAAUUGAGAUAGUCAGUUUUAAACAGUAAACGGUGUUAUAACGUAAAAAAGACUAAUUCAUGGUUCAGUCUUAUGUAAACAUUUUACAUAGGAUGCCCCCACUUUCAUGUCUCUACAUGAACGAUUAGGAUCACCUCGUUUGCACUACAAAGUGGGCCGCAUCCAUAGUUUCUCUAAAUAAGGCGCCCAACCUUUAUUUCAUAUACUAUAGACUAUUUAGGCUAUAUACUCGAACUUGAUCCACGUUUAUGUUUACACAUAAAGUUCAAGUUUAUUCAAAAAAUAGCCUUGGAACUUGAUUUAUUGGAUUUAAGAUUAUAAUAUUUAAUUUCUCAAUAACAACUUUAUUGAACAGAAUAUGAUUUACAAACUACGAGUUUUAGGACAAAAAAUUCCAACAGUAUGAAGUCGAAUAUUCUGCAAAGAAAGUAAGGAAAUCGGUGUUCUGGUCUAACACAAGUACGAGUAAAAAUACUAUAAGGAUGAAGUGUAUCGCUUACAUACCCUAUUAUUUGGAGGAAUGUCGAUGAUGAAAUGAAAAAACAAGAUUCAUUAAAAUGAAUGAGAAAAUGAUCUUAUUUUAUUUUUAAAAAAUGUUGUGCCUCAGAGGAGUUGAAUCUGUUCGAUGUAACGAACUGAAUCUAUUAGUAGAAACAUCAAUACAAAUUAUGCAGCAAAGUAUAUAUAGGGUUGUAAAUGCAAACAAAAUAAGCAUACAACAUCAACACAUAAAAAUCAAACAGUCAUACAACAUCGACACAAAAAAUAUAUAUCAAACAAUCAUACAACAUCAACAUCAACAUCAACAUCCCUUAAAAUGGCUAUGGAUAGUAAACAUGAGAUGACAUGAAAGAAAUCAUGAAAAGUAUGAAAUGGCAGUGGAUAAGGUUUUAUGUAUAAGAAGGUAUAUCCUUCAAAUAAUGAAGAAAUUCAUGACCCAUAAUAUGCCUUAAACAUAACAGAUCGGAAUUGAACAGUAAGGACAGACAUGCACAUUCUUGUUAACAUAGAUAUGACAAAAGAAAAAAGAAGGACAAAUGGAACUUCAAAAGAAUAAAAGAAAAUGAAUUUACCUACCAAAUGAAGAAAGAACAGAGGAGGAAGCAAGGAAAACAACACAUAAUAAAAUACAACAAAUGAAGUGCUAUAUAUAGAGGGAUAGAUGGUCAAGUAUGCCUUUAUUGACCCAUACCAAAAAAAUAAAAGAAGGGAACCUCUUUAAAUGACAGAAGUGUACAGAAAAGAGGAGGACAUAGUCAAAACCUACCACAUUAAGACAAAGAUAAGCUAUGAAUAGACAAAUGCAUAACCAAGGAAAAUGAUUGAACACAGACAGUGCAAUGUUAUGGAUUGAUGAGAUUUGCUUACAAAUAAAGAGAAUAAAACAGAACAGACAGUUGCUUGCAAAUAAAGAGAGCAGACUUCACAGCAACUCAACAUCAUAAGGCAUCUUAAUUGCAAGUAAACUGAAACUGUAAACAUAGUUACUCAAAUGUCAAAUGUCAAAAGAAAUAAAUAUGACAACAUAUUUCUUAGUGUCAAAAGAAAUAAAUAUGACAACAUAUUUCUUAGGGCACCAAUUAAAAAACAUGCCUGAAAAUGCAGUGUUCAGAUUGCUAAACAUCGUAGCAACAAGAAAUUCAAACAAACAAAACUAAUCAAAAACAUGAAAAACAAGGACAACAUUGUAGUUUCAGACGGGGAUGGCCAAAAAUGAAAAAAUAUGGAAGGACAUUGAAGUAAGAAACAAAACUACUUACGAAUAAUUUUCCAGACAAGCACAUAAACAAAAGUAAUUACAAAUAAUUAUGAAUUCAAAGAAACAAAACUAAUCAAAAACAUGGAAAAUAAACAACAUUGUAGUUUCAAAGAGGAUGCCCAAAAAUGAAAAAACAUGAACGUAAAUUGAAGUAAGAAACAAAACUACUUCAAAUAAUUUUUCAGAGAAGCACAUAAACAAAAGUAAUUACGAAUAAUUAUGAAUUUAAACAAACAAAACUAAUCAGAAACAUGAAAAACAAACAACAACAUUGCAGUUUCAAACAGGGAUGACCGAAUAUGAAAAAUUGGAAGUAAAUUGAAGAAAAAAACAAAAACAAUUACAAAUAAUUAUUCAGACAAGUACAUAAACAGAAUUAAUCACAAAUAAUUAUUCAGACAAUACAUAAGUGUAAUCCUUAUCAUCAGCUUCGAUAGAAACUCAAAAUCCAACCACUUACCUCCAACCCUACCUUGCUCAAACAUCCCAAUUGCAGAAGAUGAUAGUAACGAUAGUGUAGGAAGUGUCCAAAUCAGAGAGAAAAAAAUACUCGAUCGGCAAAUGGGAGUCCAAGCGGCAAGGGGAAGUGGAAGGGGAAAACUGAGUCGGAAUUGCAUGUUCACCAAGAAGAGUGGUGAACAUGCAAGCGAUUGAGUUUCGGAGGUAAAGUGCAAAACUCGGUCGUUCAACAAAAUCAAAAGGGAUACCCAUUUGUUUCGGAGGCAACGCUGUGAGCGAAGCCUUCAACGAAACUUGGGAGACGACGAGUAGGAGAGAAACAAAAUUAAGAAAUUUUAAUCUGUUUUUAAACUUUUAAAAAUGGUUCAAAAGUUCUAUAAGUUAGUUUUGUAUGAAAACUAUUAAAAUUUUGUUUCAAAAGUAUCCUCCAACUAUUCAAAAUUUUCAUAAACACUCUUAAACUUAUAAAAAAUUCAAAAAUACUUUCAUUUAUCUAAUUUUUAAACAAAAUUUCUUAUCCCUCAAAAUAAAAAUCAAAACUUUAAGUUAAAACUAUAGUUUUAAAUUUUCAUCCAUAUGUAGGCAUUUCUAUCGAUAUUUUCACAUUUUCAUGUGUUUGAUAUUGAUAGUAAUGAAGCAAUAUUUCCAUUACACCAUAGAAAAAUGCACAAAUCACAACAAAUAAACAUAAAAAUAACACUAAUAUAAAAUAUAAAUAAUAGACAUGUUUACUUAUUUGAAAAUAAUAAAAUAUUUAUUUACUAAUUUAAAAUUAUUAUUUUUUAAUUAUUGUUUUUAUAAUAAUUUUUCAAAAAUAUCUAUCGAAAUCAAAAUUUAUGUAAUAUCAAGACUUCAAUAUAUCAGUCAACAUUCAUAUCUUAAACAUGAUUUAAACCAUACAAUUUUACAAAAUUUCACGAAGUUUUCUCGUUAAAACAAUUACUAGUCAAAUAAAAAACAUCUCACGUUGAGAGAUCUAUCAGACUAUCACUAUAUGUUAAUAGUCAUAUACAUUUUGUUAUUUGACAAUGGUACAACAAUAACUAUUGAGAAGGGUUAUGUUUGUGAUCUAUGAUUAUGGGUUAAUAGUCAGAUAAAAAUAAAACUAUAGUUUUAAUUUAAAAUUUUUAUUUUUAUUUUAUAAAUUGGUGCAAAAUUUGGAGAUUAUCUUUUAACUUUUUUUUUUUUUUUGAAGCAUAAGGGUAUUAUAUUUUUUAAAACUUUUUAAUAGUUGAGGGUUAUUUUUUAGGAAAAUUGCAUAGGAUGACAUUUUGAGAAUAUAAUAUAACAAUUAUAGCACAUUGUUUUAGAAUUUUGCAAAUAUGGUAAAAUUUUUACUUCUUCAUCUUAAAUUUGACAUUAUUUCUAAACUACCAUUCAAUAACUUAUUUUUCUUCCUCUUUUUAAUGUCCUACUCAUUAUUUAUUUAUGCUCCCACUUUUUAAGGCCCUAAUUACUUGUUUAUUCUUAUACUAGAAAAAUUAUUUAUUCUUUCUGUCUUCAUCUUAAUUUUAAAAUAUCAAUAGUACAUUAGUUUUAAUAUGAAUAAUAUAAUAUAAUGGUUGUUGAUUGGAGUAAUUUAACUUUAUUUGUGAUUUUUUUUUACUUUCUUUAUGUGUAUUUUGAGUUGAAUUUGAUUCCAAAUGAUUUUCUUUUAUUUUUUUAUAUUAAUUUUUUUGUUUUACUCUGUCUCAGUUUCGUAUGAUAGUAUUGUAGUAUACUUAUAUUAUAUGUAUUAGUUGGUUAAUAUACUUACUACGUGGUUUUCAUUUUUUCAAAUUUUAUGUAGUUUAUUAGAGUAUUAUUAAGUAUAUGAAUGAUGUAAUUCAAUAUAUCAUUAUCAAGUAUAUCAACAAUAUAUUGUUAAAACAUAUCAGUAAAGUGAAUCAUUAACAAGUAUAUGAAUCGAGUUUACAAGUGUAUAUCGAUAGCAUAUCAAGUGUAUAAGUAGGACUUCAAGCAUAUCAAGUUCAUUUAAUCAAUCAAUUGUAUAAGUGGAUAAUACUAAAUGUAUAUGCAAUGUAUCAGGUGUAUCAAACAUAUAUUAGCAUGUUUCGGUAUCGAGUGUAUCAAAGAGUAUCAGGUGCAUCAAGUGUAUCAAUCAAAUGUAUCAGGUGUAUCAAGAAGUAUUAGGUGUAUCAAUGGGUGUAUUAGUGAUAGAACUAAGUCAUGCACAGCGGAAAAAGAAUCGAAUUUCUACCCUAAUUGCCACAAUUAACAUGUAACCAUAAACUAAUCAAAUUAGGGUUUUAAGAAGUAUUACCUUUGAAGCUUUCAAAAGUUUGAUGUCUUCUUACCAAUUCUACCCGAGACCACCACUAGUACUCAACUGCUAUCCUCUAGACAAAGAACCGGGUUGUGGAACCCAAUUUUGGUGUAGAAAGUAAUGGAGAUAAAAUGAGAUUGGAAGCUUUCUUUUUUCUUUUGUUGAGAUGAUGAAAAUGAUAAAAGAGGCAAAAGUCCUUCAACAUUUGAAAACAUCUCUAUUUAUAGCCUAAUUACAUGCAAAAAUGCAUGCAAUUCAAUUGCCAAAUCUCAACACCUAAUAUUCCACUAACAAUUAGUGGAACUUAGUGGGCUAGGUGUCUAUAUCUCAUAUAGCCACAUAUCCCACUAAGAGUUAGUGGGAUUAUCCAACAAAUAUUGGAUUUUCCCACUAACUUAGUCCAAGGGUAAAAUGGUCAUUAGAUUUUUCUAGUCAAAAGUCAAACUUUGACUUUUCUAAGUCAAAAGUCAAUAUUUUGACUUUUUACCAUUUUGUCCGUACUUGACUAAUUCCAACCUCCCGAGCAUGAAUCCGCAUUCAUUUUUCCAAAUUCAAAUCACAUUUGAAUAUAAGGCCGUCAAAGUUUGACUUUUCAAAGUCAAAAGUCAACAUUUUGACUUUUUACUAUUUUUGACCAAUUCCGAGCUUCUUAGUAUGAAUCCGCAUUCAUACUUAUAGUAUGUAAAACAUAAAGCUCUAUUUCUAAUUAGAAGACCGACAAUUAUAUCACUGUAUAUGUCGGUUUUCCUUUCUUCUCUCUAUUCGAACAAUUCGACUUAUUUCAUCACACUGUUCUAAGUUUAAUCCAUAUGAGCUAGCAGAGGAACCUAAUGGACCUAUAGAUCAUGGGCUCCAACGAUUCAAGAUUAACUAGCUAAACUUUUUAAACCGAGUUAAUCAACAUUCGUUAACUAACGGGUCAUUCCACUAAAGUCCCGUAGUUGCACUCCCCUCACUAUAGAUAUAUUUGUGUCCAUUUGAUAAAACCAUAAUCAGUAAGUUAAUCCUUCACAGGUUGCUCGUAACCUUGGCUGGGUCAAAAUACCGUUUUACCCCCAAGAUUACAUCUUGCUCCUUAAGUCCCACUAAUCCACUAUUGAACAAUUGGUUUAAGGUUCAACCUAUAAACUUAAUCCCUCUCGGGCCAAUGAGAGGGUGGGGCCCCUUGUUCAAGACUUGGAUUCAGUGCUUAAGAGAGCAACCUAUCUACUAACCCUAAAGCGGGUAGGAGUGAAUUCCAUCUUGUACCCUAUGUUCCCAGCUAUCCACCCGAUCUUACCCCUGAAAUGGGAGGCUUAUUGGGCCAACGCUGAUGAGCUGCCCUCACCUAUGCAGAUCUAAGGAUAAUCUCGUAUGAACAGGAGUUCAUAGUUAACUCAGGAUUAAGACUAAGUUACCUAGGUCAUCAAUAAUUGAGAUAGUCAGUUUUAAACAGUAAACGGUGUUAUAACGUAAAAAUGACUAAUUCAUGGUUCAGUCUUAUGUAAACAUUUUACAUAGGAUGCCCCCACUUUCAUGUCUCUACAUGAACGAUUAGGAUCACAUCGUUUGUACUACAAAGUGGGCCGCAUCCAUAGUCUCUCAAAAUAAGGCGCCCAACCUUUAUUUCAUAUACUAUAGACUAUUUAGGCUAUAUACUCGAACUUGAUCCACGUUUAUGUUUACACAUAAAGUUCAAGUUUAUUCAAAAAAUAGCCUUGGAACUUUGAUUUAUUGGAUUUAAGAUUAUAAUAUUUAAUUUCUCAAUAACAACUUUAUUGAAUAGAAUAUGAUUUACAAACUACGAGUUUUAGGACAAAAAAUUCCAACAAUUAGGUGUAUCAAGGGGUGUAUUAGUUGUAUGAGACGUGUAUAAGGUGUAUCAAACGUAUAUUAGUAACGAGGACAUUUGUGAUAUUUUAGCUUUUGAUGUGUGGGUUGGGCUUCGUUUUUGCCAUUUUUGCAAAUAAUAAAAUGUGUGGUAUGAACUUAAUAAUUACAAUUUAUUCGGCCAUUUUUACAAAGUAUCCCUAUUUUUUAAACAAAACUUAAGGUUUAGUGGGAUUAAAUUAAUUUAAUUAUGUAUUUUAUUAUUUAUUUAAUAAAAAAGUUAAAUAAUUUGAGUUAGUCGUGCGUCUUCUCUCCCCUCAGUUUCUCGCCGCCAUCCGCUCCCUCCUCAGUAGCCGUACGUCUCCUGUCUCCCUCCGACGGCCAUUCUAGCAGGUUGGUACGCUAAAAUUAUUUACUCUGCAAAAAGUAAACUUCAAUGUUUGAUGUAUGUGUAAAGCUUAAUAAUAUGAAUUAAACAUGAUAUUUGAAGCUCUCAAAUGAAACUUGACAAUUAUUGUCUUCUAAUAAUACAUUGGACAUUGUAAUAAUAUAGUGGACAUGCCAUGAUGCCAAAUUUUUCGAAAUCCCAACCCAAUCCUUAGUUUUUAAAUAUAUUUUUCUUUAAAAUUUUAAGGGCAUAUCGAAAUUUUGAAACAUCAAAUUUAAAGGUACUUCUUUUUUUAAAAAAAAAAUAUUAACGUUAGGAAUAUUUUAGGUAGUUUCGGCAACAAAGUUUCAUUCCAUUUGACCAUGUCCAAAUCUACAGGGAGAGGAGAAUUUGAAGGGGGGAAAAAAUGGCGGAUGCUGUAGUUGGUAGUAGUAGUUGAGUACACAAUUAAACCCAUUUUACACCAACUUGAUUACCUGUUCCACUACAAGCAAAAUACCCAUUUUACACCAACUUGAUUACCUGUUCCACUACAAGCAAAAUAUUAAGGAAGUUGAAAAGAAAGUUGAAGCUCUUGGGACUGUUAAGGACAGUGUCCAAAUUUUGGUCAGUCAGGAUAAAGGCAAAAGGGAAUGCAGUUUUUGAUGGAGUUUCUAAAUGGUUGACAAUUGUAAAGGAUGUAUUGGAGAUAGCACAACAAAAUGAAAACCCCUCAUGCUUUAAUUUUGUUGAACGAUAUCAAUUAUCCAGAAAAGCAAAAAAGAGGUGGAAAAUAUUAUUGAACUCAUAAAUGAAGGAAAUGGAUUUAACAAAGAUAAUGUUGGUUAUCCCGUACCUUCUCCCGAUACUAAUUCUCCCACUCUCCCUACCGAUUAUCAAAUUAUCGCGUCAAGAACUUCAAUAGUAGAAGAAAUAAAAGAGGCACUUGCAAACCCUAAUGUCGACACAGUUGGAGUAUGUGGUAUGGGUGGUGUUGGAAAAACUGCUUUAUUGAAUGAAGUUAAGAAGUUAGUGUUGGAAAAGAAUUUGUUUGAUCGAGUGAUUCAAGUGGAAGUUGGUGAAUCCAAAAGUGUAUUCAAUAUUCAAGAACAAAUUAAAGAUGAGUUAAAUAUGGAAUUGAAUAUAGAAUGUGAGGAGGUAAGAGCAUGUCGCCUACGAACUCAUAUUGCCGAGAGGAAAGAGAAUAUGUUGUUUAUGUUGGAUGAUAUAUGGAAGGAACACGAUGUUGAAAAAGAGUUUGGAAUUCCUUGUCAUUCAGAAUCAAGAAAAGAAGGAUGUAAGAUACUUAUGACAAGUUAAACAUGUAUUAAACAAUGAAAUGAACACAGAAAAGACAUUUGAGGUGAAUUCUCUUACCAACGAAGAGUCUAGGAACUUUUUCGUGACAAUAGUUGGUGAGUCUUCGUGUGUUGAAGAUGGACAUAAUAUACAACAAAUAGCAGAGGAUGUGGUAAAAGAAUGUGGAGGGUUACCACUUGCACUUAAAAUUCUAGGAAAAGCAUUGAAGGGAAAAAGAGUACAGAUAUGGAAGGAUGCGUUAAAGUCAUUGAAAAAUCCUGUUACAGUGACUAUUUCAGGAGUGAGUGAGCAAUUGUAUUCUUGUCUCCAAUUCAGUUACGAUUCAACAGAAGAUGAAGCAGAGCAAGUAUUACUUCUAUGUAGUGUAUUUCCAGAUGAUUACAAGAUUGAAGUGAAGGAUUUGCAGAUGUAUGCAAUGGGUAUGGGAUUGGUAAAGCACAUAAAUACUUGGGAAGAUGCAGGGAAUAGAGUAAUCAAGUUGGUUGAUGAUCUUAAAUCUUGCUAUUUGCUUCAAGAUGAGCAGUCCAAGAAAGGAUCAGAUGAUUGUGUUCAAAUGCAUGAUGUGGUCCACGAUUUUGCGAAAUACGUUGCAUCAAAGAAAGAUAAGAUGACGUCCUUGACGUAUAGGAGUGGGCAAAGGCUGGAAUACUGGCAAGAAGAAGAUGAUGAUAUGCAUGAAUCUUAUAAAGCAAUUUAUGCAGAUUGUGCGAAAUAUUGUGUAUACCUUCCCCCAAAAGUUGGAGUUUCCGAACCUUCAAUUGUUAAUAUUAACAAAUCGUGGAUCAUCAUCCAUCGGGGAGGGUAAUAAAAUUCGAAUUCCUACUGCAUUUUUUGAAAGAAUGAAAGCGCUUCGAGUUUUGUCUGUGGAAACUAUGAGUAUAAGUUUUGAACCAUCAAGUUGGGCAUCAAUUAACAACCUUGAAGCAUUAUAUGGUUGUCAGAUUGUGGAGUUAUUGAUAUUGAUUGCAUUAGUCAAAGUAUUAAAGCAAUUGAAAAUUUUGAAGAUGUGGAAAAAUGUGAGAUUAGAGAGUGGGGUAUAUGUAUGUGAGAAUUGAUAAAACUAAAGGUGCUACACGUGUUGAAAUGCGACGACUUUAAUCCGUCGGAGUUUCCUCCAAACAUCAUUGAAAGUAUGACACAACUGGAAGAGUUGAAAUUUGAUGGCUUCAAAAUGAAUGAACUUUCCGAAUUGAACCGUCUGACACGCCUUUUCAGUUUAGAGUUAAGGAUUCAGAAUGUUGAGAUCUUGUUAAACGAACUGAGUGUAGAAAAAGCAGAAAAGUUGGAAGAAUUUAGUUUUUGUGUUGGUAAUGUUGAUGUGUACUUCACAAGGAAGGAGAGAUACACACCAAGCUUGGGGCUCGGUAUAAACUCAUCCAUUCAUUCAAUUGGUGGAGUACUCCAAAUAGUGUUGCAAAAAUGUGAGAUUUUAGUUGUAAAAGAUUCGGUGGGUUUUACAAACCUUCUUUGCAAUAAUAACCAUACUGUUCCAUAUGGAAAUUAUAAUUGGUAUCCCCGUUUGAAGGAACUUCAAAUCUACAUUCACAAUAAUCAAAAUCAAUACUUAGACAUGCCACGUGGGAUUGAAAAUAACCCAUGCAUCUUGAUCUUCAGGUAAAACUAAUUACGGAUAACAUAUAUAUCAUUUCUUUCGUUUUUUAAAUUAAAACACCAAAUUUAUAUAAUUAAUUUCUAAAAUGCAAUUCGCAGGUUUCAUUUCCUCAGUUGAUGGAUUUAAUAUUGGAGGAGAGAACAAUUUGAAGACGUUAUGGCGUAAUAAUGGAUUACCUGCAAAUUCCUUAUUGCACACUCCAAUAUAUGUACAUUUCAAGUUGCAACAAAUUAACAUACGUAUUUCCAUCACAUAUGCUUACGUUACUUGUUUUCUUAAAUACAUUAGAAGUACAUCAUUGUAAGUUAGUAGAAAGGAUAUUUGAAAUUGAAGAAUGGAGUGGUAGUGGUGGUGCAGGUGAUGUAAACCAAGUACUAGUCCCUUCACGAUCUUACACCUAUCUUUUCUACCAAACUUAAAGCAUGUUUGGAAUACCGAUCCAAAUCCCACAACUUCAGACCUUCUUCCCCAAUGUAAAGAAAGUGGAGAUUACAAAGUGUCCGACGCUUAAAACUCUUUUUCCACCUUCCUUCAUCACCCAUAUGAAGGAAACUGAAAGAUUAAACGCAUCUCAACAAAACCAAAUAUUUUCAAACGAUGAAGCUUCCACUUGGUGUCCCAUGAGGUAAUGCAUCUUUUUCAAUGACAUUUUACUAGGUUAUAUUUCUAAAUAUUUUUGUUAUCUUUUUUUUUUUUUUUGCUAUAAAAUAUAGACCACUUAAAAUUUCACAUUCUAACAUUUUUCUUCUGUCACAAGUCAAUAAAUAAAUAACUUUUAACAAUUUUCUUCUCCGUUACAAGUCAAUAUAUAAAUAAUUUUUAAGAUUUUUCUUCUUUGUUACGAGUUAAUAUAUAAAUCUUAUUCAAAUUUAUGGUGCAAUCUAAUUUGCAUCUACUUCGUUCACUUCAAAGUCCUUAAUUUCCACCGCACACCUUACAUAACUUAACUUAACUUCUCUUAUGUGCAAACAUGUGGAUCUGCAACUUCACUAGAGUGGAUUUUCAUCAUCUCCAACAAUUGAAACCAUGUUAUAGCGUCUGACAGCCUUUAAUGAACCUAAUCUAUUAGGACAAUCUCCUUCACGUGUGUCUAUAAAGUCAACACAUUUCCAUCAAACCUUUCUCCCCGCCAACUCUUUCUUCUUCUUCCAUUUGCUAGCUACCAGUCUUGAACCCUCCUGCGAAGAUCCUUCUCUCUUCAAUAUUUCUUUCUUUUGACAAAAAUCUACUAGUAACCUCAUCAAAGGCUAAUGCUUCUCUCUUGUACUUCAAGAUUUUCGUAUGUCCAUAGAAAGAAAGGAACUGGUCAAAUAAGUUGGUGUGCCUUAUUUUCAUCUUCUACCAUCACUUCUAUCACCUCCAACUCAGAAAAACUUUCACAACAAGUUGAGAUUUUUGUCCCUUCAACCAUUCACAACAUAUGGAAAAUGCUCAUUUGGUUGGGUAAAGUCGAUUUUAUAUCUUUUUUUUUACCUCAUACAUUUGAUACGAAAACUCUAGGAAUUUGAAAAUUAGAAACCUAAUCGGUGAACUCCUAAUAUCAAAUCACUAAAGUCUGCCAAUCAAUUUGACAAUAAUCCAAAGGAAAUUGUUGAUCAAAUUUACCUAAAUGCUCAAAGCACACAAAUUAAACCCUAGAUAAAAGUUUUAAAGUCCGAUGAUGAAUCUAAAAACCUCGUUCCAAAUUCAAUAUGCCAAAAACUACUUUUGUAACCUAAUGGUCUAGCUCAAUUAGCCUCCAAUCUAAAACCCCAAUUCAACGAGAUCAAAUAAUUACAAAAUUAGCCCUACUCAACUUUUAUUAAAAAGGAUAAAUCUAGAAAAAUACUAAAAUGACAUCAAAAUUAUUAAAUAACAUAAAAACUAGUAAUGUGAUGUGUCUCGGCUGUUCAUAUCAUACAUUACUUCAAGCUUCCUACGUUUGCAAAAACAUUUUUAGCCAAGUUUAGCAUGAUUGAACUUCCAACUCUCAGAUUUGUUACCUCCGAAUCUCCAUCGCUCGUGCUAGAUUGUUGGUUUUACAACAAAGGAUCUGUAAAAUCUCACGCACUCUUCUUGAAGAAAGCAAAGAUAAAUACUUUGUAAGAUAUAUUAUCAAGAGGGAGAGAAAAUUAUAUGGAACUUCUUACCUUUAUUCAAUUUGAUGACUAAUAUUUAUAGUCUAAAAGGAAGCAAAAAUUAGUAACCACUAACUUAGUGCUUGCUAAAACUUUGGACAUGAUUAAAAACAAAUAACCAAAAACAAUAAAUAGAAAAAUAACUUAAUUCUUCCACCUAUUUAGGAAGAUCAUGGCAAAUUAAUAGCCCACACUACCCCUAAUUCUGACAUGAUUCUAAGUUACGAACACCAAGUAGUUGACGCAUAGCAGCUAACUUUACUCUCGUCAAUGCUUUAGUCAGAACAUCGGCUCGUUGUUCUCCAGUGUUGACAAAUUCAACGAUAAUUUGUCCAUUCUCGACACACUCUCGAAUGAAAUGAAAACGUGUAUCUAUGUGCUUGCUGCGACCAUGAAAUACGGGAUUCUUCAUGAGAGCUAUGCGGAUUUGUUGUCCACAAAUAAUGUUACCGGCCUUGGCUCCAUUCCGACUAUCUCGCUAACAAGGCAUCUUAACCACAAUGCUUGGCAAGCUGCGGUAGUGGCUGCAAUGAACUCGCUUCGCAAGAUGAGAGUGCCACCGUCUUUUGCUUUUGCGAAUUCCAUGAAACCAAGCUUUCGUUUAAGUAGAAUGUCAUUCCACUUGUGCUUUUCCUCCCGUCGAGAUCACCGGCUAAAUCACUGUCAGAGUAACCGAAUAUAUUGAAUUCUCUGGGACCUUUCGUAUAAGUGAGCCCAAAAUGAAUCGUCCCUCUCAAAUACCUAAGUAUUUGCUUGACCACCUUGUAAUGCAUGGUUGUAGGCCUUUCCAUAUACCUACUCGCCAUCCCAACAGCAUAUGAAAGAUCUGGCCUUGUGUUCAGUAAGUAUCUAAGACAACCAACGAUGCUUCUGUACUCCGUAGCAUCAAUUGGUGCUCCUUCCGUGUCUUUGUGAAGUUGUGCCUUGGGUUCCAUCGGGUACUUUGUGGCAUUGCAAUCAGCCAUUCCAAACUGGGACAAAAUUCUUUUGGCAUAAGUUGGUUGUUUGAGCAGGAUUCGACCCUUCUGUUGUUCAACUUCAAUUCCUAAGUAGUAAGAGAGAAGGCCUAAGUCGCUCAUUUCAAAUUUGCCAUCAUUUAUUGCUUGAACUUAUUGACCUUUUCAGUGCUACUUCCUGUUACAAUGAGAUCGUCAACAUACACUCCAACAAGAACACAUUCCUCUUCUUCUCUUCUUGUGUAGACUGCUUGCUCUUGAGUGCAUUUUCUAAAACCAAGAUCUUUGAGACUCCUAUCAAGUCGAAUGUUCCAAGCUCGUGGAGCUUGCCUCAAUCCGUAGAGAGCCUUUGACAAUCUAUACACCUUGUGUUUUUCAUUUGGAACCUCAAAACCCUCCGGUUGAGUAACAUAUACUUCCUCUUCCAAUUCUCCAUUGAGAAAUGCCGACUUCACAUCUAGAUGGUGUACCUCCCAACUUUGGUUUGCAGCGAGUGCAAGAAUGACUCGAAUGGUGUCAAGUCUUGCAACCGGUGCAAAAACUUCUUCAAAGUCAAUGCCUUGUCUUUGUACAUAGCCUUUAGCAACCAAUCUUGCUUUGUGCUUGACAACUUCUCCAUUAGGGUCUUUCUUCAAUUUGAACACCCAUUUUAACCAAUGGGUUUGUGUCCUAGUGGAAGCUCGGUCAGACUCCAUGUGUUGUUUUUCUCAAUGGAUUUUAAUUCGUUCUCCAUUGCUUCGUACCAGCGACCCUCUGUAACAGCUUCUUGGUAACAAGUCGGUUCUUCGGACACUACCAUCAUCACCUCAUUCUCUUGUUCAUCACCACCUACAACUUCCUCUGUGUUGGCGUAGAUGUCACUGAGAGAUCUUAGACGGACCGGUGUGUUCGUCGAUGGAGGAGAUGGACUGGUCUCUCCAAUCGCAGGUAUCUCAGUUGCAUGUGGUAAGGCAUUUUCAACCCCAGUUUCUGCAUCCUCCAAGUUUUCGAACUCGUCAGAAUAAAAUUGGUCCAUCACCUGAAACUCUGUAAUCUCCUUACCGUCACUAACAACUUCGUUCCAAGCCCAUUCAAGAUUCUCUUGAAAAAGAACAUCUCUACUAAUUUGUAGUUUUCCACGGCCUGGGUCAUAUAAGCGAUGGGCUUUGCAUCCUUCUUCGACACCAAAAUAUACCAUUGGUGAGCUUCGAUCGUCGAGUUUCUUGAGGUGAGGGGUUGUGUUCUUUACAUAUGCCACACAACCAAAGACUCUCAAGUGUGCAAGAUGUGGCUUUCUCCCCAUCCAAGCUUCAAAUGGUGUGCGUUCUCCAAGGGCCUUCGUUGGAAGACGGUUUAACAAAUAAACGCGUGUCUCACUGCCUCUCCCCAAAAUUUUGCAGGCACAUGCAUGCUUUUGAGGAGUGAUCUCGUCAUCGCCAUUACGGUGCGGUUACGACGCUCUACAAUGCCAUUUUGUUGUGGUGAAUAUGGAGCGGUGAGGUGUCGUUCGAUUCCUUCUUUUUGCAAAAUUGAGUGAACUCUGCAGAUAAGAACUCACCACCUCGAUCCGUCCGGAGCGUUCUGAUCUUGUACUCCGUCUUGUUCUCCAUUAAGAGUUUGAAUUUCUUGAAUGCUUCAAAUGCGUCACUUUUUGCCUCCAACAUAUACAGCCACAUCCAUCUCGUGGAAUCGUCAACGAUCAACAAAAAUACUUGUUUCCAGCAAGAGUACAUGGUGAAAUCGGUCGCAUAUAUCAGCAUGGAGGAGUUCUAAUGGCUUCUCUGCUCUAUAUGUUGAUUGACGGGGAAGGGCAAUCUGGCUUGUUUGGUAAUCACGCACGCUUCACAUAACUUGUUCGGUUGAGUCACUAGUGGUACUCCAACUACCAAUUUCUUCUCCCCCAUGAGCUUCAAGUCAUGAAAAUUUACAUGGCCAAGUCUCACGUGCCAUAACCAUGUUGGAUCUUCUAGGCUUGUCAGAAGGCAGACUUGCUUGAGUGUCUUCAAAGUUAUCUUGUACAAACGAUUUUGAGUUCGCUUCACCGACAUCAAAAGCUUCCCACUCCUAUCAGACACUUUCAUGAUAUCUUCUAUCAUUUGCACCUUGUUUCCGUUUUCUGUCAUUUGUCGAGGCUUAUGAUGUUACUACAUAAUUUUGGAAUGUAAUACACCUCUUGGAGAGCCUUCUGAUCACCGUUCUUGCACUCGAACAUGACUGUUCCUUUUCCCAUGAUCUGAAUGGUUGAUCCAUCGCCAAACUUCACCCUCCCAGUGAAGCUUUCAUCUAAUUCUUGGAACUUCUCACGAUGGCCAGUCAUGUGGUUACUAGCACCGUUGUCUAGAUACCAAACAUCAUUAUUUUCUCCAUUCUUGUUGUUGCAAUACAUCUCUGGCAACAACCGCUCUUUGCUGAGUAGUAUGGCAUCCUCCUGAUCACAUCUAUGUGCGUGUCCCCUCCUGGGACAUGGCCAUCAUCAAAGUCGGUUCUUCUUCGACGCACAAGUUAGAUGAGCUUCCUCGUCACGACCUUUUCCACGACAUUCCGACGCGUAAUGUCCCAUCUUGUUGCAAGUGAAACACUUAAUGUGACUUUUAUCACGAGUGCCAUUUCCAGUGUUGCUAGUGUCUCCCGCACUAUUUUGACGCUCAGUGCCACGACCACGUCCUCACCAUCUUCCUCGAUCGGUACCACCAAAUUGCGCCUUUGUUCAUCGAGAGUUGUCACCACUAUGUCCUUUUUGUCUAGCUUUCAUUCGGCAUGGGUAAGUAGGAGUUGUCCAUCGUGUUGUUAUUGUUUCUUUAAGUCGUGUUGUUGUUCCUCGUAUGCCUUCAUCCGUCCAAUUGCUUCUUCAAACGACAUGGUUUCGAGAUCUUGAAUUGCUCGAUUCCGGCGACAAUGGGAAGAUAUUUGUCGGGGACAGAAUCGAGGAGCUUCUUGACCAAUGAUGAAUCCUCAAGUGCAACUCGAGGGUGGUGAACUUGCUUGCUAAUCCGCUGAUUUUUCCUGCGAACUCAUCGAUCGUCUCGGUUUCCUUCAUCCGAAGAACAUUAAACUCACUCUUCAAGGUUUGAACUCUCGCCAUUUCACCCGCUCACUGCCCAAGUACCUUGUCUUGAGACUAUCCCAUAUUUCCUUUGCGGUCUUCUUCUUAGCGAUUUGUAGAAGCACAUCUUCCGGGAUGCAUUAGAGAAUGUAUGCACGCGCCUUCUUGUCUUUCUUCACAUCCACUUCGGCUCCUCUCGCUGGCUCUAUUGCUUCCCAAACUCCUUGGGCAUCGAGGAUUGCUUCUGCCUUUAUCGUCCACACUGUGUAGUUGUGUGGAGUUAACAUCGGGUAGAGAAUCAGCAUUCCACCAUUCUCCUUUGUUUGUUGCGAGGUGCUUGCCAUCUUCGUUGGAAUAUGCGAUGAGAAGACAACCUGCUCUGAUACCAAAUGUUGGUUUUACAACAAAGGAUCUGUAAAAUCUCACGCACUCUUCUUGAAGAAAGCAAAGAUAAAUACUUUGUAAGAUAUAUAUUGCCAAGAGGGAGAGAAAAUUAAUGGAACUUCUUACCUUUAUUCAAUUUGAUGACUAAUAUUUAUAGUCUAAAAGGAAGCAAAGAACUAACUUAGUGCUUGCUAAAACUUUGGACAUGAUUAGAAAACAAAUAACCAAAAACAAUAAAUAGAAAAAUAACUUAAUUCUUCCACCUAUUUAGGAAGAUCAUGGCAAAUUAAUAGCCCACAUAGAUAUCUUAGAAAUUUUACUAGAACCAUUGUUGGAGCUUAUUUCUAUUAGUUGGUAUAUUAUAUAUUUUUUUACAAGGCAGUUGGUUGCUUUGUUGUCAUGCGUAAAUUCUUAACGUCAAAACAUCGGAAGAUUAUUCUACUUAUACUUUCCUUGUUUUGAAUUAUAUGGAUGCAUUCCUUUAUUCGAAAUUUGUCCCAAAUUGGGAUGGCGGCUGAUUUUUUUUCUUUUGGAAGUUAUUUCCUUUAACAAAUUAGUUUAUUUGAAGCAAAUUAUGAAACCCCUUUACUGUUGCCAAAUUUGUUUAUUAAAGAAGAUGAACAUGUUUAUUGUGAAAAAUGCAUUUAAGCUACAACUUUAUUUUGAGCAACAGUUGUUCAUACGACCAUUAUGUUCUUCAUUGCAUUUUCUCAUCACUCAACUUGUUCUGUUGCAAAGUUAUUUAUACCCUUAUUCGCAACAUAUUGAAGAGUUCGUUGGUUUAGGAGAGCCUAAAUCGAUCUUUACCAUCAAGAAGGGAUUCUUGGUCUUAGAGAAUGGAUUCUCUAUCUUAGGGAAGUCUAAGAUUUUUCAGCAUAGAGAGUUUGUUGAAUUACAAAGAAAGAUAUCUAGGUGCGAGAGAGUCUCAUAUUUACCAAGGGGAGCCGAGAGGUGAAGACACCAAUAUUGUAGGGAAAGCAUAAGUUUACUUAAGAGAGAGUCUUAUAUCUAGGAAAAGUCUAGGUAGUUAAGCUUUAUAGAAGUCAUUGUAGUUGUUAUUAUAGAUAAGUAUUGUAUUCUAAUUUGCUUAACUUUUGGUUAUUAAGAAUUAUCUUUCCUCGACACUGUCCAGAUGUAAGUGUGUAAGUGGUAUUUCACUAAAUUGAAUUACCAUCCUCUGUGUUUCCUUUCGUUACUUUUGUUUGUUGAUGAUUCAUUUAUUAUUUGAGUUAUUUGUAUGACAUUAGUGAGCAUGUAUACUAACCAUCUAUACGCUUUUUCAACCCAUACCAACUCUCCUUAACCACACAAUCAUUGCUUAACUCUUUAGAAGUACUACAUUUUGUCUUCCCUUCAAGCCCUUGUAUAACCACAGCUUCUAUCAAGGGCUCAUUCUUGACUUGCACUUGCCAUAUGCCAAAGUUGAUUCUUCCAUCAAAUCUCUGCCAAUCAAACUCUACUAAAUUCAUAAAUCUUGACAUAUUUGGUUCUCUACCCAGCAAAGCAACAAAUAGUGGAAAUUCACACUAUUCACAAACACCUCAACCAGUUUUACAAUCAAACAAUUCUAAAUUUAAGAAACAAAAAGUUAAUAAAAACUAAAUUUAAAUUUAAAUGGAUCUUGGGUUGUUUUUCAGAUUGUAUUAUUCCCAAGAUUAAGAUUUUGGCAACUAGCUCAGGAAGAAGUUGUUCGCUUGGAUGGAAAUCAUUUCCCACACUUGAAGAUGUCCAUUUACGUGGUUUCAAAGAUGAUGGCACGGUCAGUUUGCCAAAGGAGUUGACUGAAUUAUUAUAUAGAAUUAAGGUACUCUCGAUUAUAAAUUCCAUUGAAUUGGUGCGAGUAUUCCCAAAUAGAGAAGAUCAAAGUGGUGCAGAAUUGAAGCAUUUAACGUUACGUACGUAAUCUUCCUAAGCUUACACAGGGGUGGGAGGAGGAUACUGAUCAAAGCUUUGAUAGUUUGGAAUAUAUUUAUGUGGACGGAUGUGAUAUAAUUUGAAGUGUUUGCUACCAUUAUCAAUCACAUUCUCCAACUUAACAUAUGUUGGAGUUACAGAUUGCAAUGGAUUGGUGAAUCUGUUUAGCUGUUUGGUGGCAAAAAGUCUAGUGAAUCUCAAGAGAUUGAGCAUAAGUAAGUGUACAAAAAUGCGUUAUAUAGUUGCAGCGCCUGAAGGAGAUGCAGACGAAGAAAAUGAGGAAGAAAUUAUUUUCAAUCAACUGAAUUAUUUGGAGUUGUAUAAUUUACCAAAAUUGACCAACUUUCACUCUGGAAAAUGUAUACUUAAGUAUGUCUGCUUGGAGAGGUUGGACAUAGAAGGAUGCCCUGAAGUAAAGAAAAUUCCAAACGAAACAGUUAGCACACCCAAGUUGCCAUUUGUCACCACCUCAUCCAAUUAUCGAAGAAGACGCUUGUGAUUACACAGCAGCCACCAGGUAUGCAUCUUUGUUGCUCUACAACCUUGUUAAUUAUAACCACUAAGUAUUUCUAUCCAAAUUAGCAUUAAAAAGGAUAAUUACUUAUAAUUCAAUUUAUACACUAAAUUCAAUUUUCUCUCUUACUCUUAUCAAAUACUUCUAAGGUUAUAAAUCACUUUUCGUUUUUCCUUUUUAACUUUUUAUAACAAUUCACUCCAUUUUAAACUAAUUAGUCCUUUAAUUUUAACAACUCUCCCUCUUCUCAAAUUUUUAACCAUGUUUAAUAUCUAUGUACUUUCAAUUUUUUAACAAUGAGAUGUUUGAAAGAGAAAUAAAUUGUUUGUUUGUAGUUUUAUCUUUAAUUUGAAUGAGUUGUGUUUGAUUUUUUGGUGAAGUAAUAAUUAGAUUUGUAGAAUAAUGAUUCAAAUUUUGUAUUUAUUUGAUUUUUAUUUUGUAUUUUAAAGAGUUACUAAACAAAUAACAAACUUGGUUGUUCAUUGAAGAGAUCUCUCUCAUUUUCCUUUUAACAUUGAGUUAAGUGAAAGCGAGUAGCGGAGAAUUUUGACGGAGAAUUUUGCUGUUUUUGGUUGAGACAAUUGAUGUGGUUAACUUGUAGCCCCAUGCAAAGGGAUGAAUAAUUGUCUUUUACAAUGACACCUUUCAAAAAAGUGUAUCAACUCGAUUUGGGUUGUUCCAAGUCUUUGGUUGUUUUAAUAUCUAAACCACUUAUUUACGUUUGGGUUUGAAUAUUAUGCAUUGAAUGUACUAUUUUUAGUUGAGGGGUAAUCAGUGUAUUCAUUUCUAAGUUAUUAAUUCCCCACUGGAUACCAUACCACAUAAAUUUGGCAAUUCAACCCAAUGGGUGUUUUUUUAAUUUCUUUGAUUUUUUUUUAAAAAAGGACCAAUUGUUUUCUUUUGUGAAUGCAUCAUAAUUUCAAUUUAUCUUCUUACCCAGGAGUGUUAAACGUUAUUGAAGAACUAAAUUGUAUGUUCCAGUCGAAAUUGGCCAAAUCUAGUAGUUUUUAGUUUUAUUAAUAUAAAUUAGAAGUAUUUUAGACAACAUUAAUUCAAUCCAAAAGGCUAGGAUCAAAAUGGUUACUAUGAUGUGUUACUUGAACAAUAUGUAGUUGACAUACAAGUGGUUUAUGUUUAAGUUAUAAUAUAAAAGGUCUAUAGUAAAUAGAUAGACGUUGGGUGUCUUAUCCUUGUAACACUGCACAUAUUACUCACUUUAUAAUUGUUAGAGAAGAUGUAAUUGUUGUUAUAAACAAUAUGAACCAUAUUGUUCAUGUGAAUGGAGGUAUUCUCAAAAAUGUUUAUAUACAUAGAUUGGACCUCGAAAUAAUUGAAUUUCUCUUUAUAAUACUGUUACUUGAAGCAACCAAUAUUUUUUAGGAUGACCAUAGGGAAACUUGACCUUAAUCUUGAGUGAGUUGUGAAGUUUUGUUUAUGACAACAUUCCUUUGAUCUAUAUGGGUGAAAAUGACCAUUAAGGAGUUAAAUGUAACUAUAAGGGUAAAACGAUAAUUUAACUAAGUUGUAGUUAUGAGUAAUUUGUGAAGGGUCAACUCACUAUUGACUGAUUAUAUCCAUCAAAACAUAAAUAUAUCUACUUUGUGAAGAGUGAAACUAUUUGUUUUUAGUGGAGUGAUCGGUUGUAAAUAAAUAUUGAUUAAUUGAAUUUAAAAAGUUUAAUUAAUUAAUCUGAUACCAUUGACGCUUCUAAUUUGUAGCUCUAUUAGGUAUCCCUCAUUACAUUAAUAUGAAUAAGUAUUAGGAAAUAAGUUGAAUUGUUUAAAUUAAUUAUGAGCAUUUGAUAUUAUGUGAUUAAUAUAAAUGGAAAUUGGAGUGGUGACAAUUUGAGUUUAGAGAUUUCCAAACUUGUCACACGUUUUUUCUCAUUUUGCGGAUAUGGCAAAAAUUCAAGUCUAACCGAAGUGAUACAUCUGAUACACAUUUGAUACACAUGAUACACAUAUUUAUAUACAUAAAUGUUUGAAAAUGAUAAAAUAUUAAAUAUUUUUAAUUUAAUGACAAUUAAGUAAAUAUGCUUAAUGACAUUUGGGUAAAUAAAACAAUGAGAUAGUUUGUAAAUAAGUUGAUCUUUAUCAACUUUAGGAUCAAAAGACGUGAAACACUUAUUUUUUAGACAUUUGGGGUAAGAAUGAGUUUGGUAUAGUCCUAUGUUAUAGUUGGGUUAUAAUAGUUUGCUUAUAGGUUGUAGAUUAUUUUAGUUUGGUUAUAAUAUAGUAUGUGUUUGUGGUUUAUAUUUUUACAAAAAAAAUACAUAUUUUUCUUUACCUAAAUCAUUAACAAAAAUUCAAAAUCUUCUAUCACAAAUCCAAAUAUGUUAUUUCAAGUGUAUACUAAGUCACAAGUGUGUAUCGAAUGUGUACCAAGUGUGUAUCGAAUGUGUACCAAGUGUAUAUCACAUGUAUCAAGUGUGCAUUAAGUCAAAUGUAUAUUAAGUGUAUCAAACAUAUUUGAAAGACAUCAAAUGUAUUCGGUGUAUAUCACAGGUGUAUCAAAGUGGAUAUGGCUGUGUAUACAAGUAUAUAUUAGUAACGUACUGAUGGUGUAUCUAAUAUAUCAAAAUGGAUAUCAGUAGUGUAUCAAGUGUAUAUAUUAGUAAUGUAUUGAGGAUGUAUAUAUGUGAAGUAUUACAUGGGUUGAGCUUUUCUCACUAUUUUUGCAAAAGAAACAUGUAAAACAGACCAAAAAAAAAAAUAAUAAAGAAAGAAAGAAAAAGAAACGAAUAAAACAAUCACCUCUAAAGUAUGCUUCUACUAAGAAGAAAGAGAGAAGAGAAAACACUCUCCCUUCGUAGAAUUUCUAUGAACGUAUAAAUGCUCUCCUAAAAAACCCGAACACUUCAUUGCUCAAACUUCUUCCAUGAACCCAAGUGAAAAAAGAAAACACAGAACACUACCAAAAUUAUCUUUCUUUCUAUUAUCAAGGAAGACGCAAAUGAUCUGUGGGCUUUUCGAUUUUGGUAAGGAAAGGAAUGAGUGAAAAAGAGCUUAAGAGGAUUGAAUAUAUGAAGAGAGAUUUGUUGAGUAUUCAAAAACUAUGUAUUUCCAAUCAUGUACCCACCCUUUUAUUAAAUAUUUUACGUGAGAGGAAUAGAGGAGUCAUAUUUCAUAUUUAGAUUUUUGAGCGUGUGUCUUUUAUUGAUAUUAACAAGAUAAAGUGGUGUUUCAAAGUCAACAAGUUAAUGUUCAGUCUAUCUAGUAUGUGGUUUAAUUUCGAGGUAGACUUAAAAUGUUUCUCUUAUGGUGGACAAGCUGAUUCCAGAGGCAAGAAAUCGCUUCUUCGUAAUUCUAUCCUGUUAAGAAUAGAUAAAACCCUCUUGAUCCAUCUUUACUAAAGUUGAAGAUUGUUGCGACUUGGAGUCUGAUUUUCAGAUUAUGUGGGUUGGGUGCUUCGAGAUCACUCGAGUAGUGUGCGUAUAAACAAAAAAAAAAAAAGAAAGAAGAAGAAGAGGAAGAAGAAGAAAGAAAGAAAGGAAGAAAAAUGUGGAUGUAAUCACAAGUUCAAUGGGUGGUUGAUGGAAUAUAAAAGGUGGGGUUGCUAUGCAAAAAUGUAAAAAGGAAUUAACUAUACUACACUUUUUUUUAUCACUUAGUAAGUGGCUGUUUAGAAGUUAAUAAAAAGAAAAGAGUGGGAAGGGCUAAUUUUGUGGAAUUGUAAAAGGUAACCUACACACCCGCCGCUUGGAUUUGCCGCGAAAAUUAGGAAGAACAUCACCUUUGUUAAUUACUGGUACCUGCCUAACCCUAGCCAUUUUUCUUCCCUCCAUUCCCCUUUCAUCUUCCGCGUCUCAGGUAAUCCCAAGUUUCGAUUCAAGGAAAUGGCGGAAGCCCAUGAUAGAACCCAAGUAGAACGCAACCAAAAUCCUAAAAAGCACAGGAAGCAUGCUUUUCCUAUGGCAAUUACCGAAAUUACUAUGGCUACCGGGUAUUUCUCCUCCCCUAUUCUUCCCCACUUCCCCUACCCUUUCUGCUUCUUAAGACAAGUAUUCUUCAUCAUUUCCGGCUUCUGGUUGACACUCCAACUCAUUUUAGAUCUUUUGUUUUUUUUCAGUUCAUCUCUGUUUUUUCCAACUUCAAUGCUGUUAUGAUUUUUUAUUCGGCCGGCAGAAUGUUCAUAACCUUCCCGGUAGUUGGGUUUUCUUUUUUUCUUUUGUGUUGCAGGUGGGUCAAAAAUUGGUUGAAGAUCCUCGUUUAAAGGUUUUCAAGAAAGAAUGGUUUGAAGGCAAGGAUUGCCUGGAUAUUGGGUGCAAUAAUGGGAUAGUUACCAUCCAGAUAGGUACCAAUACUUCCAUCUCAGUAUUUACAUGUAAAGAAAAAAAAAAUAUUGAUAUAUCAUUGUCAUUUGCCGUACUUCUAAUAAUAGUAUAUGCUUGGAAGGCAUACGUAUGGAGAGCUUCAAACUGUCUUUCCUUUUCAGUGCCUAUUUCUCAUUAUCGUUGAAGAUUCUGGAAUUUGUUUUCCUCAAAUACUAGAGUUAUUUACUUAUGUGGAUAAUUUUCUUAUUGCAGCUAGAAAGUUUAAUUGCCGGAGUAUUCUUGGUGUUGAUAUUGACUCUGGUAAGAUUUGCACUUUGAACUUCUCAGCUCCCAUUGUAGAUCCUCUUCUUAAUUUUACAAAGUAUAUAGAGGCAGUUUUGUGAAUGGCCCUUUUCUUUGGAGGUCUAAGCCUUAAUCAAUGAUGCAUUUUACAAUAACUAUUUUAGGCACUUACUAGUCAUGUAAAAUGUAGCUUGAGAUGGUUGGAUGUUGAUUUAUUGUUUUGACUCUAUUAGUAGGGAGCAUCAAUGAAGCUGUUUCUUCUUUAAUAUCUUUAAUCCAUAUCAUGCUGGAGAGCCUCUUAGUUACUUAAUGGGUGGGAAAUGAUAAAGCUCAUGAACUGAAAUAUUAUUUUAUGCAUUGAAGGAGGAAAAUUUUCAGUCCUAGAAGAUUUUAAUCAUUGUUGCACAUAGUGCAUACUGACUUUAAACUGCCCAGUAUUUGCCUGAAGAAGCUUGUGCGUCUAGAACAUAUUUCUUGGAAAUUUCAUUGUUUGUUGAGUUUCUUGGAUCAUAGUGACUUCAUCAUUAUGAAGUCUAUCUUUUACUAGUACCUUUAGCAAUCAUUACAUCACAAUUUGGUUGUUAUUUUGGGAUAAAAUUGAUCUCAAAGGUGAAAUACUUCUAAAAAAUCAAGGUGUUUAAGCCCGAGUUAACCUUUCGGUUUUUCUAUCUAAAAUGUUGCUUUGUUUCCAACCUAAUCUUCUCUUUAUGCAAGAUCGAGUUGACGAUGCUUAUUGGAAUCUUAGAAGGGAAAUAAGACUGAGUGAUGGGAACCCUGAUAAUGGUUUGAAGUGCCGUGCUUCCAAAGCUUCAAGGAUAGACUUAGUAGAAGCUUCUACAAGUAUUUCUUCUUCCAAAGAACAUGAUCUUCAUGCGGUUGUCUCCUUCAAACGGCAGAAUUUUAUAUUCAGUCACCAUCCACCGGACCAGCAUUAUGAUACAAUUCUUUGGUAAGUUGAUCUUUUAAUUUGUAUGUUACGCAUUAAUGCUAUUUGUUUCUUUGACCCUUGAUACAUUUCCCUUUUGUUGUUACAGUAUGCAUGUUUUUCUUUUCCUGUAUUGCAGUUUGAGUGUGGCAAAGUGGAUUCAUCUUAACUGGGGAGAUGAUGGCUUGAUUACAUUGUUUUCCAAGAUUUGGAAACUGCUUAACCCGGUACUUAACCGUCGUACAUGCAUGUCAUCCUGCACUUUGUUAUAUUGGUUUGUAUUUACAUUUUCAAUCUGAUUCAGAACCUUCUUAAUUAUCCAUUCAUUCUGAAAAGGCAGGGUGGCAUUCUUGUUUUGGAGCCUCAACCUUGGAAGUCUUAUGAAGCCAACUAUAGUGUUUCCGAGGUAAAAUAUUCCGAGCAUCCAGAUUGUUUUAAUCGACAAUCACCUUGAGCCAAAGUUGAAAAUUUUCUUAGUGGUGUUCUAGCUUCUCCUAUCAUAUUGCCUUAGAUUUCAGCUGAUGUUUCGAAUGCAGACUACUAAAAUGAACUUCAGGACUAUAAAGAUCCUUCCAGAAGAUUUUCAAGAAAUACUCCUAGACAAGGUAUUUAUAUGAUUUAUUUGGCUGAGUUUUUCAAACAGCAUCAGUUUUCACUAAUUCUUGGACAACAUCCCACCCCAGAUUGGAUUCAGAACAGUUGAAGCCUUAAACAUUGGCUUGGCCGACGGCAAUUCAGGAGGAUUCAAUAGACCAAUUUUAGUUUUCCAGAAGUAAAGUGUAGUAAUAUAGACAUCUGAACCAAAUACAGAGGCCAUCAGCUGGUCUUUUUCUUUCUUUUUUUUUUUUCUUUGACGAGUGGACGAGUGGGGUUGGGAAGAUUGGAUCCCAACUUUUGAGUUCUUGAAUCAAGGGUAUAUUUUGUGACUCCACAUUGGAUCCGUUGAGUGGGUGUUUUGGAAAGAAGGGUGCAGUUAGUAGUGAGAUGGGAUCUUUCAACUCAUGGAUAGGCGUCUUUUGAAGGGUUGUUGUAAGCUUCUUCUAGUUUUUGUUGUUUACGUAAAUUAUACUUUAGUUAAUGAUUUGAUCGCUUACGUAUAUUACUAAUUCAUGCACUCUUUUUCUAUCAUCUUCACUCAUAUCUAAGUUUAUGUCAUACAUCAAAAUAAUUUCUUGUUUUAUAGUAUAUUUAAGAAUUGGGAGACGCUUGAUGAAGUUGAUACUAAAUCAGCUCUACAAUAAUUUAUUUUCAUCUUCUUUUUUUCUUAAACUAAUUUCUUUUUUAAUAUUAACAUAUUGAAUGGAUAUUCAGGAAAAAAAAAAAAAAAGUUUAUUUAUUUAUUUUAAAUUUAAUGAUUGAUUUGUUAACCGGUCCGGCUAUGGUAGCUCGACAUAACUUGAUUUGCUAAAUCCUCCAUCGUUAGAAAAGAGAUAAAAAUGAGUAUCUGAAAAAUGAAAUUUGAAAAUGAGAUUUAAUAAAAAGAUGCUGUAUUUUAGGUUUUUAAAUGUGUGUUUGGCCGUAGUUUUAAAAAAUGUUUAAAUGUAUUUUAUAUUAUAUAUUUAUAAUUUUUAAAAUUUAUAUAAUUAUUAUUUUGUUUUAUUAUAAUUUAUAAUACAAUUAUAUUAAAAAAAUGAACUGAAUUUAUAAAAAUUCACAUGAGAAAUUGUAUUUAAUAUGAACGUAAAACAGAGUUUGUUAUAAAAUCACAAUUAUAAAUAAUGUGGGUGAGAAAAGGCCCACAAUUUGGAUAUAUUUCAGUUUUUGUUGGAGGUAAACUGCAUCUUUUUCAAUCCUUGAAGUCCACCUUAAUUCAUCAUUCACAAUAUUACUUAUUUCCCACCCCUCUAUUUAUAAUAUCCUAAUUAACGAAUUUGUCAAAGUUCCUAACAUAAUAAGUGUUAACUUCUGAGUUGAAAGAUAGUUGAAUUUGUGCUAUUUCUUUUCCUCAACUACUGGACCCAUUAUUUUUCUCUAAUUAAAACUCAUAUAUACUUUGACCUCAGUUUCAAACUAUUCUUAUUUUUAGUGCACCAAAUGUGUUAGACUAGACGACAUUCAUAGCUAUUUUUUUCACUCCAAAUUUUGUUGGGGUGUAAAAACAAUACAUAAUAAUAGUUUUAAUAAAAUGUGUGUUUUAUCUGUGACCAAUUUUUGUCAUUUAUCAGUACUAAUGCAUCAUAUUUGUGUCAGUACUGCCGUCUAUAACACUCGGUGGCAUCAGACCAUUGGGUCGUUUUCGUGCAGGGUCUCUACAGUAAUCAUAUAUCAUGUACUUCUUCCUAACUUGACCAAGCUUGGCCAACUGACGAUCAGUAAGUUGAGAAUGAUCAGGAGAAGUCCACCAGUUUUGUGCAGAGUUGGUGGCACAUUGGUUAUUGCUCAGCUCUCCAAUCCAAUGACAAGCUCUUGCCCUAAAUUGGCGGAUGGUAGCAGUGAAUGGUGCAUUGGUCCAAUUUGUUUUCGCACGUCCUCUUUGUGUUGCCCAAUCAUCUGCAUUCCAUAAACUUGUAUAAAAUCUCAUUCCUUGCUUGUUUGGAUAUGCUUUUCUUCGCUCCAACCUCUCGUAGUUUCGAAAUACUCUUAUUGGAAUACUGUCGAUAUACCACCUGAAAAUAAUCCAAAGUAACAUUCAAACAUGUUUUAUAGAUCGAUGUUAUUUUAACUUAAAGCAAAAUUAUUGUAAAUACAAAGUUGUAGAUUUUAUGAAUAGGUCUAUAUCGUUGAUAGAAUUUAAAAUUUUACUAUAUUUUAUAAAUAUUUUUAUUUAUUUUUUUAUAUUUAAAAAAUGCUACUAACUUAGAUGACAAGGCAACAACAUUUUAGACUUUGUUCAUAUAUUUCAAAAUGUUCUCUAACUCGUUGGCUGUGAAAAAAGUUAUAUAUAUAUAUAUAUUUCAAAAUUAUUCUUCAAAUAAAAACUUAGAGGAUUAGACUGUAAGUAACUGGAUUUGAAGUUUAAGGCAAGGUCCAAUAUUCCAUUUAUGGUUGAAGUCUUAUUUGGAUGAAAAUGAGGUUUAGAAUAUAAAUAGAUAGAUUUAGACUCCUUUUACUGAUUGUUUUGUUUUUAAAAAUUCCAAAUAACUUUCUUACUAUGUUUUGCAUCUUCCCCAAAUAAAAAUGUUGAAUUCUUAACUAAAUUUGAAGGGAGUGGUUAACAAACACGACUUUCAUGAAUUCCAAUAAUGAAAUGUCACUUACACAACGGUACUGGGAUUCCAGUGAAUUGUGUAGUUAUGAAAAUCAGCUGUAGGAUCAAACCACAAUCGAAACUGCUGUUCUCUAUGUCCAACACCCUCAGCAAAUAUGUUUGUAUGAAUUGUAUAAGGCUCUCCUGUAGUAUUCCCCAAAAACUCAUAAUCUAUCUCAUCAUGAUAUGUCCCUGAAGAAGAUAGCUACAAAAUAAAAAACAAGAAUUAGCACCACAAACUCGUGUGUCCUCCACGUCAGUUAAUAACCACCCAGUAUGAAUUCUAUCAAUUGUUUAAUCCUUUUCCUUUUCUUACGAUCUAAAAAAGAGUGCAUUAUAUAGAUUUUCUAACUUCAAACCCGCUAUUUAUUCGAUAUUUUGUAGCAUUCUCUCUAAUAACAUUGUUCUCUCAUCCCUCCUAAACUUAAGCAAACACAAUAUAUGUCAAUCUUUUCUUUUCUGACUUUUUCUUUUUAAUUAUUUGCUUGUCAAUUUCGUAACACUUCAUGAGUUAUAACGUUACUGUUUAGAUUGAACCAUACAUAAAAUGCUGUAACUAAUCCUGCAGAAUCCCCUGGAACGAACUUGAUGAGAGCUUCAAAGCUUCCAAAUAAGAAAUCUCUCUUUGACUUUGAUCCCGACCCUGUGAUAACGAAAUCAGGACGAGAUGAAUUUAUUUAUUUUGCACACAAAGGUAUGAGAAAUCAUUAAUUAACAAGAAAGACAUGGUGAAAGGAAGCAAGAAAUGAUAUUGUUUUUCUUUCAUCACCUGUGCUUUUGUCCAAAACAAGCAGAAGGUCAUCCCCUUCUAUUUUGGACUGACUAUUUCCCCAGCUAAGGACCAUGUUUUUUGACAUAUUGGCCUCAACUUGAAUGUGAUUAUACACAAUCACACAUAUGAAAAUGGCUAUAAAAAAGGAUUGAAACUUUGCCAUUUCAAUCCCAAUAUUUAGGAAGAUCGUCUUCCCUUUUGGGAUUGAAAUGAGAUGUUCCAAAUAUUCAAGUUUGAGAUUAUCGCUUUAUAUAGUUUUUUUCUUUCAUUUCUUUGUUUAAUAUUAGACAUCGGUUAUAUUUUAUGUAUUACAGCUUUGCAAAUUUUAGAAUAGUAAAGUUGAAAAGGUCUCUUGUUUCCAUGUUAGAACGUUGGUUUCUUUUUUCUAUUAAUGUAAUAUUUUCACUGAAUGGAUAGACAGCAAUGUGCACGUAUGUUUUUAUGGUGUACAAUCUGUUGGCUAUAAUAAUUUGUUGGUUCAAAUGGUGUGUGCAAAAUAAUGUGUGGAAGCCCCCAAUUUGAUUAAUGAAACAAUGGUCCACACUAAGAAAUUAUAUAUGAACUAUGAUAUAGAUUCUCAAAAUUUCAUGUUUUAUUGAUCUUUGGAUUAAUAUACUUUGAAUCCAUUUGGUCUAAUAGUGGGCUAAACUUGAGUUUAAAUCAUCCUUGUGCAAGGAUUAAGAUAUUGAUGAUGGUAGAGAUUGUUUUCAAUUUUAUAAUUUGUAUUGAUAAAAUAUUGAUAUUGUCACAUCCAUUUCAAACUAUCUACUCUAUCUCAGAGAUGAUGUGAGGUCAAUCGGAUACCGCCUUUCACCUCAACGAUAUAUGCUAAUCUUAACUCUUUAACCUUACUUAAAACUCAGCGGAAGCAUAUAACUCAUCUUUGAGAGAGAAAAUUUAGGUGUAACCCAUUUUAUUUCUAAUUUGUAAAAUAUAGUACUUACAAACGUCCUAACAAACCAAAUUUUUGAUACAAUUAGUUUCUUUUACCCACAACACAAUUACUUUAACCAUAAUAACUUUACGGAAUUUUCCUAACGGAAUGGUCGAUAUGACAGCGAUAAGUUUUGAUCCGGGAAACAUGAUCAACAUCUAGAAAGUGAGAAAACGUUUGAAAGAAAGAGCUAAAAAUGCCGAAUGAAUGAUGUUUUCUAAAACAUUUUUCCAAAUGGUUAUGUUCAAUGUUAAGCUUUAAAUGUAUAAAUCAUUGUACACAAGACAUAAUAAAACUUUUUAGAAACUCAUCAUAAGUUCCUCAAUCAUUUAGAAACAUCUUAAGCUAUUGUAUACGAGUUCCUACUAUAUACAUUCAUAAUUUAACAUAGGUUAGGUUGAACUGAACCUUCCCUUAUCUUAACUUAACAAGCCCUAUCUUAAUGUUAUAUAUCUUAACUGAACAACUAAGUCUUAUAUAUGCAACACAAAAUACUGCAAACAUGUAAAAUCUAAAACUAAAUUAUAACUCAUAUUGAUCCAUACUAUACAAUAGGGGUGUGAGGCAUCACGGUCAUACUUGUCCAGGGUGUGUUUGCUUAUGGUUGUAUGUCCAAAUACCCCAAAUUUAUCUUAUCUUUAUGUCUUGUAUUUCAUUUCGCUGGUUGAUUUCCUUUUUAAGUCAUAAAACUUGGGUGUGACGUUUCAACAUUUUCAUAUGCAAGCCUACCAGAGUUGAAAAUGUUCAAAAUGUACUAUAGGGAAGAUAAUAGUUGAAUCCGCGUCCACGCAUUGUCGCACUUUUUGCAAGCAAACUUUUUCCUUUGCAACUGACAGUUUUCACUUUAUAUUGUAACGCCGAUUUCAAUGAAUUUAUUUCUCUCUCACGUUUUCUAAAAUAUUUUCUCAAGAACGUGACGGGAGUUUGAUUCAUAUCGCAAGUUUGUCUGCAGUUUUUGGAUUUCGAUCGGCUGACUUGUGCAUCGAGUUCGAACAAGUGCCGCACAAUUGUCCAUCCCGAGUUUGAAAGGCUACGAUUGUGACAUGAGACCCUCAUCCUAAAAGAAAAUCUUGUCGAAGUAAAGCUCCACUAAGAAGGAUAAGUUUGUCUAAGUAUAAAAGAAAGACAUUCCACGAGAAAGGAUGAGAAUGAAGAAAGAACAAUGCGAGAAGAAGCGUGUAAACCCAAGUGCUAUCGCAUUAAAGAAAGCGAGGCAAUGAGACUUAUAAAUUGGGGAGGAAGAAGCACACGACAAAAGUCGAAGGUUAGUUGAAGGGUGUAGUACUGAUGCGAGGAGAAAUGCCUACACCUAAGUUUGGUCGUGAUAAGGUAGACGUACUGUUAAAAAGAUGGACGUUGAAUAGGUGAUUGGACAACUCACUGACGCAAAAUUAAUGUUCGAUGACUUCCCAAAAAAAAGGUUAGAUGAUGAGACAUUUAACUUUCCAAAGAGAUAAUGUUAGGGUGUCUCAAGGAGAGUGUGUAUUUGUAACUCACAUGAGGUAGACAUACCGUUAAAAAGAUGGACGUCGAAUAGGUGAUUGGACAACUCAUUGACGCAAAGUUUAGUUCGGUGACUUUCCAAAAAAAAAGUUAGACAAUGAGAUGUUUAACUUUCUAAAGAGAUAAUAAGGUUGACGUGUCUCAAGGAGAGUGUCUAUUCGUAACUCACAUUGGACUUAUGUGUCAAAUUUGGGUUGGCUGCAGGACGCAGUGAAAUGAGAAUGUGACAUGUGUAAAGCGUGAAAAUAACGCAUGGAUGUGAAGGGCCACUAUAAAUAGGAUCAAAGAGCGAAAGAAAAGGGGGCAUAAGAUAUUAGGAUUAUGAGAAUUCAUCAAAAGAGAGUCAAAGUUGAAAGCAAGAAGGAAGGAGUGGAGCCUCCAAUAUUAUGAGUGGUUUCCUUUACAAAAUAAUUCUAAGUUUCAAAGUUUUCUAAAAUGCAUUUCUAUCGAGACCGUGACUUAUAUGAUUUUUCUUAAGUUUCCUAUUCUUGAAAUGUAUACGAUUUACAAAUGAAUAUGAUUUACUAUACAUUAGAAAUGAUGUGCUUAAAGGAGGUUUGAGAACUUCAUAACGAUUGAAUAAUUUGAUCUUUGUACUUUAGAAGCCUUAUUCUUGUUGUGUGAUCUUUAAUGGGAUGCCUCAUCCUUGCUGUGUGAUCGGAGAUGAGAUGCUGUAUUCGUGCUGAUCUUAAAAGGGUAGCUUUGUAGUUUGCAAUUUUCAAAUGUAGGUUGAGUUUGAAAAUUUUCAUUUUUGCAAACGUAAUAGAUAUGUGGUAUGAGCCUAAUUUAUGAAAUUACAUUUGCCAUAUUUUGAAGAGACCCUUUUAAAAACACACAUGAUUGUUAAUAAUUUUGCAACUAUUAACAAACGUUCAUGGCAAGGGCACGGGUAAAGGUAGUGUAGGGGUGUGGUUUAUGCCAUUUUCUUUUCUUUUUUUUUUAGGUUUGCAAAUAUUUUGGUUAUGCUCCAAUUAUUUGAUACAUAUUAGUUUUAAAAGGUAACUUUGGUUUCUUCACAACUUAUGACUGAAAAGAGAGAGCGAGAGAGAGAGUGAGGGAAAAAUGAUGAUAGGAGAUGUAGAAAAAAUGGUUGCUAUCGGUCUCGUUUGGGGCGCCACCAAUGUUCUGAUGCGCCGCGGCGCUCUUCUCUGGGACCAAGCUCUCAAAUCUUCCUCUGAUUCAACUAAACCCUUUUCCUCCCUCCGUCGAUGGCUCAAGCUCUUCUCUAUUUGGCAGUACACUCUCCCUUUUUUUCUUAAUCUCACUGCCUCUGCUACCUUCUUCACCAUUCUAAGCCAUGCCCCAAUAUCUCUCGCCGUUCCGGUCACCAACGCUACUACUUUUGCUGCCAUGCUGUUUUCGGAAUGCUCCUUGGCGAGGCCACUCGUGUCGGGUACGCUCUGUUUGGUACCACUCUCAUUGGUUUCGGCGUAUGGCUUUGCAUUAACUAAUGCUGAUUUCUCAAUCGCAGAAUUUAGGUUUUCUUGUAAUUUUUCUCUUUCUAGAGAUGUAUGAUAUGAAUCUGUCCAAAGUAGCCCUGCUGAAUUUUACUCUGACAUUAACUGUAGUGAAAUUGGGAUGUGUUUAGUCUCUUCAAAUUCGAAAAUGAUUUGUUUAAUGCACUGAAAGAGAGCUGGUUGUUUUGAUGACGGGUCGAAGAAUUAGAAACUUGAGAGGAUGGACAUGGUUGUGAGUUCCUAUGCCAACUUUCUAUCCAACUCUUUUUAUCUACUUGGCUUUGUGUUUGGUCUCUAUACCUAUCAUGUACAUUGGUAGCAAAAGUGGAUCUUAGUCUCUUGUUAGGGUUAGGCGUUUGAAAGAGCACAGAUAGGUGCAAAUUGGCCAUUGGAAGGGCGUUUGGAACAUUGAGUUGAUUUUUAUAGUUUAUAAUAGUCCCUAUUUGGAGUACAAACUAUUUUAGUCUUGGUUAUAUUUUAUGUUUAUGAUGCAAACUAUUUUAGUCCAAGUAAUACAUAGUAAACAUGAUAAUAAAGAGGGAGAAUGAGAUAUGUAGGAAAUAGUAAAUGAGGGAUUUCAAAUCAUUAUUGUAGAUAAUUGUUGGUUACAAAUAAUUGUCAACACUAUUAUAUAUUUGGAGCCUCAAACAUGGAGUGGGCUAUAAUAGCCAACUCCAUCAACUUCAGUUUGGGGGCUAAACAGCCUAUGAAUUACUUGAACAGUUUCACGAGCUACAGAGAAUUAUCCAAUGAGGCCGCUGCAAUAUAGUUGCCCUUUAAUAAUUGUUGGGUGUAUUUUAAAAAAUCUACAUGUUUCCCAAUAACAACUAGAUAUAGAUUCAAAAUGUUUUUGGCAGUUGCUCUCUUACGGUGCAAAAUUGCACUCCACAUUGUGGUGGUCUCCUUGGAGAAUUUCUCUAGUUCUGGACAGCCACGGACAAAUUCUGAAACAAAGAUAGUUGACUUUUGUAGCUAUUUCUCUUCCUCAACUACUCGAAGCAUAAUGCCUUUCUUAAAGUUAAUUAGGUUUGACUUCAGUUUCAAAAAUUCUACAGCUAAAAAGAAUGCAUUUGUUCCUUUCGGGAAAUCUUACAAGGGUCCUUUUUCGAUGACAGAUCUUUCUAAAAGGCAUAAAAUAGAACCUUUGUUUGCCACUUUUGAACGGAUUGGGGAUGUUUUCUUCAUCCUAGAUUACUUUUUUGCACGUAUACUUUGUCUAGCUUCUUAGUUACAAGGCUUAUACAGGUAAAGCAAUGGGAAAGCAAGCUUUAUAUGAAACAUGUAAAUCAUUUUAGAACAUAAUAAACAUGUAUAUCAAACCAAUCAGAGAGCUAUAACCUUACAAACAGGAACCAAGAAAGAAAAGAAGAAAUGUUCUCUCAUCUCCGAAAUAAGAAAAAUUAACCAUUUUGAAACUUGGAGUGCGAUAGGAUUAUUGUUGGUAGAAUUUACUCAUCUCUGUCUUAGUACUGUGCUUUAUAACAUUCAGAUGGCAUUUUCCCAUUGAACCGCAUAGUGUCUUUGCAGUAAUCAUAUAUCUUGUAUUUGCUCUGGAUUUCAUUAAGUUUGGCUAACUGAGGACGACUCAACCGUGCAUAAGCUGGAGAAUUCCACCAAUUUGCUAGGGACUUGGUGGCACAUUGGAUAAUGCUGGGCACACCAUUCCAGUAACAAGCUCUAGGCCUAAAUUGGCGCAAGCCAGCAAUGAAUGGUGCGUAGAUCCAGUUUGUUUUCACACGACCUCCUUGAGUUGCCCAAUCAUCUGCAUUCCACAAACUGGUAUAUAUUUUCAUUCCUUGCUUGUUAGGGAAAGCUAUUCCUUGAUUCUCAUAGUUGCGAAAAACUCUGAUUGGGGUGCCGUCAAUAUACCACCUGAAAUUAGCCAUACCUCAUAUUUGUUAUUUUCUUCCACAGGCAAAUAUUUCAAGUCCCGUUUAAUAACGAUUUGAUUUUUGGUUUUUGAAAGCUAACAUUACUUCUACUUAUAGAUCUCUUUGUUUUGUUAUCCACUUUCUACUAAAUUUUCAGAAAAUCAAGUUAACUUUUGAGAUCUAAAACAAGGUAGUUUUUAAAAACUUGUUUUAAGAGGUUUGCAAUUUGGCUGAAAACUUACUUCAAGAAAGUGAUAAUCAUAACAUGGAAAUUGAGAAGAAACAUGUGUAAAUUUCCGAAAGUGAAAACUAAAAAUGAAAUUCUAAUACGAAAUGUUAAUAUUUGAAUGAAAUAAUCUUGUAUCCCUUUGUGGGGUUUUCUACUGUUUUUGUUUAAAUAUUUCAGAUCGGAAAUUGUUUUCUUAUCCAAAAAAGUAUGAGAUAAUGCAAUAAAUGGGGUUCUUUUAAAGUAGAACUUUAAAUUUUUGUUUGAGGACAUUAAUUCUCACUUACACAACAGCAUUAGGAUUCCAGUGGAUUGUGUAGUUGUGGAAAUCAGCGGUAGGGUCGAACCACACUCGAAACUGCUGUUCUCUAUUUCCAACACCUUUAGUGAAUAUGUUUGUAUGAAUGGUGUAAGGCUGUCCUGUAACAUUCCCCAGGAACUCAUAGUCUAUCUCGUCAUGAGCUGUACCAGUAGAAGAUAGCUGCAGAAAUUUGAAGAUCAAGAAUUAGCACCAGAAAUGAAAGGAUGUAACACAUCAAUAUUUUGUGAAAUGUGGGGUCAAGAUGUGCGUUCACUAUCCAGCAUUGAACCGUACAUAAUAUGCCGUUACAACACCCGCAGAAUUUCCCGGAACCAAUUUGAUGCGAGCUUCAAAGCUUCCAAAUAAGAAACUUCUCUUUGACUUUGCUCCUGAGCCUGCAACAACAGAAUCAUUCUUGCUUGUCAAAGAUAACUACUAGAAUGAUUUGUUUAUUUCUUCUCACACAGGUAUGAGAAACAUGUACUUUGUUAAAAAAGUCAAGAAAUGAUAUUAUUUUCACCUGUACUGUUGUCCAAAACAAGCUGAAGGCUAUCCCCUAUUAUUUUGGACUGACUAUGUCCCCAGCUUAUGACCAUGUUCUUUGAAAUAUUUGCAUCAACAGCAAUGUGAUUAGACACAAUCACAAUGACCAAAAAUGCUAGAGAAAAAGAUUGAAACCUUGCCAUCUCAAUCGAAAUAUCAGGGUAACCUCUCCCUAAGUCUUUCUUUUCUGGGUUUGAAAUGAGACGUUUUGAAAAUUCAAGUUCUUGAUUGCUUUAUAUAGUUUGUCUUUCUUUGUUCAUUGUUAGACAUUGGUUUUUCUUUUAAUUUGCAGAAGUCAGACCUAUAAAUAUAAAUAUAUAUAUAUAUAUAUUAUAUAUAUAUAUGAAUUACAGCUUUGCAAACAUGAGGAUUGGAAGUUGAAAAGGUCACCCUGUGUUGACAUUAUAAAAUUUGUUUUUUUUUCUUUUUCCUUCUACAUUUUAAUGUAUAACAAUAACAACAAUGUGCUUGCAUGUUUUAAUGCAAUUUGUGGAUUAUAAUUUGUUGGUUCAAGUGGAUUAGAAAGACGUGUGGAGCCCUCAAUUUUUGAUAAGCGGGCGUAAUGGUAAGGAAGUAUGAACUUUGUAUAGAUUCUCAAAGUUUCAUGAUUUACUUGAUCUUUCAAGCGAAAAUGUACUCUUGAUCCAUGUCAAGAUGUUAAUUUUAUAAAUUAUUUUUUACUAAUAAAGAAGUUUUACAUUCUUUUCAACAUUUCAUUUAUAUUCAUACAAUAAUCUGUUUCCUUUAUGGCGAAAUUGAAUCAAAUUGAAAAAUUAUAGAGUUGGGUAUACAUCAAAUCAAAAUGAUUUGAACUACAAAUGUUUGAUUUUUAUAAUUUUAGACCCAACUGUAUCGCUACUUUAAUAGAAAUCCAAAAUUUGAUUUCGUUCAAUUAGAUUUUUAUUUUAGUUAGUUUGGGGAAUUGCCACCCCAAAUACAAAGAUUAAUGGCCGUGAAUAUCUAUAUUGUUGAUUAUGUUGAAGUUUUGUUAAGGUCACAAAUUUAAUAAUCAAUAAAUAUCUAAAUCACGAUAAAAAUAAGCUACUACAACUAAAUAAACUAAAAGUAUAGAAACCAAAGUAAUUGUAAUUGUAAUCGAAAUAAAAGGACAAAAACAGCUAUUUCAAAUAUAGCAAAAAAAAAAAAAAAAAGAAAAAGAAAUGUGAAGAGAUAUUUAUAUGAACACAAUUUGAUAAACAGUAAUUUUUUUUGAACAAGUGUUGUGCAAAGUUGGAAAACAUUACCUUGAUUUGUGCUAAUAGAAUAAUAGAAUUGUGGAAGGGAAUAAAAGAAUAAUAAAAUGAUACCAUAUUUUAUUGGUUUCAUAAAUAUAUAUUCAAUGUAUCAAAAUAUCAAACAAAACAUUACCCAUUCAUAUAUACUUUUGUAUAACUAGUACUAAAACAAACAUUGUUGGUGGAGUUCAAUUUUCUUUCCAUCUCUCAACACAUCCAAAUCAAUAUAUAUCAUUUUAAGUUAAUAAUGAAUUAAAGGUCGUGGGUUUUUGUAAAUCAAUUGCCAGCUUUUCUUUGGCUGUGACGUCACACGCAUUUAUAUUCCUUUAUGUAGAGAAAGAAUUCAUAAAAAUAUUAUUCUUUCAUUUCAACAACAUAAAAAUAUAUUGUUUCAUUGCAAGUUGCAACUAAACCUCCUCAUUACCUCUCAUUCUAACGUUUCAAGGUCCAACCUAAGUGUUGAAGGUCUUUAAAGUUCUAUUUCCUUCUUUUUGUUUUUUAUUGUUAGUUUUUAGUUUUGAAAAUAUUUGUAUGUUUUUUCUUUUACCAUUCCAUUUUCUAUUCUCAAUCUAAAAAUGUUUUCAACCAACCUCAACCAGUUUUGAUAGCGAGAAAAAAAAAUAUCUAUUAGACAUUACAUUAACGUAUUGUAUACAAAUAUAGAAACAGUUAUGUGUGUGUUUAGAAUACAUGUUCAAAUCUUUAAUUUAAAAUAUAAGAUUUUAAAAAAAAUUAGAGUAUUUUAAAGCUCCUCAAAACUAUUUUUUAAAUAAUUUUCACAUAAUUGAGUUUGUUGAAAAUAUUUUGUUUUUGUUAAGUGAAUCUAAACCAAUUCUUAAACAGUCAAAAUAAAGGUUAACUUAGAAAAUCAUAUAAACUCAACUUAUAAUUUAAUCCAAAAAACGAAAAAUGGAAAGUCAUAAUCCUUAACUUAUAAGCUCAUGUGUGUUAUAUAUGGAAUUGCCAUAGUUGGCAAUUGUGUAUGAAACUGAGUGGUUCCUUAAUUAAGUUGUUUAAAUAUUUUAGAGUUUUGGAAAAUUUGUCCUCUAUUCAAUAUAAUUUUGUCUCAUUGGUUACUUUCUCUCUGUAAAUAUAGUUUGAUGCCCAAGAGAAGGGGGAAAAAAUUUGUUUCCUCCAAAGAUGCAUAUAUCAAUGUUCUUAUAUAUGUGAAACUAAGAGCAAUAAUUUUUGGGUUAAUUUUCAUAAAUUUAACGAAUCCACUAAAUAUUUACGGCUCGUGUGACAAAAUGAAAAUUUUCAUAAAUUUUCUUCUUCAUCUUCUUCAUGAUCAUCAUCAUCAUCAUCAUCAUCAUCAUCAUCAUCAUCAUCAUCUUCUUCUUUCUUCUUCUUCUUCUUCUUCAUCUUCUUCAUCUUCUUCUUCUUCAUCUUCAUCUUCUUCUUCUUCUUCAUCUUCAUCUUCAUCUUCAUCUUCAUCUUCUUCAUCUUCUUCAUCUUCAUCUUCAUCUUCUUCUUCAUCUUCAUCUUCAUCUUCAUCUUCAUCUUCUUCUUCAUCUUCUUCAUCAUCUUCAUCUUCAUCUUCAUCUUCUCCUUCUCCUUCUUCAUCUUCUUCAUCAUCUUCAUCUUCAUCUUCAUCUUCAUCUUCUCCUUCUCCUUCUUCAUCUUCUUCUCCUUCUUCUCCUUCUCCUUCUCCUUCUCCUUCUUUCUCUUCUCUCCUUCUCCUUCUCCUUCUCCUUCUCCUUCUCCUUCUUCUCCUCCUUCUCCUUCUCCUUCUCCUUCUCCUCCUCCUCCUCCUCCUCCUCCUCUCUCCUCCUCCUCCUCUCCUCCUCUCCUCCUCCUCCUCCUCCUCCUCCUCCUCCUUCUCCUUCUCCUCCUCCUCCUUCUCCUUCUCCUUCUCCUUCUCCUUCUCCUCCUUCUUCUCCUUCUUCUCCUCCUUCUCCUUCUUCUCCUCCUUCUCCUCCUUCUCCUUCUUCUCCUUUUCUUCUUCUUCUCCUUCUUCUUCUCCUUCUUCUCCUUCUUCUUCUUCUCUCCUCCUCCUCCUUCUUCUCCUCCUUCUUCUCCUCCUUCUUCUCCUUCUUCUCCUCCUUCUUCUCCUUCUUCUCCUCCUUCUUCUCCUCCUUCUCCUCCUCUUCUCCUCCUUCUUCUCCUCCUCCUUCUUCUUCUUCUUCGUCUUCUUCUUCCUCUUCGUCGUCUUCUUCUUCCUCUUCGUCGUCGUCUUCUUCGUCUUCUCCUUCUUCGUUUUCUCCUUCUUCGUCUUCUUCUUCCUCUUCGUCUUCUUCAUCCUCUUCGUCUUCUUCGUCGUCCUCGUCAUCUUCGUCGUCGUCUUCCUCUUCCUCUUCGUCCUCUUCCUCCUCUUCAUCUUCGUCCUCUUCUUCGUCUUCUUCGUCUUCUUCGUCUUCCUCUUCUUCGUCUUCUUCUUCUUUGUCUUCUUCGUCUUCUUCUUCUUCGUCUUCCUCUUCGUCCUCUUCUUCGUCUUCUUCGUCCUCUUCAUCCACUAGAAGAAAACUACCCUACAAUGACAGUUAUAUAUCUCAAAAAAUGAAUGGAAGAAAAAAAAACUGUCACGAAAUAUAAAAUUUCGCGUUUUUGUCGGGAAAAGACGGAAUUUUUCGGAAAACACUUUUCGCGACAGUUAUUAACUGUCAUAGAAUGUUAGGGUUAAAAUUUUUUUCUUUUUUCCUUUUCUUUUCUUUUUCCUUUUUCUUUCUUUUCCCUAUUUCCUUCUUCCUCCCCGUGCGUCCUUCCCCUUCUCCCCAGCCGCAACCGUCGCGCCUCUUCUCCUUCCUCCCGUACGCCGCGACGACUCCACCGUCUCCUUCUCCCUUCCCUUCUGUUUCCUUCCCGCCGCAGCCAGCCGUCUUUCUCUUUCGUUUUCUUCCCGCCGCAGCCCAGCCGUAUAGCCCGCGAUCUGCCGUCUCCAUCUUCGGUUCGCGAAGCAACCUUGCAGCAGUCGUCCCGCGCGUCGAUCUGCCGUCUCCAUCGCCGGUUCUGUCUUCGUCGAAGCCCGAGCCGCCGUGUGAACCAGUAACCACCACGUUCGCCGCUCACAACCGCCGUAAAGCCAGCCGCGCAACCUUCGUUCCAACCGCUGUACUGCCGCGCGAUUCUCCGGCCACGUCUUCUUUAGCCGACCGCUGACCGACCCACACUUAGGAUUUUGCUGCGAGUUCGACAGUCGUGCGUUGAGUGUUGGGAGUAACCUUGGGCUCCCUUAAAUUCACAACCAAAUUGUGAAUUGUUGAGGGUUCAGUUCGCCAAUAUUUCGGAUUUGAUUCAUUGGAUUUAGUCGUUUGAAGAAUUUGCAUAGAAAUCGAGGUAAGGGAUUUUCUACUGGACUCAAUUGUGAUUGUGAACUGUAUGUGUGUUGAAUGUAUACUGUGGUUUGACUGAAAAUAUAUAUGAAUGCAUGUGAAUUGAAGUAGACAUAACGUCGAAUGUAUAUCGUGAAUGUCAUGGAAGAUAUAUAUAAGUGUGUGUAUGUUGACAGGACAAAGAUUGUAGAUUGUGUUGGUAUGAGAUAUAGAUAUGAACUUGUGAUUCUCGUUUAGAUUGGGUGUACGAUUACGCUAAAGUAUGAUUGGGUUAAUAAGGAUUGACCUGUUUCUUGUUUGUUGUUUUUUCUUAGUAAUGGUAGUGUGUGAAAGGGAAUUUGAUAACUCUAUAUAUUGUUUAAUUAUGGUUUUGAAUUCUGUUUUGUGUCUUUAAAAGGACGUUGAACUUCAAAAUCGUUUUAAUAGGGUCCUUGAACUUUGAUUUUUUCUUUAGGGGAAGGGGUGUGUAAGGGAUUUUGAUUUUAGUCAUUGAAUGCCAGUGUGUAGCGCCCACCUCCAGGUGACGGAUUUUCAGCAGCCACCGUCGCCCUCUUCCAAUUUUUUUUUCGACAACCCUCUCUAUUCUAUGCUGCUGUUUCCAAUGGGGUUGUAUUAUCUUCUGGAGUAUACAUGUUGGAUUUGUUGUAGAUGUAGCCAUGGUUGCUUCCUCCUUCGUUGCUUAUUCUUAACUUCAUGUAACUUAUAGCCAUCUAAUUCGUUUCUUCUUCCUAUUUUUUUCUCCUCUUCUAAUGGCAUCUUUCAUUCUCUACAUCCAACUUGCGCAACCGUGAUAUAUUCUCCAAGGUAAGUAUCUCUUUAAUGGACGUCAAAAGACUGCAUCUUGAAAAAUGAUUUCAUCCAAGAUAUAUUCAUAUGGGCUUUUUUAUUCCUUUGAAAGAAUGCCAUUCAUAUAUUACACAUCCUUAUACCUGAGUUUACAAGGUUGUUAUAGUACUUUCGCGUUUCAUGAGUGAAAAGAUAGAAUCAAGUUGCGGAAUUACGUUCAUUUUUAGAGCUCUUAAGUGAUUGAAGAUAGUUGAUGUAUAUUUAUUUUCUCAAAAGUCACAUUUUUUGCAAGUUUGGUUUACUUUGGAUUUAUUAAAGAUAAUACCAGUUCACUUAUUGAUUCCAUUCAUUCCCGAAAAAAUUCUUUAAAAAAAUUUAGUUUAACACCAAGAAUCGCUUUGAGGAUUUAUCUCCUUAAGGGUUGUCGGAACCAUAUACUGAACAUCUACAAUACGUUUGAUCAUAGUUCCUCAUUAGGGGUCUGCAUAAACUGGCUGACAACACUCACAGCAAAGGAAAUAUCAGGACGAGUAUGAGAUAAGUAAAUUAAUUUACCCACGAGGCGUUGAUAUUGUUCUUUAUCAACUGGAACUUGAUCAUCAGAGUUUCCUAGUUUGCAGUUGAAUUCAAUAGGAGUGUCAGUGGGACGACAUCCUAACAUACCUGUCUCGGUUAACAAAUCAAGGAUGUAUUUUCUUUGAGAUACGGAGAUACCUUCUUUAGAUCUGGUCACCUCCAUUCCAAGGAAAUAUUUCAAAUUUCCCAAAUCCUUGAUUUCAAACUCAUCGCCCAUUCUCUGCUUUAGUUGACUGAUUUCUACCUGAUCAUCUCCAGUCAAAACAAUGUCAUCCAAUAAACUAUUAGAACAGCAAUCUUUCCUGUUUUGGAAACCUUAAAUAAAGUAAAUAAAGUAUGAUCAGAGUGUCCCUGCCUAUACCCUUGGGACUUGACAAAGGUAAUGAAUCUGUCAAACCAUGCUCUGGGAGACUGUUUCAGACCAUAUGUAGAUUUCUGGAGUUUACACACAUGCUGACCAAACUGAGCUUCAAAUCCAGGCGGAGGGCUCAUGUAGACUUCCUCUACGAGGUCUCCAUUCAAAAAGGCAUUCUUAACAUCCAGCUGAUAUAAAGGCCAAUCUUUGUUCACAGCAACAGAUAACAUAACUCUAAUAGUAUUCAACUUAGCAACUGUGAGAAAAAGUUUCUGAAUAGUCAAUACCAUAGGUUUGAGUAAAUCCCUUCGCAACUAACCUUGCCUUGUGUCUGUCAAGAGUACCAUCAGCUUUGUAUUUGAGAGAGAACACCCAUUUGCAUCCCACAGUUUUGUGUCCCUUAGGUAGAGUACAAAUGUCCCAAGUACUAUUCUUUUCAAGAGCUUUCAUCUCUUCCAUGACAGCAUUCUUCCAUUCAGGGUACUUUAAAGCAGUGUAGAUAUCUUUUGGUAUUAUGGUAGAGUCAAGGCUUGCUGUAAAAGCUCUGAACUGAGGAGAGAGACUAUCGUAGGAAACAUAAUUGCAAAUGGGGUGUUUAGUACAAGACCUGGUGCCUUUUCUCAGAGCAAUGGGAAUGUCAAGAGAGGAAUCAUACUCAUUUGAUUUUCCUGUAUGACCCUGUUCCGCUUCAUUAUUACGGGUUUCUAUUCUGACCUCAAUCUCAUCACCACUGUCCUUUUCUUCCACGUUUUCAAGAACAGCAACAUUAGACCUGUCAUUCUCACUUAUCAUAUUCUUAGUACAGGGUUCAGUAGGGUUUUCCAUACCUUGAUCUCGAGGAGGUUCAGAGUCUUGGACUGGAGCCAGCGGCUGACUAGUAGGGGAACCGACUUCCUUUUUGUGAUUCCUCCUGUAGUACGUUUUCCAGGGGACUUGGUUUGUGGGUAGGACUAUGGAAUGAGGAAUGAUGUUAGACACGACACUAGGAGUGGGUUCGAUGAAUUCAAAGGUGUUAGACUCUUCACUCACACUCUCCCCCUGAAGAUGGCUAACGGGAAAGUAGGGUCGAUCCUCACAGAAAGUAACAUCCAUAGUGACAAAGUAUUUUCUGGAUGAUGGGUGAAAACAUUUAUAACCACGUUGGUGAGGGGAUACCCAACAAACACACAUGCCUGAGCCCGAGGGGUAAAUUUGGUUUGAUUAGGGCCAAAAUUAUGGACAUAAGCGGUACACCCAAACACACGAAGAGGAACCUCAUAAACAUGACGAGUCGAUGGGUAGGACUCCUUAAGACAAUCUAAGGGAGUUUGAAGAUGAAGAAUACGAGAAGGCAUUCUAUUGAUUAAAUGAGCUGCUGUAAGAAUAGCAUCUCCCACAAGUAUGAAGGAAGGGAAGUAGAAAGCAUAAGGGAACGAGCUACUUCCAGAAGGUGACGGUUUUUUCGCUCGGCCACUCCAUUUUUGUUGAGGAGUGUAGGCGCACGAGUUUUGAUGAACAAUCCCCUUUGAAGCAAGAAAUUCACUAAGGUUAUGGUUUUGGAAUUCCCGACCAUUAUCACUCCGAAGAAUAGCAAUUUUUUGAUGGAAUUGUGUUUCAAUGGUGUGAUAGAAAUUUGAAACAUAGAGGAAACCUCAGAUUUAUCAGUGAUAAGGUAGACCCAGGUAAGACGGGUAUGAUCAUCAAUGAAGGUUACGAACCACCGUUUUCCAGAUGAGGUUGUUAUCUUGGAUGGUCCCCAGACAUCACUAUGAACAAGAGUGAAGGGUUGGGUUGGUUUGUAUGGUUGUGAGGGAAAAGAGACUCGAUGUUGUUUGGCCUGAAUACACACAUCACAAGAUAAGGUAGUCAUCUCAACUUUAGAGAAGAGAUGUGGAAAUAAAUGUUUAAUAUAUUGAAAAUUAGGGUGGCCUAAACGAAAAUGCCACAACAUGCAAUCUUGUUCAGAAGUAGUCAAAUAGGAAGAUAAGAGACUAGUCCUAGGAAUGCUACUAGAAGAGGUAUCGUCAUCAAGGAGGUAGAGUCCCCUACUAUGCCGGGCAGUGCCAAUCAUCCUCCCCGAGCUCAAGUCCUGAAAAGAGACAGAAUCAGGUAAGAAUAUUGCUUUGCAGUUUAACUCACGAGUGAUUUUGCUUAUCGAAAGCAAAUUAUAAGAUAGUUUGGGCACAUGCAAAACAUUAUGUAAGAAGAGGCCUGCACAAGGAGAAAUCUUCCCCUUCUCCAGCAAUGGGGACCAAGGAGCCAUCUGCAAUUCUAAUUGUCUCGUUCCCAGCACAAGGAAUGUAAGAUACAAAAUGUUCAGAGGACCCAGUCAAAUGAUCUGUGGCACCAGAAUCCAGAAUCCAGGGGUUCUUCCCAUCAAUACUAACAAGACCGAAGGAAUGAGGUAUACCUGAUUGGACAAUGGCACCUAAAGUGGCAAGACUGAGAUCAGUUUGGUUUUUGUGUGGAUCGGAUUGUUGAGGAGGUUCAGCAGACUCACUCACAUACGCCCGCCCUGUGUUCUGUUUGUCGUUGGAAGGGCGUUCUUACUUCCUGGGGGACGACCAUGUAACUUCCAACAUUGUUCUUUGGUAUGCAUUGUUUUUUGCAAUGCUCGCAGACAGGAAUUGGUUUUCCAUUUAUGCUUGUCACUGCUACUGUUAGAAUUGAUAGAACUAAGUCAUGCACAGCGGAAAAAGACAGCGGAAAAGAAUAACCCUAAUUGCCACAAUUAACAUCUAACCAUAAACUAAUCAAAUUAGGGUUUUAAGAAGUAUUACCUUUGAAGCUUUCAAAAGGUUUGAUGUCUUCUUACCAAUUCUACCCGAGACCACCACUAGUACUCAACUGCUAUCCUCUAGACAAAGAACCGGGUUGUGGGACCCAAUUUUGGUGUAGAAAGUAAUGGAGAUAAAAUGAGAUUGGAAGCUUUCUUUUUUCUUUUGUUGAGAUUAUGAAAAUGAUAAAAGAGGCAAAAGUCCUUCAACAUUUGAAAACAUCUCUAUUUAUAGCCUAAUUACAUGCAAAAAUGCAUGCAAUUCAAUUGCCAAAUCUCAACACCUAAUAUUCCACUAACAAUUAGUGGAACUUAGUGGGCUAGGUGUCUAUAUCUCAUAUAGCCACAUAUCCCACUAAGAGUUAGUGGGAUUAUCCAACAAAAUGUUGGAUUUUCCCACUAACUUAGUCCAAGGGUAAAAUGGUCAUUAGAUUUUUCUAGUCAAAAGUCAAACUUUGACUUUUCUAAGUCAAAAGUCAAUAUUUUGACUUUUUACCAUUUUGUCCGUCUUGACUAAUUCCAACCUCCCGAGCAUGAAUCCGCAUUCAUUUUUCCAAAAUUCAAAUCACAUUUGAAUAUAAGGCCGGUCAAAGUUUGACUUUUCAAAGUCAAAAGUCAACAUUUUGACUUUUUACUAUUUUUGACCAAUUCCGAGCUUCUUAGUAUGAAUCCGCAUUCAUACUUAUAGUAUGUAAAACAUAAAGCUCUAUUUCUAAUUAGAAGACCGACGAUUAUAUCACUGUAUAUGUCGGUUUUCCUUUCUUCUCCCUAUUCGAACAAUUCGACUUAUUUCAUCACACUGUUCUAAGUUUAAUCCAUAUGAGCUAGCAGAGGAACCUAAUGGACCUAUAGAUCAUGGGCUCCAACGAUUCAAGAUUAACUAGCUAAACUCUUUUAAACCGAGUUAAUCAACAUUCGUUAACUAACGGGUCAUUCCACUAAAGUCCCGUAGUUGCACUCCCCUCACUAUAGAUAUAUUUGUGUCCAUUUGAUAAAACCAUAAUCAGUAAGUUAAUCCUUCACAGGUUGCUCGUAACCUUGGCUGGGUCAAAAUACCGUUUUACCCCCAAGAUUACAUCUUGCUCCUUAAGUCCCACUAAUCCACUAUUGAACAAUUGGUUUAAGGUUCAACCUAUAAACUUAAUCCCUCUCGGGCCAAUGAGAGGGUGGGGCCCCUUGUUCAAGACUUGGAUUCAGUGCUUAAGAGAGCAACCUAUCUACUAACCCUAAAGCGGGUAGGAGUGAAUUCCAUCUUGUACCCUAUGUUCCCAGCUAUCCACCCGAUCUUACCCCUGAAAUGGGAGGCUUAUUGGGCCAACGCUGAUGAGCUGCCCUCACCUAUGCAGAUCUAAGGAUAAUCUCGUAUGAACAGGAGUUCAUAGUUAACUCAGGAUUAAGACUAAGUUACCUAGGUCAUCAAUAAUUGAGAUAGUCAGUUUUAAACAGUAAACGGUGUUAUAACGUAAAAAUGACUAAUUCAUGGUUCAGUCUUAUGUAAACAUUUUACAUAGGAUGCCCCCACUUUCAUGUCUCUACAUGAACGAUUAGGAUCACAUCGUUUGUACUACAAAGUGGGCCGCAUCCAUAGUCUCUCAAAAUAAGGCGCCCAACCUUUAUUUCAUAUACUAUAGACUAUUUAGGCUAUAUACUCGAACUUGAUCCACGUUUAUGUUUACACAUAAAGUUCAAGUUUAUUCAAAAAAUAGCCUUGGAACUUUGAUUUAUUGGAUUUAAGAUUAUAAUAUUUAAUUUCUCAAUAACAACUUUAUUGAAUAGAAUAUGAUUUACAAACUACGAGUUUUAGGACAAAAAAUUCCAACAAACUCCCACUUGGACUAAAAUUCCUAGUGGUAUGAGAGAUGUGGUGUGAGAGAAUAUAUAUGAAACUAGGGCACAUGGCCAAUAAGUCUCCCACUUGUCCUAGUUUACAAACAUCGUACACCUAAACUGUGUAGGUGACCCUCAAACACUUUAGCCAUGAGGGCUUUUGUAAAAUGAUCAGCUUCCAUUGUGGAAUCAGCUAUACAAGUUUGCUUUAUGCUUCUCCAAACUACUGCUCCUCCAUUUAGAGUAAAUACUGAUUCUGAUGUAGACUUUCUAACAUCUUUAUUAGUUUGGAAAUCGAAUCAGUGUAUCCAGUAAGGAUCAUAUCCUUUGUACGAUACAUGAGCAUGUAGAAUGUUUUUAACGGCUGUCCAGUGAUCACGUCCAUGAUUGGAUUGAUACCUACUGACCAUCCCUACUGAGUAGCAAAUGUCAGGUCUAGUACAUAACAUUGCAUACAUUAAACUUCCAACAGCGGAAGCAUAGGGAAUAUUUCUCAUAUCCUCAACUUCUUGAGGUGUCUUAGGACAUUGUUCCUUUGACAAAUGAAUUCCAUAUCUGUACGGCAGCAGACCCUUUUUGGAAUUCUGCAUUUUAUAUCUAGACAACAUUUUGUCUAUGUAAGAUGCUUGAGACAUGGCUAGUGUUUUGUUCUUACGGUUUCGAACAAUUUGGAUUCCGAGAACGUAUUGUGCAUCUCCCAGAUCUUUCAUUUGAAAUUGCAUAGCUAGCCAUUUCUUGAUAUCAGUAAGAUAUCCUACGUCAUUUCCAAUAAGUAGAAUAUCAUCUACAUAUAAGACUAAAAAAUGCUAUAAUGGAAUUGACGACCUUUUGUAAACACAAGGCUCGUCAACAUUUUGUUCAAAGCCAUAAGAUUUUGAUCGCAAUAUCAAAUCUUAUAUUCCAGGAUCUAGAAGCUUGUUUUAAUCCAUAAAUGGAUUUUUUAAGCUUACAAACCUUUUGUUCUUGAUCUUGUUUUAUAAACCCCUCUGGUUGAGACAUAUAGAUACUCUCUUCAAGAUUACCGUUCAAAAAAGCUGUCUUGACAUCCAUCUGCCAAAUUUCAUAAUCAUAAAAAGUGGCGAUGGAUAAGAGUAUUCUAAUUGACUUUAACAUGGCAACGGGAGAGAAAGUUUCCUCAUAGUCUACUCCCUCUCUCUAGGUAUAACCCUUUGCCACAAGUCGAGCCUUAAAAGUCUGUACUUUACCGGCAUGGUCUCGUUUUCUCUUGUAGAUCCAUUUACAACCAAUAGGUUUUACGUCAUUUGGUUGAUCUACUAGAGUCUAGAAAGAAUUAAAGUACAUAGACUCCAUUUCGAGGUCCAUGGCUUUGAUCCAUUGGUCACGAUCUACAUCUUUCAUUGCCUGUUUAUAGGUUAAUGGAUCCUCUAUGCCAUCGUCAGGUAUGACGACUUGAGUUUCAAUUAAACCCAAAUAGCGAUCAGGCUGAUGAACAACCCUCCCACUACGUCGAGGCUCUCUCAACUGUUGAGAAGGAUGUGAUUGACCAGAUUUCCUAGUCUUAUCAACUACUUUAGUGGAUGAACUAGGUUUUAUCUAUAGCACUUUUGGAAAUUUCUUUAAAUACUAGUUUACUACGAGGUGAUGAUGAUGUGGUCUUCCUCUAAGAAUGUGGCAUUUGUUGACACAAAUAUUUUAUUUUCUUGAGGAUCAUAAAACAAACCACCUCUUGAUUCUUUUGGAUAACCUAUAAAAAAGCAUAAUUUUGAACGAUGUUCCAAUUUCUUUGGAUUUUGUACCAACACAUGUGCUGGACAACCCCAAAUUUUAAAAUGACGUAAACUGCCUUUACGCCCUUUCCAUAGCUCAUAAGGUGUUUCUGAAACACUUUUAGAGGGAACAUUAUUCAAAAUAUAAGCAGCUGUUUCUAAAGCAUAUCCCAAAAAGAAUCUGACAUCUGAGAAAAACUCAUCAUAGAGCGAACCAUGUCUAACAAGGUCCAGUUUCUUCUUUCUGAUACACCGUUCUGUUGAGGUGUACUAGGUGCAGAGAGUUGUGACUGGAUUCCAUUUUCUAUUAAAUAGUCUCGGAAUCGUAAGUCCAUAUACUCUCCACCUCGAUCUGAUCGAAGUAUUUUUAUUGUUUUACCUAAUUCGUUUUCUACUUCAGCCUUAUAUUCUUUGAACUUUUCAAGACUAUUAGACUUAUGAUGUAUUAGGUAAAUAUGACCAUACCUUGAAUAAUCAUCAAUGAAGCUAAUGAAAUAUUCAUAUCCACCUCGAGUUUUGACAUUCAUUGGUCCACAAAGGUCCGAAUGUACGAGCUCUAAGGGUCCUUUGGCUCUUAGACCUUUUCCAGUAAAAGAUCUCUUGGUCAUUUUUCCUUCAAGACAAGAUUCACAAGGAGGUAAAGAGUUAUCUUCUAACGGACUUAGAAGCCCACUUUUAACCAAUCUCCCAAUCCUAUUGAGAUUUAUGUGACCAAGUCUUAAGUGCCAUAAAUAGGCAUUAGAAGAAACUUUUUGUCUUUUAUUCUGAGUUUUCAGCUGUUCUGAAUAUUUCAGUAUUUAAGACAAAAUUUGCUCUAGUUGGUCUUAACUUAUAUAAGUUGUCUUCAAGUAUAGCAGAACAAACUAGAAUACCUUUAUAGAAAACGAACGCUUCAUUAAUUUCAAAAGAUAUUCUAUACAUUUGUUCCAAAAUACAAGAGAUAGAUAUUAAAUUUCUUUUCAUUUGAGGUACAUAUAAGACAUUCUUAAGUAUGACAUAUCUAUCUCUAAAAAACAACUUUAAAUCUCCCACUGCUGAAGCUGAGACCAUCUCUCCUGUUCCAACCUUGAGAGUGAUCUCACCUUCUGAAAGCUUUUUCAAGAACUAUUUUCCUGAAAUGAGAAGCAAAUAUGGUUAGUGGCUCCUGAAUCUAGUAUCCAGGUAGAAUUUUCAUAUUCCACUAAACAUGUUUCUACAACUAGUAAAUCAUAUUUACCUUGUGUUUCCUUCUCUGCCUUUUUUUCUGCAAGGUAUUUUGGGCAGUUUCUUAACCAGUGCCCGUUUUGGCCACAAUGGUAACACUUACCUUUUUCUGCACCUUUCUUACCCUUGUUCUGUUUGGGAGUCUUUCCCUUUCCCUUCUUUUUUAUUUGAGCAUUAGGUUUUGAGGGUCCAGCUUUGGUUUUAGAGGACGAUCCUCUUAUAAAUUUUCUUUUUGUGGUAGCAACAUUUGCUUCCACUUGUUUUCCUUUACCCAUAGUUAGGUUUUGGAAUCGCUGGAGUUCAUUCAGAAGGGUUGUCAAGUUAAAUUCUAUCUUGUUCAAAGACGCAUUCGUUUGGAAUGGAAUGAAGCUCUUCGGAAGAGACUCUAAGAUAAAACUAACUUGAUUAACCUCUUCGAUGGGACCACCAUUCACUUCAGCGAUGUUGAAGUGCAUCAUCAUGUCCAGAACAUGUUCUCUAACAGAGGUCCCUUCCUUCAUACGCUUAGUGUAAAUGUAUUUGACUGCCUCGUGUCUUAAGGACCAUUCUGGUUGCCCAAACAUUCCCCUUAAUGAAUCCAUAAUCUCUUUAGCCGUGGCUAAGGAUUCAUGUUUCUUUGCCAAUACAUCAGACAUGCUGGCAAGAAUGUAAACACGGGCUUUUUCAUUAGCUUUUAUCCAUCGAUCAUAUGCAUCCCGACUAGUUCGGUUAGCAUUAGAGGCAGGGUUUUGAGGACAUUCCUCAGUUAAGACAAAUCUUAAAUCGUCAACCACUAGUAUUGUGUUAAGAUUUGAUUUCCAAGCCGCAUAAUUAUCGCCAUUAAGUUUUUCGGAAGCUAAAAGUUGAACUAUUGAGCUAUUCAUGCUGAAAAACAAACAUAUUCUUUUUAGGAAAAAACUAUAAUCAUAAAAAAUAUCCAAUCUAAUUUAGCAAUUACUAAUAAUGUACCCUUUCAUUAUUUGUAUUUUGCAACAAUAUUUCAAAGGUUUAGAACAACCUUCUCCGAAGGGUAGUUGAUUAUUCCUCCUUUGAACCAAGACAAUCUUGACUAGAUGCUAUCUCAAGAAUAACUCUUUAUUCUUUAUAGCACUUAGUUAUCGCUACUUUAGUCAAGAAUAUACUAACAACUUAGUAAUUCUUGUAAGUGUUACCCACCAUUUUCAGAUUUUAUAGAUUAGAAUCAUUUAUGAAAACUAAUCUAAGAAAUCCUAUCCAGUUUUGGAGUUCGCGGUGUUCCGAAUCCUAUAAUACAACCCUCCGAAGGGAACGUCGCUCCAGGGCAGACAAGCAGGCAUAUUAUAGAAAUCUCACGGUGCGACCUAAUGGAAGAGACCGUGGGAUGUGCUGCCACAAAUCCCUCACCCACUUACUAUGAACUACUUCCCCUAUUCACCUUGAUUUUGAUCCAUGCAAACACUCUCCGAAGGGAGGCCGCUCCUAUGCACGGCACAAAGCCCUGCAUGGACCUCACGGUGUGAACUCUUAGGGACACUAGAGCUAAAAUACAUUAUUUUUCUCUAGUUGAAGUGUUCUAAAAGAAAAAAAUAGGGUAAUCCAAACUUCAAGAUUUAUAUUUAGGCUAACUUAAACAAAUCUUAAGUCUAGAUAAAACAUCCAAGUAUAACCAUUAUACAGGAUUUUAACCUAUGAUGUCUAGGUGAAAAACCAUUUUUAUUACCUCACACCUCUCACGAAUGCUCAUAAAACUAGGUUAACUAGGCUCAAGAACUGAUUACGAUCUCCAGGUAGGAGGUGUUCCGUAAACCGUCAACUUAAGAACCUCCAACCUUAGUCAUCUUAUCUGACUUGUUGACAAGAUUGAACCAGGUGAGCCUUUUGUAACCAGUUUUACAAGAUAUCGACCUAUUUCUAUGAAAAAUGGAAGAUAUGUUUAACCUAAGUGAGCAUGCAUUUAAUCUUUGUUAUUGAUUUUAAAAGUCUAAUUUAUUUUAUAACACUUAUAAAAACUUUUAAACUUAAUCAAUCAUUUUAUCAAUAUAUAAUAAAAACAAUCAAUUAAUAUGGAUUUUAAUUUAUUUAACUUUAAUUAAAUCAUAUUUAAUUAAAUUAAAUCAAACAAUAAUUAAUUAAUUUGAUUAAAUCAUAUUUAAUCAAGAAUAACUUAAUUAAUUAAAUAAUUAAUUAAUCAUAUUAAUUAAUUUCCAUAUUAAUCAAUUAACAUGCAUACAAUACAAUAUAACCUUUAUAUCAUACAUUUUAAUGCAUGAACAUGUUAACCUAUGGUGGGAUUUUAAAUCUAUAUGACAUUCAAAAUGCACAUACAAAUUUAAAGUAAUUUAAUCAUACAUCACAUGCAUAAAUAAAAAAAACACCCUAAAAUGGACUGAUUUUUGGCUCCUAAAUUAAGCUAAGUGCUAAAUUAUUACAUAAUUAAUUUGGUGUAGUACAGAACCACUCCCAAAAAUUUCGAACCGGCUAAAAAACCAACCGAACCGCUUGAACCGGCCCAAAAACCAAAUUUAUUGGCUUGAACCGGCCCAGGCGCACACGGGUCGUGCGAAGGCAGGCGCGCGGGCGAAGGCGGGCGCGCGGGCGCAUGCGGGCGCGCGGACACAUGCGCGCGCGGCGCGCAUGCAGGGCGCGCGGCGCAGGAGGCGCGCGGGCGCAGGAGGCGCGGGCGCAGGAGGCGCGCGGCGCAGGAGGCGCGCGGGCGCAGGAGGGCGCGCGGCGCGCGUGCGACGCAGGAGGGCGCGCGGGCGCAGGAGGGCGCGCGGGCAUGCGGGCGCGUGCGGGUCGCGAAGCGGGUCAAAACCGGGUUUUCGGGUCUGUGACCUUCUUUUCUUCAUUUUUUUCAAUUCUCUCACCCGGUUGAACAAUUACAGCCUAGCUUCAACUCUAAUGACUUUUUUUAUUUUUUUAAAAAUUACAAACACUUUGCAACAAUAAAAAUAAGCCAUUAACAAGGCUAAUUACAAUAAUUAGAACAAAAACACUUAAUCUAGAGCCAAAAUCAUAAUAUAUCCAUUUUAGUUCAAACCAAAAUUUAUCUAAUAAAUAUGAACCCACCACAUGCAAUUGGGUAAAAAUGAAGCAUGCUCUGAUACCACAUGAUAGAACUAAGUCAUGCACAGCGGAAAAAGAAUCGAAUUUCUACCCUAAUUGCCACAAUUAACAUGUAACCAUAAACUAAUCAAAUUAGGGUUUUAAGAAGUAUUACCUUUGAAGCUUUCAAAAGGUUUGAUGUCUUCUUACCAAUUCUACCCGAGACCACCACUAGUACUCAACUGCUAUCCUCUAGACAAAGAACCGGGUUGUGGGACCCAAUUUUGGUGUAGAAAGUAAUGGAGAUAAAAUGAGAUUGGAAGCUUUCUUUUUUCUUUUGUUGAGAUUAUGAAAAUGAUAAAAGAGGCAAAAGUCCUUCAACAUUUGAAAACAUCUCUAUUUAUAGCCUAAUUACAUGCAAAAAUGCAUGCAAUUCAAUUGCCAAAUCUCAACACCUAAUAUUCCACUAACAAUUAGUGGAACUUAGUGGGCUAGGUGUCUAUAUCUCAUAUAGCCACAUAUCCCACUAAGAGUUAGUGGGAUUAUCCAACAAAAUGUUGGAUUUUCCCACUAACUUAGUCCAAGGGUAAAAUGGUCAUUAGAUUUUUCUAGUCAAAAGUCAAACUUUGACUUUUCUAAGUCAAAAGUCAAUAUUUUGACUUUUUACCAUUUUGUCCGUCUUGACUAAUUCCAACCUCCCGAGCAUGAAUCCGCAUUCAUUUUUCCAAAAUUCAAAUCACAUUUGAAUAUAAGGCCGGUCAAAGUUUGACUUUUCAAAGUCAAAAGUCAACAUUUUGACUUUUUACUAUUUUUGACCAAUUCCGAGCUUCUUAGUAUGAAUCCGCAUUCAUACUUAUAGUAUGUAAAACAUAAAGCUCUAUUUCUAAUUAGAAGACCGACGAUUAUAUCACUGUAUAUGUCGGUUUUCCUCUUCUCCCUAUUCGAACAAUUCGACUUAUUUCAUCACACUGUUCUAAGUUUAAUCCAUAUGAGCUAGCAGAGGAACCUAAUGGACCUAUAGAUCAUGGGCUCCAACGAUUCAAGAUUAACUAGCUAAACUCUUUUAAACCGAGUUAAUCAACAUUCGUUAACUAACGGGUCAUUCCACUAAAGUCCCGUAGUUGCACUCCCCUCACUAUAGAUAUAUUUGUGUCCAUUUGAUAAAACCAUAAUCAGUAAGUUAAUCCUUCACAGGUUGCUCGUAACCUUGGCUGGGUCAAAAUACCGUUUUACCCCCAAGAUUACAUCUUGCUCCUUAAGUCCCACUAAUCCACUAUUGAACAAUUGGUUUAAGGUUCAACCUAUAAACUUAAUCCCUCUCGGGCCAAUGAGAGGGUGGGGCCCCUUGUUCAAGACUUGGAUUCAGUGCUUAAGAGAGCAACCUAUCUACUAACCCUAAAGCGGGUAGGAGUGAAUUCCAUCUUGUACCCUAUGUUCCCAGCUAUCCACCCGAUCUUACCCCUGAAAUGGGAGGCUUAUUGGGCCAACGCUGAUGAGCUGCCCUCACCUAUGCAGAUCUAAGGAUAAUCUCGUAUGAACAGGAGUUCAUAGUUAACUCAGGAUUAAGACUAAGUUACCUAGGUCAUCAAUAAUUGAGAUAGUCAGUUUUAAACAGUAAACGGUGUUAUAACGUAAAAAUGACUAAUUCAUGGUUCAGUCUUAUGUAAACAUUUUACAUAGGAUGCCCCCACUUUCAUGUCUCUACAUGAACGAUUAGGAUCACAUCGUUUGUACUACAAAGUGGGCCGCAUCCAUAGUCUCUCAAAAUAAGGCGCCCAACCUUUAUUUCAUAUACUAUAGACUAUUUAGGCUAUAUACUCGAACUUGAUCCACGUUUAUGUUUACACAUAAAGUUCAAGUUUAUUCAAAAAAUAGCCUUGGAACUUUGAUUUAUUGGAUUUAAGAUUAUAAUAUUUAAUUUCUCAAUAACAACUUUAUUGAAUAGAAUAUGAUUUACAAACUACGAGUUUUAGGACAAAAAAUUCCAACAAACUCCCACUUGGACUAAAAUUCCUAGUGGUAUGAGAGAUGUGGUGUGAGAGAAUAUAUAUGAAACUAGGGCACAUGGCCAAUAAGUCUCCCACUUGUCCUAGUUUACAAACAUCGUACACCUAAACUGUGUAGGUGACCCUCAAACACUUUAGCCAUGAGGGCUUUUGUAAAAUGAUCAGCUUCCAUUGUGGAAUCAGCUAUACAAGUUUGCUUUAUGCUUCUCCAAACUACUGCUCCUCCAUUUAGAGUAAAUACUGAUUCUGAUGUAGACUUUCUAACAUCUUUAUUAGUUUGGAAAUCUGAAUCAGUGUAUCCAGUAAGGAUCAUAUCCUUUGUACGAUACAUGAGCAUGUAGAAUGUUUUUAACGGCUGUCCAGUGAUCACGUCCAUGAUUGGAUUGAUACCUACUGACCAUCCCUACUGAGUAGCAAAUGUCAGGUCUAGUACAUAACAUAUGCAUACAUUAAACUUCCAACAGCGGAAGCAUAGGGAAUAUUUCUCAUAUCCUCAACUUCUUGAGGUGUCUUAGGACAUUGUUCCUUUGACAAAUGAAUUCCAUAUCUGUACGGCAGCAGACCCUUUUUGGAAUUCUGCAUUUUAUAUCUAGACAACAUUUUGUCUAUGUAAGAUGCUUGAGACAUGGCUAGUGUUUUGUUCUUACGGUUUCGAACAAUUUGGAUUCCGAGAACGUAUUGUGCAUCUCCCAGAUCUUUCAUUUGAAAUUGCAUAGCUAGCCAUUUCUUGAUAUCAGGAAGAUAUCCUAGUCAUUUCCAAUAAGUAGAAUAUCAUCUACAUAUAAGACUAAAAAAUGCUAUAAUGGAAUUGACGACCUUUUGUAAACACAAGGCUCGUCAACAUUUUGUUCAAAGCCAUAAGAUUUUGAUCGCAAUAUCAAAUCUUAUAUUCCAGGAUCUAGAAGCUUGUUUUAAUCCAUAAAUGGAUUUUUUAAGCUUACAAACCUUUUGUUCUUGAUCUUGUUUUAUAAACCCCUCUGGUUGAGACAUAUAGAUACUCUUCAAGAUUACCGUUCAAAAAAGCUGUCUUGACAUCCAUCUGCCAAAUUUCAUAAUCAUAAAAAGUGGCGAUGGAUAAGAGUAUUCUAAUUGACUUUAACAUGGCAACGGGAGAGAAAGUUUCCUCUAGUCUACUCCCUCUCUCUAGGUAUAACCCUUUGCCACAAGUCGAGCCUUAAAAGUCUGUACUUUACCGGCAUGGUCUCGUUUUCUCUUGUAGAUCCAUUUACAACCAAUAGGUUUUACGUCAUUUGGUUGAUCUACUAGAGUCUAGAAAGAAUUAAAGUACAUAGACUCCAUUUCGAGGUCCAUGGCUUUGAUCCAUUGGUCACGAUCUACAUCUUUCAUUGCCUGUUUAUAGGUUAAUGGAUCCUCUAUGCCAUCGUCAGGUAUGACGACUUGAGUUUCAAUUAAACCCAAAUAGCGAUCAGGCUGAUGAACAACCCUCCCACUACGUCGAGGCUCUCUCAACUGUUGAGAAGGAUGUGAUUGACCAGAUUUCCUAGUCUUAUCAACUACUUUAGUGGAUGAACUAGGUUUUAUCUAUAGCACUUUUGGAAAUUUCUUUAAAUACUAGUUUACUACGAGGUUGAUGAUCCCUGAUGUGGUAUUUUAUUUUCUUGAGGAUCAUAAAACAAACCACCUCUUGAUUCUUUUGGAUAACCUAUAAAAAAGCAUAAUUUUGAACGAUGUUCCAAUUUCUUUGGAUUUUGUACCAACACAUGUGCUGGACAACCCCAAAUUUUAAAAUGACGUAAACUGCCUUUACGCCCUUUCCAUAGCUCAUAAGGUGUUUCUGAAACACUUUUAGAGGGAACAUUAUUCAAAAUAUAAGCAGCUGUUUCUAAAGCAUAUCCCCAAAAAGAAUCUGACAUCUGAGAAAAACUCAUCAUAGAGCGAACCAUGUCUAACAAGGUCCAGUUUCUUCUUUCUGAUACACCGUUCUGUUGAGGUGUACUAGGUGCAGAGAGUUGUGACUGGAUUCCAUUUUCUAUUAAAUAGUCUCGGAAUCGUAAGUCCAUAUACUCUCCACCUCGAUCUGAUCGAAGUAUUUUUAUUGUUUUACCUAAUUCGUUUUCUACUUCAGCCUUAUAUUCUUUGAACUUUUCAAGACUAUUAGACUUAUGAUGUAUUAGGUAAAUAUGACCAUACCUUGAAUAAUCAUCAAUGAAGCUAAUGAAAUAUUCAUAUCCACCUCGAGUUUUGACAUUCAUUGGUCCACAAAGGUCCGAAUGUACGAGCUCUAAGGGUCCUUUGGCUCUUAGACCUUUUCCAGUAAAAGAUCUCUUGGUCAUUUUUCCUUCAAGACAAGAUUCACAAGGAGGUAAAGAGUUAUCUUCUAACGGACUUAGAAGCCCACUUUUAACCAAUCUCCCAAUCCUAUUGAGAUUUAUGUGACCAAGUCUUAAGUGCCAUAAAUAGGCAUUAGAAGAAACUUUUUGUCUUUUAUUCUGAGUUUCAGCUGUUCUGAAUAUUUCAGUAUUUAAGACAAAAUUUGCUCUAGUUGGUCUUAACUUAUAUAAGUUGUCUUCAAGUAUAGCAGAACAAACUAGAAUACCUUUAUAGAAAACGAACGCUUCAUUAAUUUCAAAAGAUAUUCUAUACAUUUGUUCCAAAAUACAAGAGAUAGAUAUUAAAUUUCUUUUCAUUUGAGGUACAUAUAAGACAUUCUUAAGUAUGACAUAUCUAUCUCUAAAAAACAACUUUAAAUCUCCCACUGCUGAAGCUGAGACCAUCUCUCCUGUUCCAACCUUGAGAGUGAUCUCGCCUUCUGAAAGCUUUUUCCAAGAACUAUUUUCCUGAAAUGAGAAGCAAAUAUGGUUAGUGGCUCCUGAAUCUAGUAUCCAGGUAGAAUUUUCAUAUUCCACUAAACAUGUUUCUACAACUAGUAAAUCAUAUUUACCUUGUGUUUCCUUCUCUGCCUUUUUUUCUGCAAGGUAUUUUGGGCAGUUUCUUAACCAGUGCCCGUUUUGGCCACAAUGGUAACACUUACCUUUUUCUGCAGCUUUCUUACCCUUGUUCUGUUUGGGAGUCUUUCCCUUUCCCUUCUUUUUUAUUUGAGCAUUAGGUUUUGAGGGUCCAGCUUUGGUUUUAGAGGACGAUCCUCUUAUAAAUUUUCUUUUUGUGGUAGCAACAUUUGCUUCCACUUGUUUUCCUUUACCCAUAGUUAGGUUUUGGAAUCGCUGGAGUUCAUUCAGAAGGGUUGUCAAGUUAAAUUCUAUCUUGUUCAAAGACGCAUUCGUUUGGAAUGGAAUGAAGCUCUUCGGAAGAGACUCUAAGAUAAAACUAACUUGAUUAACCUCUUCGAUGGGACCACCAUUCACUUCAGCGAUGUUGAAGUGCAUCAUCAUGUCCAGAACAUGUUCUCUAACAGAGGUCCCUUCCUUCAUACGCUUAGUGUAAAUGUAUUUGACUGCCUCGUGUCUUAAGGACCAUUCUGGUUGCCCAAACAUUCCCCUUAAUGAAUCCAUAAUCUCUUUAGCCGUGGCUAAGGAUUCAUGUUUCUUUGCCAAUACAUCAGACAUGCUGGCAAGAAUGUAAACACGGGCUUUUUCAUUAGCUUUUAUCCAUCGAUCAUAUGCAUCCCGACUAGUUCGGUUAGCAUUAGAGGCAGGGUUUUGAGGACAUUCCUCAGUUAAGACAAAUCUUAAAUCGUCAACCACUAGUAUUGUGUUAAGAUUUGAUUUCCAAGCCGCAUAAUUAUCGCCAUUAAGUUUUUCGGAAGCUAAAAGUUGAACUAUUGAGCUAUUCAUGCUGAAAAACAAACAUAUUCUUUUUAGGAAAAAACUAUAAUCAUAAAAAAUAUCCAAUCUAAUUUAGCAAUUACUAAUAAUGUACCCUUUCAUUAUUUGUAUUUUGCAACAAUAUUUCAAAGGUUUAGAACAACCUUCUCCGAAGGGUAGUUGAUUAUUCCUCCUUUGAACCAAGACAAUCUUGACUAGAUGCUAUCUCAAGAAUAACUCUUUAUUCUUUAUAGCACUUAGUUAUCGCUACUUUAGUCAAGAAUAUACUAACAACUUAGUAAUUCUUGUAAGUGUUACCCACCAUUUUCAGAUUUUAUAGAUUAGAAUCAUUUAUGAAAACUAAUCUAAGAAAUCCUAUCCAGUUUUGGAGUUCGCGGUGUUCCGAAUCCUAUAAUACAACCCUCCGAAGGGAACGUCGCUCCAGGGCAGACAAGCAGGCAUAUUAUAGAAAUCUCACGGUGCGACCUAAUGGAAGAGACCGUGGGAUGUGCUGUCACAAAUCCCUCACCCACUUACUAUGAACUACUUCCCCUAUUCACCUUGAUUUUGAUCCAUGCAAACACUCUCCGAAGGGAGGCCGCUCCUAUGCACGGCACAAAGCCCUGCAUGGACCUCACGGUGUGUGAACUCUUAGGGACACUAGAGCUAAAAUACAUUAUUUUUCUCUAGUUGAAGUGUUCUAGAAAAAAAUAGGGUAAUCCAAACUUCAAGAUUUAUAUUUAGGCUAACUUAAACAAAUCUUAAGUCUAGAUAAAACAUCCAAGUAUAACCAUUAUACAGGAUUUUAACCUAUGAUGUCUAGGUGAAAAACCAUUUUUAUUACCUCACACCUCUCACGAAUGCUCAUAAAACUAGGUUAACUAGGCUCAAGAACUGAUUACGAUCUCCAGGUAGGAGGUGUUCCGUAAACCGUCAACUUAAGAACCUCCAACCUUAGUCAUCUUAUCUGACUUGUUGACAAGAUUGAACCAGGUGAGCCUUUUGUAACCAGUUUUACAAGAUAUCGACCUAUUUCUAUGAAAAAUGGAAGAUAUGUUUAACCUAAGUGAGCAUGCAUUUAAUCUUUGUUAUUGAUUUUAAAAGUCUAAUUUAUUUUAUAACACUUAUAAAAAUUUUAAACUUAAUCAAUCAUUUUAUCAAUAUAUAAUAAAAACAAUCAAUUAAUAUGGAUUUUAAUUUAUUUAACUUUAAUUAAAUCAUAUUUAAUUAAAUUAAAUCAAACAAUAAUUAAUUAAUUUGAUUAAAUCAUAUUUAAUCAAGAAUAACUUAAUUAAUUAAAUAAUUAAUUAAUCAUAUUAAUUAAUUUCCAUAUUAAUCAAUUAACAUGCAUACAAUACAAUAUAACCUUUAUAUCAUACAUUUUAAUGCAUGAACAUGUUAACCUAUGGUGGGAUUUUAAAUCUAUAUGACAUUCAAAAUGCACAUACAAAUUUAAAGUAAUUUAAUCAUACAUCACAUGCAUAAAUAAAAAAAACACCCUAAAAUGGACUGAUUUUUGGCUCCUAAAUUAAGCUAAGUGCUAAAUUAUUACAUAAUUAAUUUGGUGUAGUACAGAACCACUCCCAAAAAUUUCGAACCGGCUAAAAAACCAACCGAACCGCUUGAACCGGCCCAAAAACCAAAUUUAUUGGCUUGAACCGGCCCAGGCGCACACGGGUCGUGCGAAGGCAGGCGCGCGGGCGAAGGCGGCGCGCGGGCGCAUGCGGGCGCGGCGCAGCGGCGCGCGGGCGCAUGCAGGCGCGCGGGCGCAGGAGGCGCGCGGGCGCAGGAGGGCGCGCGCGCGGCGGCGCAGGAGGGCGCGCGGCGCAGGAGGGCGGCGGGCGCGUGCGGACGCAGGAGGCGCGGGCGCAGGAGGGCGCGGGCAUGCGGGCGCGUGCGGGUCGCGAAGCGGGUCAAAACCGGGUUUUCGGGUCUGUGACCUUCUUUUCUUCAUUUUUUCAAUUCCUCUCACCCGGUUGAACUAAUUACAGCCUAGCUUCAACUCUAAUGACUUUUUUUUUUUUUAAAAAUUACAAACACUUUGCAACAAUAAAAAUAAGCCAUUAACAAGGCUAAUUACAAUAAUUAGAACAAAAAACACUUAAUCUAGAGCCAAAAUCAUAAAUAUCCAUUUUAGUUCAAACCAAAAUUUAUCUAAUAAAUAUGAACCACAUGCAAUUGGUAAAAAUGAAGCAUGCUCUGAUACCACAUGAUAGAACUAAGUCAUGCACAGCGGAAAAAGAAUCGAAUUUCUACCCUAAUUGCCACAAUUAACAUCUAACCAUAAACUAAUCAAAUUAGGGUUUUAAGAAGUAUUACCUUUGAAGCUUUCAAAAAGGUUUGAUGUCUUCUUACCAAUUCUACCCGAGACCACCACUAGUACUCAACUGCUAUCCUCUAGACAAAGAACCGGGUUGUGGACCCAAUUUUGGUGUAGAAAGUAAUGGAGAUAAAAUGAGAUUGGAAGCUUUCUUUUUUUCUUUUGUUGAGAUUAUGAAAAUGAUAAAAGAGGCAAAAGUCCUUCAACAUUUGAAAACAUCUCUAUUUAUAGCCUAAUUACAUGCAAAAAUGCAUGCAAUUCAAUUGCCAAAUCUCAACACCUAAUAUUCCACUAACAAUUAGUGGAACUUAGUGGCUAGGUGUCUAUAUCUCAUAUAGCCACAUAUCCCACUAAGAGUUAGUGGGAUUAUCCAACAAAGUUGGAUUUUCCCACUAACUUAGUCCAAGGGUAAAAUGGUCAUUAGAUUUUUCUAGUCAAAAGUCAAACUUUGACUUUUCUAAGUCAAAAGUCAAUAUUUUGACUUUUUACCAUUUUGUCCGUCUUGACUAAUUCCAACCUCCCGAGCAUGAAUCCGCAUUCAUUUUUCCAAAAUUCAAAUCACAUUUGAAUAUAAGGCCGGUCAAAGUUUGACUUUUCAAAGUCAAAAGUCAACAUUUUGACUUUUUACUAUUUUUGACCAAUUCCGAGCUUCUUAGUAUGAAUCCGCAUUCAUACUUAUAGUAUGUAAACAUAAAGCUCUAUUUCUAAUUAGAAGACCGACGAUUAUAUCACUGUAUAUGUCGGUUUUCCUUUCUUCUCCCUAUUCGAACAAUUCGACUUAUUUCAUCACACUGUUCUAAGUUUAAUCCAUAUGACUAGCAGAGGAACCUAAUGGACCUAUAGAUCAUGGCUCCAACGAUUCAAGAUUAACUAGCUAAACUCUUUUAAACCGAGUUAAUCAACAUUCGUUAACUAACGGGUCAUUCCACUAAAGUCCCGUAGUUGCACUCCCCUCACUAUAGAUAUAUUUGUGUCCAUUUGAUAAAACCAUAAUCAGUAAGUUAAUCCUUCACAGGUUGCUCGUAACCUUGGCUGGGUCAAAAUACCGUUUUACCCCCAAGAUUACAUCUUGCUCCUUAAGUCCCACUAAUCCACUAUUGAACAAUUGGUUUAAGGUUCAACCUAUAAACUUAAUCCCUCUCGGGCCAAUGAGAGGGUGGGGCCCCUUGUUCAAGACUUGGAUUCAGUGCUUAAGAGAGCAACCUAUCUACUAACCCUAAAGCGGGUAGGAGUGAAUUCCAUCUUGUACCCUGUUCCCAGCUAUCCACCCGAUCUUACCCCUGAAAUGGGAGGCUUUUGGGCCAACGCUGAUGAGCUGCCCUCACCUAUGCAGAUCUAAGGAUAAUCUCGUAUGAACAGGAGUUCAUAGUUAACUCAGGAUUAAGACUAAGUUACCUAGGUCAUCAAUAAUUGAGAUAGUCAGUUUUAAACAGUAAACGGUGUUAUAACGUAAAAAUGACUAAUUCAUGGUUCAGUCUUAUGUAAACAUUUUACAUAGGAUGCCCCCACUUUCAUGUCUCUACAUGAACGAUUAGGAUCACAUCGUUUGUACUACAAAGUGGGCCGCAUCCAUAGUUCUCAAAAUAAGGCGCCCAACCUUUAUUUCAUAUACUAUAGACUAUUUAGGCUAUAUACUCGAACUUGAUCCACGUUUAUGUUUACACAUAAAGUUCAAGUUUAUUCAAAAAAUAGCCUUGGAACUUUGAUUUAUUGGAUUUAAGAUUAUAAUAUUUAAUUUCUCAAUAACAACUUUAUUGAAUAGAAUAUGAUUUACAAACUACGAGUUUUAGGACAAAAAAUUCCAACACGAUAUCUGAGUGGAGUGUCUCAAAGUUUCUUGCCACAAAAGCCGAACGGUGACGCCCCAGACUCGGUUUCUUGGUUCCGUCCCAAAACGCCGAAGAAAGGCACAAUGGCCUAGAAAGGGACGGUCGGACUUGGAACGGGGUCCGAGGCCUCGAAAGUCCACAUCUAGCUACUGGGUGGUCCGAUUUUGAGUGAUCUCGAAGUUUCUUGCCCACAAAAGCCGAACGGUGACGCCCCAGACUCGGUUUCUUGGUUCCGUCCCAAAACGCCGAAGAAAGGCACAAUGGCCUAGAAAGGGACGGUCGGACUUGGAACGGGGUCCGAGGCCUCGAAAGUCCACAUCUAGCUACUGGGUGGUCCGAUUCUGAGUGAUCUCGAAGUUUCUUGCCCACAAAAGCCGAACGGUGACGCCCCAGACUCGGUUUCUUGGUUCCGUCCCAAAACGCCGAAGAAAGGCACAAUGGCCUAGAAAGGGACGGUCGGACUUGGAACGGGGUCCGAGGCCUCGAAAGUCCACAUCUAGCUACUGGGUGGUCCGAUUCUGAGUGAUCUCGAAGUUUCUUGCCCACAAAAGCCGAACGGUGACGCCCAGACUCGGUUUCUUGGUUCCGUCCCAAAACGCCGAAGAAAGGCACAAUGGCCUAGAAAGGGACGGUCGGACUUGGAACGGGGUCCGAGGCCUCGAAAGUCCACAUCUAGCUACUGGGUGGUCCGAUUCUGUGAUCUCGAAGUUUCUUGCCCACAAAAGCCGAACGGUGACGCCCCAGACUCGGUUUCUUGGUUCCGUCCCAAAACGCCGAAGAAAGGCACAAUGGCCUAGAAAGGGACGGUCGGACUUGGAACGGGGUCCGAGGCCUCGAAAGUCCACAUCUAGCUACUGGGUGGUCCGAUUCUGAGUGAUCUCGAAGUUUCUUGCCCACAAAAGCCGAACGGUGACGCCCCAGACUCGGUUUCUUGGUUCCGUCCCAAAACGCCGAAGAAAGGCACAAUGGCCUAGAAAGGGACGGUCGGACUUGGAACGGGGUCCGAGGCCUCGAAAGUCCACAUCUAGCUACUGGGUGGUCCGAUUCUGAGUGAUCUCGAAGUUUCUUGCCCACAAAAGCCGAACGGUGACGCCCCAGACUCGGUUUCUUGGUUCCGUCCCAAAACGCCGAAGAAAGGCACAAUGGCCUAGAAAGGGACGGUCGGACUUGGAACGGGGUCCGAGGCCUCGAAAGUCCACAUCUAGCUACUGGGUGGUCCGAUUCUGAGUGAUCUCGAAGUUUCUUGCCCACAAAAGCCGAACGGUGACGCCCCAGACUCGGUUUCUUGGUUCCGUCCCAAAACGCCGAAGAAAGGCACAAUGGCCUAGAAAGGGACGGUCGGACUUGGAACGGGGUCCGAGGCCUCGAAAGUCCACAUCUAGCUACUGGGUGGUCCGAUUCUGAGUGAUCUCGAAGUUUCUUGCCCACAAAAGCCGAACGGUGACCCCAGACUCGGUUUCUUGGUUCCGUCCCAAAACGCCGAAGAAAGGCACAAUGGCCUAGAAAGGGACGGUCGGACUUGGAACGGGGUCCGGCCUCGAAAGUCCACAUCUAGCUACUGGGUGGUCCGAUUCUGAGUGAUCUCGAAGUUUCUUGCCCACAAAAGCCGAACGGUGACGCCCCAGACUCGGUUUCUUGGUUCCGUCCCAAAACGCCGAAGAAAGGCACAAUGGCCUAGAAAGGGACGGUCGGACUUGGAACGGGGUCCGAGGCCUCGAAAGUCCACAUCUAGCUACUGGGUGGUCCGAUUCUGAGUGAUCUCGAAGUUUCUUGCCCACAAAAGCCGAACGGUGACGCCCCAGACUCGGUUUCUUGGUUCCGUCCCAAAACGCCGAAGAAAGGCACAAUGGCCUAGAAAGGGACGGUCGGACUUGGAACGGGGUCCGAGGCCUCGAAAGUCCACAUCUAGCUACUGGGUGGUCCGAUUCUGAGUGAUCUCGAAGUUUCUUGCCCACAAAAGCCGAACGGUGACGCCCCAGACUCGGUUUCUUGGUUCCGUCCCAAAACGCCGAAGAAAGGCACAAUGGCCUAGAAAGGGACGGUCGGACUUGGAACGGGGUCCGAGGCCUCGAAAGUCCACAUCUAGCUACUGGGUGGUCCGAUUCUGAGUGAUCUCGAAGUUUCUUGCCCACAAAAGCCGAACGGUGACGCCCCAGACUCGGUUUCUUGGUUCCGUCCCAAAACGCCGAAGAAAGGCACAAUGGCCUAGAAAGGGACGGUCGGACUUGGAACGGGGUCCGAGGCCUCGAAAGUCCACAUCUAGCUACUGGGUGGUCCGAUUCUGAGUGAUCUCGAAGUUUCUUGCCCACAAAAGCCGAACGGUGACGCCCCAGACUCGGUUUCUUGGUUCCGUCCCAAAACGCCGAAGAAAGGCACAAUGGCCUAGAAAGGGACGGUCGGACUUGGAACGGGGUCCGAGGCCUCGAAAGUCCACAUCUAGCUACUGGGUGGUCCGAUUCUGAGUGAUCUCGAAGUUUCUUGCCCACAAAAGCCGAACGGUGACGCCCAGACUCGGUUUCUUGGUUCCGUCCCAAAACGCCGAAGAAAGGCACAAUGGCCUAGAAAGGGACGGUCGGACUUGGAACGGGGUCCGAGGCCUCGAAAGUCCACAUCUAGCUACUGGGUGGUCCGAUUCUGAGUGAUCUCGAAGUUUCUUGCCCACAAAAGCCGAACGGUGACGCCCCAGACUCGGUUUCUUGGUUCCGUCCCAAAACGCCGAAGAAAGGCACAAUGGCCUAGAAAGGGACGGUCGGACUUGGAACGGGGUCCGAGGCCUCGAAAGUCCACAUCUAGCUACUGGGUGGUCCGAUUCUGAGUGAUCUCGAAGUUUCUUGCCCACAAAAGCCGAACGGUGACGCCCCAGACUCGGUUUCUUGGUUCCGUCCCAAAACGCCGAAGAAAGGCACAAUGGCCUAGAAAGGGACGGUCGGACUUGGAACGGGGUCCGAGGCCUCGAAAGUCCACAUCUAGCUACUGGGUGGUCCGAUUCUGAGUGAUCUCGAAGUUUCUUGCCCACAAAAGCCGAACGGUGACGCCCCAGACUCGGUUUCUUGGUUCCGUCCCAAAACGCCGAAGAAAGGCACAAUGGCCUAGAAAGGGACGGUCGGACUUGGAACGGGGUCCGAGGCCUCGAAAGUCCACAUCUAGCUACUGGUGGUCCGAUUCUGAGUGAUCUCGAAGUUUCUUGCCCACAAAAGCCGAACGGUGACGCCCCAGACUCGGUUUCUUGGUUCCGUCCCAAAACGCCGAAGAAAGGCACAAUGGCCUAGAAAGGGACGGUCGGACUUGGAACGGGGUCCGAGGCCUCGAAAGUCCACAUCUAGCUACUGGGUGGUCCGAUUCUGAGUGAUCUCGAAGUUUCUUGCCCACAAAAGCCGAACGGUGACGCCCCAGACUCGGUUUCUUGGUUCCGUCCCAAAACGCCGAAGAAAGGCACAAUGGCCUAGAAAGGGACGGUCGGACUUGGAACGGGGUCCGAGGCCUCGAAAGUCCACAUCUAGCUACUGGGUGGUCCGAUUCUGAGUGAUCUCGAAGUUUCUUGCCCACAAAAGCCGAACGGUGACCCCCAGACUCGGUUUCUUGGUUCCGUCCCAAAACGCCGAAGAAAGGCACAAUGGCCUAGAAAGGGACGGUCGGACUUGGAACGGGGUCCGGCCUCGAAAGUCCACAUCUAGCUACUGGGUGGUCCGAUUCUGUGAUCUCGAAGUUUCUUGCCCACAAAAGCCGAACGGUGACGCCCCAGACUCGGUUUCUUGGUUCCGUCCCAAAACGCCGAAGAAAGGCACAAUGGCCUAGAAAGGGACGGUCGGACUUGGAACGGGGUCCGAGGCCUCGAAAGUCCACAUCUAGCUACUGGGUGGUCCGAUUCUGAGUGAUCUCGAAGUUUCUUGCCCACAAAAGCCGAACGGUGACGCCCCAGACUCGGUUUCUUGGUUCCGUCCCAAAACGCCGAAGAAAGGCACAAUGGCCUAGAAAGGGACGGUCGGACUUGGAACGGGGUCCGAGGCCUCGAAAGUCCACAUCUAGCUACUGGGUGGUCCGAUUCUGUGAUCUCGAAGUUUCUUGCCCACAAAAGCCGAACGGUGACGCCCCAGACUCGGUUUCUUGGUUCCGUCCCAAAACGCCGAAGAAAGGCACAAUGGCCUAGAAAGGGACGGUCGGACUUGGAACGGGGUCCGAGGCCUCGAAAGUCCACAUCUAGCUACUGGGUGGUCCGAUUCUGAGUGAUCUCGAAGUUUCUUGCCCACAAAAGCCGAACGGUGACGCCCCAGACUCGGUUUCUUGGUUCCGUCCCAAAACGCCGAAGAAAGGCACAAUGGCCUAGAAAGGGACGGUCGGACUUGGAACGGGGUCCGAGGCCUCGAAAGUCCACAUCUAGCUACUGGGUGGUCCGAUUCUGAGUGAUCUCGAAGUUUCUUGCCCACAAAAGCCGAACGGUGACGCCCCAGACUCGGUUUCUUGGUUCCGUCCCAAAACGCCGAAGAAAGGCACAAUGGCCUAGAAAGGGACGGUCGGACUUGGAACGGGGUCCGAGGCCUCGAAAGUCCACAUCUAGCUACUGGGUGGUCCGAUUCUGUGAUCUCGAAGUUUCUUGCCCACAAAAGCCGAACGGUGACGCCCCAGACUCGGUUUCUUGGUUCCGUCCCAAAACGCCGAAGAAAGGCACAAUGGCCUAGAAAGGGACGGUCGGACUUGGAACGGGGUCCGAGGCCUCGAAAGUCCACAUCUAGCUACUGGGUGGUCCGAUUCUGAGUGAUCUCGAAGUUUCUUGCCCACAAAAGCCGAACGGUGACGCCCCAGACUCGGUUUCUUGGUUCCGUCCCAAAACGCCGAAGAAAGGCACAAUGGCCUAGAAAGGGACGGUCGGACUUGGAACGGGGUCCGAGGCCUCGAAAGUCCACAUCUAGCUACUGGGUGGUCCGAUUCUGAGUGAUCUCGAAGUUUCUUGCCCACAAAAGCCGAACGGUGACGCCCCAGACUCGGUUUCUUGGUUCCGUCCCAAAACGCCGAAGAAAGGCACAAUGGCCUAGAAAGGGACGGUCGGACUUGGAACGGGGUCCGAGGCCUCGAAAGUCCACAUCUAGCUACUGGGUGGUCCGAUUCUGAGUGAUCUCGAAGUUUCUUGCCCACAAAAGCCGAACGGUGACGCCCCAGACUCGGUUUCUUGGUUCCGUCCCAAAACGCCGAAGAAAGGCACAAUGGCCUAGAAAGGGACGGUCGGACUUGGAACGGGGUCCGAGGCCUCGAAAGUCCACAUCUAGCUACUGGGUGGUCCGAUUCUGUGAUCUCGAAGUUUCUUGCCCACAAAAGCCGAACGGUGACGCCCCAGACUCGGUUUCUUGGUUCCGUCCCAAAACGCCGAAGAAAGGCACAAUGGCCUAGAAAGGGACGGUCGGACUUGGAACGGGGUCCGAGGCCUCGAAAGUCCACAUCUAGCUACUGGGUGGUCCGAUUCUGAGUGAUCUCGAAGUUUCUUGCCCACAAAAGCCGAACGGUGACGCCCCAGACUCGGUUUCUUGGUUCCGUCCCAAAACGCCGAAGAAAGGCACAAUGGCCUAGAAAGGGACGGUCGGACUUGGAACGGGGUCCGAGGCCUCGAAAGUCCACAUCUAGCUACUGGGUGGUCCGAUUCUGAGUGAUCUCGAAGUUUCUUGCCCACAAAAGCCGAACGGUGACGCCCCAGACUCGGUUUCUUGGUUCCGUCCCAAAACGCCGAAGAAAGGCACAAUGGCCUAGAAAGGGACGGUCGGACUUGGAACGGGGUCCGAGGCCUCGAAAGUCCACAUCUAGCUACUGGGUGGUCCGAUUCUUGUGAUCUCGAAGUUUCUUGCCCACAAAAGCCGAACGGUGACGCCCCAGACUCGGUUUCUUGGUUCCGUCCCAAAACGCCGAAGAAAGGCACAAUGGCCUAGAAAGGGACGGUCGGACUUGGAACGGGGUCCGAGGCCUCGAAAGUCCACAUCUAGCUACUGGGUGGUCCGAUUCUGAGUGAUCUCGAAGUUUCUUGCCCACAAAAGCCGAACGGUGACGCCCCAGACUCGGUUUCUUGGUUCCGUCCCAAAACGCCGAAGAAAGGCACAAUGGCCUAGAAAGGGACGGUCGGACUUGGAACGGGGUCCGAGGCCUCGAAAGUCCACAUCUAGCUACUGGGUGGUCCGAUUCUGAGUGAUCUCGAAGUUUCUUGCCCACAAAAGCCGAACGGUGACGCCCCAGACUCGGUUUCUUGGUUCCGUCCCAAAACGCCGAAGAAAGGCACAAUGGCCUAGAAAGGGACGGUCGGACUUGGAACGGGGUCCGAGGCCUCGAAAGUCCACAUCUAGCUACUGGGUGGUCCGAUUCUGAGUGAUCUCGAAGUUUCUUGCCCACAAAAGCCGAACGGUGACGCCCAGACUCGGUUUCUUGGUUCCGUCCCAAAACGCCGAAGAAAGGCACAAUGGCCUAGAAAGGGACGGUCGGACUUGGAACGGGGUCCGAGGCCUCGAAAGUCCACAUCUAGCUACUGGGUGGUCCGAUUCUGAGUGAUCUCGAAGUUUCUUGCCCACAAAAGCCGAACGGUGACGCCCAGACUCGGUUUCUUGGUUUGUCCCAAAACGCCGAAGAAAGGCACAAUGGCCUAGAAAGGGACGGUCGGACUUGGAACGGGGUCCGAGGCCUCGAAAGUCCACAUCUAGCUACUGGGUGGUCCGAUUCUGAGUGAUCUCGAAGUUUCUUGCCCACAAAAAGCCAAACGGUGACGCCCUAGACUCGGUUUGUUGGUUCCGUCCCAAAACGUCGAAGAAAGCACAAUGGCCUAGAAAGGGACAGUCGGACUUUGGAACGGUGUCCGAGGCGUCGAAAGUCCACAUCUAGCUACUCGGUGGUCCGAUUCUGAGUGAUCUCGAAGUUUCUUGCCCACAAAAGGCGAACGGUGACGCCCCAGACUCGGUUUCUUGGUUCCAUCCGAAAACGCCGGAAGAAAGGCACAAUGGCCUAGAAAGGGACGGUCGGACUUGGAACGCGGUGCGAGGCCUCAAAAGUCCACAUCUAGCUACUGGGUGGUCCGAUUCUGAGUGAUCUCGAACUUUCUUGCCCACAAAAGGCGAACGGUGACGCCCAGACUCGGUUUCUUGGUUCCGUCCCAAAACGUCGAAGAAAGGCACAAUGGCCUAGAAAGGGACGGUCGGACUUGGAACGGUGUCCGAGGCCUCGAAAGUCCACAUCUAGCUACUGGGUGGUUCGAUUCUGAGUGAUCUCGAAGUUUCUUGCCCACAAAAGGCGAACGGUGACGCCCAGACUCGGUUUCUUGGUUCCGUCCGAAAACGCCGAAGAAAGGCACAAUGGCCUAGAAAGGGACGGUCGGACUUGGAACGCGGUCCGAGGCCUCGAAAGUCCACAUCUAGCUACUGGGUGGUCCGAUUCUGAGUGAUCUCGAACUUUCUUGCCCACAAAAGCCGAACGGUGUCGCCCCAGACUCGGUUUCUUGGUUCCGUCCCAAAACGCCGAAGAAAGGCACAAUGGCCUAGAAAGGGACGGUCGGACUUGGAACGGGGUCCGAGGCCUCGAAAGUCCACAUCUAGCUACUG
rnacentral:lncRNA from 1 species